AGGAAUUAGAGGUUGAAGAGGUUCUGACCCAAGAACCACUAAGUACACCAGAACCAGUUGCAGUUGCAAGGCCACGGAGAGAAAUUCGUAAACCUGCUCGAUUUACUGAUAUGGUGGCCUACACCCUUCCCGUUGUUGAUGAUAUUCCUAUCACUUAUCAAGAAGCAAUGCAAAGCUUAGAAAGUGAUAAAUAGAAAAGCGCCAUGGAUGAAGAAAUGCAGUCUCUCCUGAAGAACAAUACUUGGGAAUUGGCGUAAUUACCGAAAGGUAAAAGGGCAAUCGGAUGCAAGUGGGUAUUCGCAAAGAAAGAUGGAUCUCCUAGCAAGAAGGAUAUUCGCUACAAGGCAAGAUUGGUAGCUAAAGGCUACGCUCAGAAGGAGGGAAUUGACUACAAUGAUGUAUUUUCCCCUGUUGUGAAGCAUUCCUCCAUUAGAAUUUUGUUGGCCUUGGUAGCACAGUUGAAUUUGGAGCUAGCUCAACUUGAUGUUAAGACGGCUUUCUUGCAUGGUGAGUUAGAAGAGGAGAUCUAUAUGACUCAGCCCGAAGGAUACACAGAUGCUGGUGGUAGAAAUUGGGUUUGUAAGCUGAACAAAUCGCUAUAUGGAUUGAAGCAAUCCCCGAGACAAUGGUACAAGCGAUUUGAUAGCUUUAUGAGAAGGCAGAAGUACACAAGAAGCAAAUAUGACAAUUGUGUAUAUUUGCAGAAGCUGCAUGACGGAUCUUUCAUUUAUCUACUCUUGUAUGUUGAUGAUAUGUUAAUCGCUUCGAAGAGCCAAAAUGAGAUAGAUAAGCUGAAGGCUCAGUUGAAUCAAGAGUUCGAGAUGAAAGAUCUAGGUGAGGCCAAGAAGAUUCUCGGCAUGGAGAUAAGUAGAGAUAGACCGAGAGGCAAGCUCUGUUUAAAUCAGAAGCAAUAUCUGAAAAAGGUAUUACAAUGUUUUGGUGUAAAUGAAAACACAAAACAUGUAAGUACCCCACUUGCUUCUUGUAAAGCCCAAAAUCUGCCCGGGCCCAUACCAACAAGAUAACCCAAAUAAUAAACCCAAAAUUAACAGUCCAAAUAAUAAUAAAAACCUAGCCCAGGAAGCUAAAAUUUUAGCAGCAGAAAACCUUGGCUUUUCUUUACACCGCAUGCCUCCUCGUCUGCCACUCCCAGCGCCGCGUGCUCUGUCAGGCACCUCCUCGCAUGCUCGCCGCCACCGUUCGCCUAUCACUGGCCCUUCACGCGUGUCAGACCUCCUGCAAGAACAAACAACAGUCCAAACAACAAAACGACAAAAGAAGAAAUUUAAGUUUUUUUUUAAUCGGCUAUAAAAGGCCGAAUCAAACGAUUGUAUGGUUCUUCUACCUUUUUUACGAAUACACAGAUAUUGAAAGAAAAGAAAAUCAAUAUUAAAGAACAAGGUUGAUUUUGAAUUAUCUUCUUCGUUUCUUUGUCUUUUCUUUAUUUUUUUUGAUUUUGUUCAUUUGUUCUAUCUUUUUAUUUUAUUUUUUAUUUUUGCAAACCCAUUCCAAAUAACUAAAAAUCUAAAGCCAAAUAAAGGGGGAAGGAAUCUCACCGGAAGUGGCCUUGAUUCCGUCGUCGGGGGGUCUCUCCUCUGUCGUCCAAAUCGGGUCCAAGAGGCCGAUAACCUCCUUUGUUUUCGACUCCCACGGGUGGAGAGAGUCUUGGCUCUCAAGGAGGCCGUGGGACGGCGGCUAACGGGCCCAUUUUUCCAGCGCCGGUCGCUGGUUUUGUUGGUGGCGCGCCGGAGGUCUUAGGGCCAUCGGUCAUUUAAGAAAAAGGGGGAGUUGAGAAAGAAAGCUGAGGCUCCCUCUGUUUUUUUUUUUAGAAAAUCUGAAAAGUAAACUAAAUAAAACCAUUUUAGUUUUUAUUAUCCACUGAACGGCGCCAUUUGAUGGGGGGAAUAUGCAAAUGUUUUGCCCUAAUGGGUAAAUUGCGCAGUUAGUCCCUCCAUCUUGCAUUGAGGUGCAAUCUACCUUUUUUUUUUUUUUCGAUUUGGCCCGCGAGUUUUGUCUCUGCUUCAAGCAGGUCCUCUGACUAUGUGCGAUCACUCGCCUUGAAAUGCCGCGUCUAAAGGGGUUUGGGAUAUUUUCUUCUUCGCUCCCUGAUACUUUCAGCCGUGGCGAAUUGGUCCCUUUUUCCUCUUUGUUUUUUUUAUAUUUAUCCCCUUUGUUUUAUAAUGAUUUCAAUUGCACCCUUGAUCCUUUUAACACUAUUUUUGUAUAUUUUUAAACUGUCUUUUUUAUUAUUUAAGACUUUCUUUUAUAUAUUUUAUUUUAAACUAUUUUAGAUUAACUAGUAUUUAUCUCAAGUUUUUUAUUUUAUUUAUUUAUUUGGUUUAAAUUUAUAUGUCAUCAUCUUAUAAAUUAUUAUAUUAAAAUAUUUUAAUAUUCAUAAUUUCAAAUUGUUGAUACAUUUUUAUAAUAUAUAUUUACGUACAUACUUUUCAUUUAUUAUAAAUAUACUUUUUAUAUUUUUAUAUUUCAUAUUUUUAUGUAUACAUAGAUAUAGGCAUAAAUACAUACAUCUUAAUUCAUAUAUAUGUAUAUAUACGUACUUAUACAUACUUAAAUAUAUUUUUCAUAUUUCAUAAUUCUUAUAUACUUACAUAUAUUUAUACAUAUUUUACAUCAUAUACAUACUUAUAUAUAUUCUUUAUAUUCUUAAAAAUACUUUUUGUAUAUUUCACAUAUUUUAUAAUUCACAUACAUAUAUUUUAUAUUAUCACAAUUUGUAAAUAUAUAUAAACACAUAUUUACAUUUUUAUUUUUAUAAUACUUACCGAUUUUUUAUAUAUGUAUAUAUUUAUCUAUGUUUUCAUAUUCUAUAAUUUAUAUGCAUUUCUUAUUUUUAUGGCUUAAAAUUAUACAUGCAUAUACAUUUUUACAUAAUUGUAUUUAUUGUCAUCAUUGUUAUUUGGUGUUUGUUUAUUUAUUCAUGUACACUUGUGCUUUUUCUAAAAUGUUAGUUCUAUUUAUUUAUUUGUUUGCUUUGUUUAUGUAAUCGCCUCGUCAUUUCAUUUUGCCUAUUAUAUUGUUGUUACUCACUUUACUUUGCUUACCUUGUCGUAUUCGUUAUUGUUUUGUCAAGCAUUAACACCAAACAUCAAAAGGAAAAUUUUUCUAAAUAAGGCAAUAUUUCGCGUUUGGAAAAUCGAGAAAACGUGCCCUAACGUGCUGGGUUUCGAUUUCUCGUUCGACUAAAUAGCCAAAUAUCCUCUUAAAGCUUCAAAGUAUGGUUUCAUUAAACUAUAAGGUGAUCUUGGUUUCGAUGGUUUAGAGUAUCGUGUCCUAACGUGCUGGAUGUGAUAUUCCUUUGGAACAAGAGAAUCUUAUAUUUCAAUUCACGUUAUCAGAGUUUCUUUUAAGGAUCGUAUUUUUAAAACUCUUCAAAUUUUCAAUUUUCGACACUAAGACACUAAUUAAUCAACUAGGUACCAAUUUUGGGCGUAUCGAGGGUGCUAAUCCUUCCUCAUGCGUAACCGACUCCCGAACCCGUUUUUUUGAAUUUCAUAGACCAAAAUCUUUGUUUUAAUAAAAAUUAAAUCGUUUAUUAAAAACAACCACUUUUCGAGGUGACCCGAUCACACCUUAUCAAAAAAAAAGAUUGGUGGUGACUCCCGUUUUCAUUCUAUUUUCAAAAUCCAGGUCGAACCCGUUUUUAUCAAAAAAAUGGUGUCAACACUUCUCAUUUGAAACUUAGUGCUCAAUUAUCUCCGAAGAUUGAAGAUGAAAGAGAAUAUAUGGCGAAAGUCCCAUAUGCUAAUGCAGUUGGGAGUUUGAUGUAUGCGAUGGUGUGUACGAGGCCUGACAUUUCACAAGCUGUUGGAGUUGUGAGCAGGUAUAUGCAUGAUCCUGGAAAAGGAAAUUGGCAAGCUGUGAAAUGGAUUCUACGGUAUCUUCGAAAAACCGUAGAUGUUGGUUUAAUUUUUGAACAGGAUGAAGCACUUGGUCAGUUUGUAGUUGGAUAUGUUGAUUCCGACUUUGCUGGUGAUUUAGAUAAACGUCGUUUAACUACAGGGUAUCUGUUUACUCUUGCGAAAGCCCCAGUGAGUUGGAAGUCUACCUUACAGUCUACAGUAGCCGUGUCUACUACAGAGGCAGAAUAUAUGGCAGUUACAGAAGCUGUUAAGGAGGCUAUUUGGCUUAAUGGAUUAUUGAAAGACUUGGGAGUUGUUCAAAGUCACAUUAGUCUAUAUUGUGACAGUCAGAGUGCUAUUCAUUUAGAGAAAAAUCAAGUCUAUCAUUCAAGAACCAAGCAUAUCGACGUAAGAUAUCACUUUGUGCGGGAAGUCUUUGAAAAAGGAAAAAUUCUACUUCAGAAGAUUCCGACAGCAGAUAAUCCCGCAGAUAUGAUGACCAAAGUGGUAACAAUAAUCAAGUUUAAUCAUUGUUUGAACUUGAUUAACAUCCUGAGAAUUUGAGCACCUACAGGUGUAUGGCGCUCGAGAGCGCAUUUAGAGGCACUACAAAAGAUAACUUUAUCGAAUUUGGGGAGUUAAAGGAAGUGUGUGAAGAUGUGAUUAUCCUAAUCAAAUCUUCAAGGUGGAGAUUGUUGAAAGGUCAACAAAGGUAGGAAGCAACUUGUUAAAAAGGUUGAGCAAGUUGCACCGAAUGUUGAAAAGUUGAAUGGGAUAAUUGCAAUUUUGGUCCCUAAUUUUUUAGGCCAUUUGCAAGUUAGUCCCUGAACUUCAACUAUAAAUAGGCCUUUUCAUUUUUCAUUUCAACCAUCCCAACCAAUCUUUCUCUCUUAGUUUUCUCUCUUCUCCCAUUUGAGAAUUCUUAAGGAAUUCUAUUUGUUUGUAAUAUUUUGGAGAUAGUAAAGUUAUCAUCUGGUGUUAGUGCCCGAAGACGUAGGUAUAAUUUACCGAACCUCGUUAAAACUCUUACGUUCUUUUUGUCCUAUUUUUCUUUCAAUAUUUGAGGGUAUAAUAGUAGUAUUUAAUUGUGCUAUUAAAUUACGUUAGAAGGAAUAUUCUGACUAAAGAAAGACUUGGUAUUUAAGAGAUCCUUGUGAUGCACCUCUCUUCCCUGGGAAUUGAACUUUGUGUGAUUUUUUAGUACAAUAAUUUACACGCUUCCGACCCUUUUGGAACAACAAUCUUCGCAUUCUAUAAUUCUUUUUUCCAAAACAUUGCCAGCAUCCACAUUCUAUUUAUUGAGAGCUCCCUUGAGUUUUCGCAAUUUGAUAGCCAUUUGCCCUUUUAAACUACCCAUUCCUGACCAUUCCUUCUUACAGUAUUCCUUUUUAAACCAUGCAUUAACGAAUUUGAAAGGUCUUGGUCCCUAGUCAAUUGUUUCAUUUACUUUAUGUUAUGUUAAGUACCUUAUUUUUUAGAAGUUUAAUAAAAGUAUAUAAUCAUAGUGAAAUAUUGGAGUUCACAUAAUCUUUCAAACAUUAAUCAUACAUUCAAAAACAAUGCAUUUCAUAAUUUGCUAAGCAUCACCUCCUCUCUUCCCAAUAACGAUCUUGUAAAGAGGUCGUUCUAUACUUUUCUACUAAUCCCAUAAUUUCUCAUACAAUCAGCUAUCAUUCCUUUCUUUUUUCUUGCAAGGUGAAAUAGCCUUGAAAAUUCUUGUUUUAAUGGACGAUUACUACACCAUAUGUCCAUCCAAAACAUCGUCGUCCUACCAUUCCCAAUUCGCCAGCAAAAAGAAUCCAUCCCCACCCAUUUAGACACAUUGGCAUCUUUAGAAUUCUCAACAAUACCUCUCUACACAGUUGACAUUUCUUUUGGAUGAGUCGCCCUAAAACACUACCCUUGCACUUUCGACCCAUACUUAGCUAAGAUGACCUUACACCACAACGCUUCUUUUUCGAUCGCAAAUCUCCAGCUCCAUUAGCCAAUAAAGCUCUGUUUUUUAUUCCUAAAUUUACCACACCCGCUCCUCCCUUCUCCUUUGGCUUACAUACUAUAUUCCAAUUUAUCUUAGCCAUCUUUUUUUUCCCUUCCGUAUUCCCCCAAAGGAAAUUCCUCCUUAUCUUGUCAAUCUUUUGUAUUACUGUCACCGGAGCUUGGAAUAAUAACAUGAAGUAAAUCGGUAAAGAAGUCAAAACAACGUUGAUUAACACUAUUUUUGCAGCCCAUGAAAGCGUACGACACUUCCAUCCCGAUAAUUUCUUUCUGAAUCUUUCUACAAUAGGGUCCCAAGUGGAUAUUCUCUUUGGGUUCGCUCCUAAAGGAAUCCCCAAGUAAUUGAAAUGUAGAAAUUCGAUCUUGCAUUUACAAUUUGCUGCCAUCCGAAAUAACGUUUCUUAUUUCACAUCGUAGAAUAUACAUCACAUUGCUCACCUCUUUUUCAUCCGCUCUCAAGAAUAGAAUAGUGUCAUCCGCGAAUUGUAGAUGAGUAAAAAUCAGACCAGAAAUAACAUUUUGAAAGCCUUCGAUUAGCCUUAUCUCCACAGCAUUGUCCAAAGCUAAAUGAAGAACUUCUGUCACUAAUGGAGAUAGCGAAUCUCCUUGACGAAGACCUCUACGGAAUCUGAAUUCAUUGGUAGUUGACCCAUUAAUGAUUACUUCUGCUCGCGUCGUAGAUAUGCAUUCCAUCACCCAACCUCUCCAUUUUUCAUCGAAUCCCAUCUGGAAUAACACCAACUCUAGAAAAUCCUAUUGAACGCAAUCAUAAGCUUUAGAAAAACCUAAUUUACAAAUCAAAUUGUCCUCUCUUCCAUCUUUCUUCUUGAUCGAGUGAAUUAUUUCAUUUUCUAUUAAAAUCCCAUCAAAUAUUUGUCUUCCUCUGAUGAAUGCACAUUGUGUCGCUCACCACCUCUCCGACUACCUCCCUUAUCCUUCGAGACAACACCUUUGACACAAUCUUGUACAAAGAGCUCACCAAACAAAUUGGCCUAAAAUCUAAUAUUUCAUUUGGAUUUUCUACCUUGGGAAUGAGUGUGAUAAAUGAUGAAUUGAUACUCUUCUCAAGCUUUCCCGAUAUGAAAAAAAUAUCAUGCAUCAAUCUAAAUAGAUCCUCCUUUAAAAUCUCCCAACUUUUUCUAAAAAAACACAAAUUAAAACCAUCCGGUCCAGGUGCUUUUGAUUCAUCGCAACUCCAAACAGCCUCUUUAAUCUCUUCCAUCAAAAAUGGUUCCUCCAAUCUUAAAUCCAUCUCCUCAUUAAGCAUUCUGAACUUCAGAUCCAAUUCCAUUCUCCACUUUCUUGCAGGGCAAUUAAAAUAAUUUUUGAAAAAAUUGUACAGUCCCUCUUUAAUCUCUUUAGGUUCCUUGUACCAAUGACCCCCAAUUUUCAAGCUAUACACCAUCUUUCUUUUAGCCUUGAUUUUAACUUCUCCAUGGAGAAAAGCACAAUUAGCAUCCCCUUCUUUUAACCAUGUCAUCCUUGAUUUUUGACGCCAAAUAGAUUCUUUAAAUUUUAUUGCUUCCCAAAGUUCAACGUUCAACUUUUUCAAUUCCUCCCUUUCCUGCUCGGUCAAUUUUAUGUGUUCGCUAGCUUCAUCAAUCUCCUUUAUCCUACUUCGCUUUCUGUAAUUUUUUUUUUCCAAAACAUUGCCAGCAUCCACAUUCUAUUUAUUGAGAGCUCCCUUGAGUUUUCACAAUUUUAUUGCCAUUUUCCCUUUUAAACUACCCAUUCCUAACCAUUCCUUCUUAAUUAAUCUCUUAUAGUCUUCCUUUUUAAACCAUGCAUUAACGAACUUGAAAGGUCUUGGUCCGUAGUCUAUUGUUUCAUUUACUUUAUGUUAUGUUAAGUAACUUAUUUUUUAGAAGUUUAAUAAAAGUAUAUAAUCAUAGUGAAAUAUUGCAGUUCACAUAAGAGGUGCUCAUGGGUCGGGCGGCCCGGCCUGCCGGCCCUCCCGAAAUAUGGGAGGGUUCGGGUAAAAAUAUAGACCCAAAAUAUGGGUUUGGGCAAAAAAAAUGAGGCCCGUUUAGAAAACGAGUCGUGCCUCGGAUACCACUUUUUUGGCCCAGACCCGGCCUGAAUAUAUAGUAAAUAUAUAUUUUUUAUUUUUUUAUUUUAAAAUAUUUUAAAAUACUUUUUUUAUUUUUUAUUUUUAAAAUAAAUUUUUGGUGUUUAUUAAAAAAAUAGGCCAGGCCGGGCUCGAGCUUAAGAAUUUUUUCCUGAGCCGAGCCUGGACAAAAUUUUAGGCCCAUAGUUUGGGCCGAGCUGGGCCCGAGCCUAGGACGCGGGCAGAAAUUUUUUCUGGACUCGACCCGAACCCGGUCUGGCCCAUGAGCACCUUUAGUUCACAUCAUCUUUCAAACAUUAAUCAUACAUUCAAAAACAAUGUAUUUCAUAAAAACUUUUAUAUAUAAAAUACUUACGAGUAGAUGUCAAGCUGAGCUAAUUUGAUUUUCCAUAGAAAAUUUUUAAAUAAUAAUUCACAACAACCAAUUAAUAAUAUAAAAAUCAUAAUACUUAUCUCAUCAUUCAAUUAUUAAUUAAGGGACAAAGGAAAUAAUGAAAUAUUAAAGAAUUCAUGAUUUGUUUUCUAUAUAUAGGGAGGGUUAUUGCAUAUUGAGACCAAAAGUGUAGUCGAAGUUGAUAUCCAACUAUCACUCUUUAGGUUUAUUGCAUUAAAUAAAUCAUGAAAUCUUUCCUUCCUUUCUUUGCAUUCCUCUCACUUCUCCUGGUAAGCUCUUGCAAUUUCGUAUGUAUUUGUACAUACAUAUAUUUAUUGUUAAUUUGUAUGGUUAAUUGCAUAUACUUUUAUAUGGAUUCAGUUUGUAGACACCAUUGCAGCAGCUAGGAAAGAUGCUGGAGAGUACUGGGGAGCUGUAAUGAAAGAUCAGCCUAUGCCUGAGGCACUCCAAGAGCUUGUUCGGAUUGAGGCUGCCGUUGCCAACCCCGAUGAGAAAACCAAGUGCCAUACAUCAGGUAACAUUGAGCUUAAGGAAGAGAAGAUUAUUGUUAAUGAGGAGUUCGAACCAAGGCCAAACAUUUCAGCUUACGGUGAUGACGCUAAUCUAAAAGGAGAUAAAUCAUCAUCUUUUGCAGAAGAUUUUGAACCGAGACCUAACAUUUCGGCUUACGGGGGCGAUGAUGCUGGUCUUAAAGGACAGAAAGAAUCAUUCACUAAAGAUUUUGAUCCACAGCCAAAUAUCUCCGCUUACAAUAACUAAUUAAAAGCGAAACCCAAGUACCAUUGGCUUAGACCCACAUCUUCCAUUAAUUUCGUCAUCAGAUUGUGUGUGAAGCUUUAUGUUUUAUAUUUGUGAAAAAAAUAAGUGGGUUGUUAUGAAUAUCUAUGAUUCUGUGACCACUAUCAUUACAGUAGAAUGGCAAAGGAACUGUGACCACUAUUGGGAUCUUUGUGAUGUUAACUCUUUGGAACAUCAAAUCAACUAUUAUUGCAACAAUUAUUCCAUGCUGAUUGUCAAUAGAGACAGAGAGAAUACUUUGCAGGUCUACAGGAUAUAUAAAAGAAUAAGUAUAAAAUAAUAAUAUUUACAAUACGAUAUUACAUGUGAUAAUUAACAUGGUAUAUUAUUAUAUGUUUCAACUACUAAAACUUAGGUGAACUCUAUCCAUUAUCGUUGUAUAUAAUGGUAAGUUAUAUUAUGCUCUCAAAAGAGAUUAUAAGUUCAAACUUUGGAGACAACAUUAUUAAGAAGGAUCAUAAACUCCGAAAUGAAAAAUAGUAAUAAAAAAAUUGAGGUUUACUCUACCAACUCUUGCAAUUAAUGCCAUCCUCUAGAAAUGGUCGGGCUAUCCGCUUAAAUCCAAAAGUUUGUUCAAAUUUUGGUAAAAAUAUUAGGUUAAAAAAUGUGUUUGAGCAAAAAAAUAAGCUCGUUUAAAAUACGUGGAGGCUCGAGUCCGGCCCGACCAGACCUAUUUUCUAAAUUUAUAUUAUAUAAUAUUAUUUUUAUAUAUUAAGUAAUUUCUACCACUUAAAAAUUAAAUUUAUAGUAAUAAACAAUACUAUAAUGUAAACAUGCUAAAAAUGUUAAAUUGCCUAUAUAUAUAAUUUUAAUUAAUAAAAAAUAAAUUAUUCAGUAUUAAAUUUAAAAUAACAUAAAUAUUUAUAAAAAAAAAUUAAAAAUAAUAUGGGUGGGCCUAAAAUAGGCUUGAGAUAAUCAUUUACAAAUAUAAAUAGCCUUGGUCAAAAUUUAAGUCCAUAUUUCGAGUUAGGCCAAGUUUGGACAAAUAUAAAAUAUGCUAAUAUUAUAUUCAAAAUGUAACACCCUAUACCCAACCCGAUCGUUAGGUCCGGGUACUAGAUGCUACACUAACCUGAAUGACUUAAUAAGUACUUCUGUUUCUAAUUUAAUUACAUACUUAAACAACUUAAAAUUCUAAAAUCUAACUACUAUUAAAACUCGUACAAAACUGGUGAAUAAUUCUUACGACCUUGGUUCCAACGUCUAUUUACAAUAUUUAGAUUAAGACUCGAAAAUGGAUAUAGUCAACUUAAACCCUAAGGCGUGGCCUUUACGAGUGCCCCUCUAUAUACUUGAACAGCUACCGCGCACCACUUAACUUUGGUGGAGUCUAACAUGGUCUCUCUUGAUUCUCAAGUCUUUUUCUAACAUGCAUUCAAGCAACAAUUUUACAAGUUCCGCAAAACUUAGUGAGAUUUGCACAUAACUUUAUGUAAAUCUAUAUCCUUAAUACUCAUAUUCAUUACUCAUGAUUGGCGAUGCUCAGUGUUUACCCAAAUAAUUGCCGUAAACGUGGGUCCUUACCCGAAUACGAUCUCUUUCUAAUAUUCUCUUUUCCUAGGGGAACGAGUACUUCCAAUGCAACCCCCAUAGCACCUGUUUUCUCAGUCUAUUAACCUUAAAGAGACUAUAUUAGAAUUACGGUUUCUACCUUUGGUAGAUCAACAAGAUCCUUACCAUUUAUCGUGGUCCUGAUGGACCUCUAUUUUUCAUUAUUAUCUGAUAGACUUUACUGGCCAUUCAGCCUUAAACGGGCAUUUUCUCCCACAUCGAUUCUUAUUGGCCUACCCAAUUUUUCGGUUGACCCUUUGUCGACUUACAAAUUAGGAUUUUAUUCUUUCCAUCCUCCUCUACAUUUGCUUAACCAAAAUGAAUUUUGUGACUUCAUGGGCAGACUCUUAUUAAAGAAAGUCAUGAUUACUAUCUCGUUUAAGGAAUUUCUCCCUCCUUUCACACGUGGCUAAGUUAGGACGCUUCUUAGGCUCCAUUCGUCAUUGCCCUUGGCGAAUCCCCUAGGUAUCCAGAUAUCUUGUGUUCCCAAAUACGCCAGUCCAUCUUGUUAAAUGUUUGGUCACUCAAGUCCCUUUGCGACUCAUCAUUUAUAUCCUGGUAAAUUUUUUGGUUAAUAAGUUGCGGACUUUACAUGUUGCCAUAACUGAGUUAUGUUCUUACUCAAGAAUUCCCAAGUCCAUCCUCUUAAAUGCUUGGUCACUCAAGUCUCGUAUUUUAUAUCUCGAUGGACUAUCUCGUGUUUAUUGUCCCGAUGGACUACCCCGUAUUUACUAUCCCAGUAGACUUUACUAGUCGCUAUAAUCGAACUAUGGUUUUACACCUUAUAAUUCUCGUGUUUAUUAUUUCAAAGGACUCUAUUGGUUGUCAUAGCCGAGCUAUGGUCUUACACUUUAAACCUCUUUGAGGUGUCACUCAAAAGACUUUACCGCCAUCGCGAUGUCACCCCAUAAAGCUUGUUGAUUAUCACCGCGGUGUUGCUCUAUAGAACCUAAUAACAGUUGUCACGGUGUCACCCCGAAAGACCAGUCGAUAUCAUUCCAUUCCUUAUUUAACCUUGAUGCUCGAACACCAUAGUGUCCACUCUGCAAGGCCAGGAGUUUCGCAUAUCACGACUUGCACCCAACAAUAGCGUAUGGUGGAAUCUUAACGGAAUUCCAUUUCCUUGUCCAUUUGCCCAUUCCUCCAGUUUUCCAUAACUACCUUAAUGCUUGAUCACCAAAGUGUCCCCUCUACAAAACCCAGAGCUUCACACAUUACAGUUUGCACCCAACAACACCCUAUAGCAGUAUACAGAGUGUCCAUUCCUAGUCCUAACUUCAUCUAACCCACCAAUAAUCUCUCCUUCAUACCCCACCGUUCAAAUAUGCAAUACAUGACAAUCAUGAACGUAUUAUCAUAGAGUAUGUUACUUUUCAAACAUAAAAUCUCAACAAUUUCAUACAUGCUGACACACUAACAGAUACUCAUAUACCUACUCAACCUUAUGCAUGCUUAGCAUUUACAACCAGCAGAAUUCAUACAUCAUCACAAUACUCAACACAUAAUCAUGCCAGCAUACAACAUUUCAUGGAUGGAGUACAAAUACUCGCCUUGCUUUAUUAUCCUUGACAGUUUAGCUUGUCCUGGCAGCUAAGCAUGACAACCAUUUACAGGUUAAACUAAAGGUGUUCAACCCUUAAAACCUAGAAUCCAUAAUUAUUCAAAAGCUUUUAAGAGUUCUUACUUUACUUCUCUUUUCAAUCUGCAAAUACAGAGAGGUAAGAAAACUUACUAGUUGUUUAAUUUCUAUACUACCAGACUUCAAUUCACACGACUACUAUGACAUACGGUGCUUUCUUUCAGUUAUAUCAUAUUCUUCUUCAGAGCGAUUGAAGAAGAUGAUGCUAUGUUGAGAUAAAUUGGUAGAUAGAAUUGAGAAGAUUAUGUCUCCACACACACCUAUUUAUAUACUCCUUUGGCACGAUUUUCAUUGACCGUCACAACAUUUCAUCCAUAAUAAUUUUGUCUCCCACUAUAGAACCAGACGGUUCUCAUCUAACUAAAUCAGAAUUGAAGUCCAACUAGUCACAAUUCAACCCUUAAAAAUUUUAAAUUUCUCAAUGGAGUUCAAAAAUUUACUAAUCCUUUCAAUUUAGUCUUAACCUUCCUUAAAUCUUGGGUUAAUAGUGUAACACCCCUUACCCGGUCCAAUCACCGAACCUGAGUAAUAAGAUGCUAUUAAAAACACCAAAUAAUUACAUACAAUUUGUAAUUUAAAAUCUCAAUUAAUUAUCAAACAAUUCAUAAAUAAUCAAGUUAACAUGUGAUUCAAACAAUUUCGGGUUAAUAUCGAACUUACAGAAGCUUAAAACCAACUCGAUAACAAACAGGGACCAUUUUGAAACUAAAACAAAAAGUUGGAAACAAUCUAUAAAUAAAGGUCACACGGUUGUGUCCUCUGGCUGUGUGGAAAUGCUAAUGCCGUGUAGGAUGAGACACAUGGCCGUGUAGACAAACCAUGUAACAAAUUGAUGUCAUGUGGAGUUAAAGUCACAUGGCCAUGUGAACAACCGUGUACUCUAACUAAGGCCGUGUGGGUCAAAAGUCCAAAUAUUCUAAAAUGUGUCACAUAGCCGUACCGUUGGGUCGUGUAUCAGACUGUGUCCAUGUGCACCAAAAUCACCUAAAAACUUAUAAACAACACGGUCGUGCCAUAGGUCCGUGUAUGGUACUCGGCCGUGUGUACUUGGAAUUACCUUUUAAUGCAAUAUUUCUACCUUAGCUCACUUAAGCAACAAGUAAUCAUUCUAAACCACAUUCAACCAAAUCAAAAGCAUCUAAAUCAAACCAAAAUUAUCAUUUAAAAUAACUACCCUGAGUGCCUAACCAAUAUGCCACAAUUGGCAACUCAAUUCACAAUUCAAAAUCAACCAAUUUAUCACAUUCAUCCAUACCAAUAUGCCUUCAAGGCACCUCAACAAGUUCGACCAAACGUAAGCCAUUAAACCCUUUUUAAUACAUAAUGAACCACUCAAGUUCAAUCACAAAUCAUACACCAAAAUUUACCAUUCAAUACAAGAUCAACAACAGCAUACCAUUAUUCAUCACUUUCAACUAAAUACCAAUCAACCACAUCACCUAACAUAUUAUCAAAUCAACCUUUAAACCAUGAAUCACAUAUACCAAAUUAAUUUAGCAAGACAUUAACAACAUAACCUUUCUCAUCAUAUACAUAAUCUCCAAUUACCAAUAAAAUACAAAAGGAUCAUUAUAGCCAUAAAACAUCCUAGGUACAUGCCAAAACCAAAAUGAACACAUCAGUAACACUUGAGUUCAAGAUUUCCGUUGGAUGCUAAGUCGAUGAUCAAAUCGUAAGGUACCUAACCUACGUACAAAAAAAAACCGAACAUUGAGUAUAACUUAGUGGUAUUUCUAUAAUCCAAACACUAUAACAUAACAUAAGACAUUUGAGUAGCAUAAGUUAAAAAUGCAUGAUGUUAUUCCAUUUAAUAUGUCAUCUAACCAUUUCUCAUAUUCUUGGAUCAAAAAAAUUAUAACUUAGCAAUAUCUAAGCAUGACCAACAACUUGAAAUACCACAAAUAUACAUUCAUUUUCACAUAUCACUUCAAAUUACUAACUAUUUGUCAUUUCAAUAUCAAUUUCAUAUUUCUAUUGAUCAUUCAAUCACUUGAAUUUUGAAUACUUAUCCAACAUCAACAUUCCAAUUAUAAACCUUUCAUUUUUAUCAUUUAUGCAAAUAUAUGAUAGCAUUGAUCAACUCAACAUGUAUUCAAUUUUUAUUUAUAUAAAUAUACACAUUUCUUCACAUAUGUUCAAUUUAGUCCACAUGAACAUAAAUCGAUUCAAAUUAAUCUAUUACAUCUCAUAAUCACAAAGUGUCUCACCUUAUGUUCUUACCAUACACAAAUAAUUCAAUAUGCACUAAUUUAGAUGUAGUUCGGGUUGUAGAAACACAAACUGUAAACUCCAAGCUAUUCGUUGACGACUUUGCCUUUUCCUUUCUUUUUCGAGAAAUCUGGGUCGAUGUUAAUAAAUUGAGGGACUAAGUAUUGAAACCCUAGGAAAAACUCUCCCACCCGUUGAAUUCCUUGAAGAAUUUAGUGAAGGAUAGAUUUUGAAGAAGAUAAUGCCUUUUCUUUCUCUUUCUUUCCACUUUCAACAUGUUUUACCUUAUUUUAACUUAUUUUAUUAUAAUUUUUUUAUAUUUUCUUCAAUUAUAAGAUACAUUAUUGUCCACUAUAAAUCCUACAAUGGUUUAAUUGCUUCAUAGGUCCCUUAGUCUUUUUCUAAUUAAAGAUUCCUUAAAAAUUACACUUUUGACACUUUUAUGAUUUAGUCCUUGUACCCUAAUUAAGCACUAAUUUGAUAAAGUUACUUGACCAAAAUUCAAUUAACUUCUAAUAUACCUCCGUAAAUAUUAAAUAAAAAUAUUUAAAGGUCUAAUUUAUGAAAACAGGGUCCCAAAGCCACACUUUCUGAUACCACUGACUUUUGAGUCGUUACACUUGUACCUUAAUUAACUAUCAAUUAAAAAAUUAUUAAACAAAAAUUUAAUAUAUUUCUAUUUUAGCCUUGUAAAUAUUAAAUCUACGAACAAGUUUACAAAAAUUACGUUUUGAAACUGGAGUUUCUGACACCACUAGAAAUGGGGUUGUUACAAAUAGAGAUAGUCGGGUGUUACACAAAACCCGAUUCAGUCUAACCCAUGAACAUCUUUACUUGGAAGUAAUAGUUAAGGCACCCAGUCACAAAAAAAAAGUUAGAUUGAAAGAGGGAGAUCCCUUUACCAAUUAUAUUGUAACAUCCGUGUUAUGCCUCGGAGUUAGGUACAAUGAUAUAUCGGGUUAGGAAAUAGUAGGAAAAUUUUGAAAUAGAUAAAAUAAGAAUUUUAAGUGUCAAUUUAGAAAACAGUUAGAGCCAAUAAGAAAUUAGGAAACGCUUAUUAGAUGAGAAAACUUGAUUUAGGACAUUGACUAAAUUGUAGGAAAAUAGAAAUUGAUGGGGCAAAAGUGAAAAAAUCAAAAGUUUGAAAUGAUUACAUGAAAUUGGUGGAAAAGGAAGAAGGACUAGGGGUGAAAUUUUACAAAAUAAGGUGUGAUUCACAUAUUAUGAAAAAAGGUAAAAGACAAAAUGGUAAUUAGCUAAAUUAGAUAAUUAUGGAAACAUAUGAUUAAAUGAUGAAAUUUUUUUGAAAUGGGAUUGGUGGAUUAAUUUAUAAAUUAAUAAAAAAUGAUUAUUAAAUUAAGAGAUAUUUUAGUGGAAUUGUGUAGAAAAUUGAAGAGAAAAGAUGAAAAUCAUUCAUCUUUCCCAUUCCCAUGCCACAACCAUUUUUCUCCACCUUUUAGACUUUUAUUUUUAUUACAUUUAGUUCCCUCUACCAUUUUUGAACCUUUCUAAGUUUAUUUCUUCAAGUUUCUUUCAUGUUUCCUUAGCAAAAUCAAUAUAGGAGUUUACUGGCUACCUUAAUUUCAUGAGAAGAGUCUUCAUAAAUGUAUUGAAGAGAGAGAAAGUAAGAAUUAAGUUGUGAUUUCAAGUGACUAAGGUAAGAGAUGAUGAAAUCUUCAUGACAUACAUGUUUAUUUCAAUAAAUUAGCAUAAUAAAGUUAUUUGAUUGUGGUUUUAACAUGAAUAUAUUAUAUGUUUUGAUAUGAAAUUGAAGAAAAAGAGAAGAAGUGUGAGGAUCAAAUUGAAGAAAAAGGAAAAAAGGUGAUCAAUGAAUAAGAAGAAAGGAAACCUUAUUAUCUAAGCUUUGGUUGUAAGUACUUUAAGAAUUUUGCCUUGUUUAGUUUUAAUUUAGCUAAAAAUUAUGCUAUUUAGACGUUUUAAUUACUCAUGUUAUAUGAAUUUAUGAAAUAAUUGUUGAUGGAAAUCUCUGUAAAUUAUGUAUAUUCUAUUUUAUGAUGUGAAAAUGAAGUAAUUCAUGCUACUGGUGAAAAAGAGACUAAAUUGAAAAGAAAGAAAAUAUGUCAUAAAAAUUUGAAAUGCUAAAAAUAGGGUUUAUAUGAAAAAUAUUAAAGUUAUGAUGUUAUGAAUAUUAAUUAUGUGAUGAAAUCUACAAGUUUGCAUAUAUAUGAUCGAGGACUAAAUGGUAAAAAGUGACAAAUUACAGUGUAUCUUUUGAAAUGUAUUAAAUGCUACAAUUCGUUGGAAGUAAAGCCCAUGUAGACGAGAUGUGAACUAUUAGGAUAUAGAUGACAUGCCAUUAAGGAUAUUUAGUGCGCCCUUUGUUCUAUUAGCAUUUCAGUGUCCUUUGUUUCGAUUGCGCUACGGUGCCCUCCGCUCUGACAUUACACUUCGAUGCACAUAUGUUCUGUUAAUGCACUUUGAUGCAACUUUGCAUUUAUUUCCAUAUGUUCUAAAUGUUCUAUUUAGUCUACAGUGGGUUAUUGAACAAAAUGUGGUCUAAACGAACAGAAAUGUAACACGGUAAGUUAUUGUAAAUGUUUGAAAGAAAAAGAUUGAAUUAAUGAUGGUGAUGAACAAAACUUAAUAUAUAUAAAUGCAAUGUGUAGUAAUUUAUAUAACUAUUUUUUUUUAAAUUCUUGAUGUACUUACUAAGCUUUCACCGACUUAACGCGUUUAUUUUUAACGCGUAGGUUGAAGAUAGAUUUGGAAAGUUAGAACUGAGGUCGUGAUCAGCUCAUCUCAUCACAUCGCCAAGCUUGGAGAAGAGUAUGACACUAAAUUUUGGUUUAGUUUGGCAUGUAAAUAGGCUAAAUAGUGUGUGAAUGUGAUAAGUGUCAAAAGUAACAUAUUUUAGCCUAAUUCUAUGUAUCUUUGGGUGAUUACGUGGUGUUAGUUGUGAAUUAUAUGCUCUUAAUCCUUUAAGUUCAUGUUUUGAAGCUUGAUAGAGCAUUUGGGAGCAAUAAGAGCAAAAAAGGAGUGAAAAUCAGAACAUUGGAGAAGUCCGGAAGUUGCACAUGGGCAAUAGAGUUUUACACGACCAUGUAGGCCACACAGGCGUGUAGAGCAUGUGGAUUUCGGGAACCAUGUGUGUUGAUAGCUAAAAGUUCUAUUUUUUAGGUUUUUGGCACUUUAAGAAGGUAUAAAUAAGAUAAUAAAAAGGAAAGGCAGCAGCCGUCAUAGAAUAGCACAAAAUUACCCAAAAGAACACCAUUGAAGGGGAUUUCCAAGCAGUUCGCCAUCAAGAUUCAAGAGUCUAAGUUGAUUUCUAAUAGAGUUACAUUGGUUGAUUUUAUUUUAGUGGUAAUAUUGUAUUUUUGGUGUUUCUUCUUGCAAGUAUGAACUAAAUUUCUAAAUACCUAAGGGAGAUGAAUCUUAGGAUGUAUUCUAUUGUUUGAUUUCUAGUUUUAUGCAAUAAAACAUUAGUUCUUUGUUUUCAAUUAUGAAUGCUUAAUUGUUCUUGGGUUGAUAAUUCUAGGGUAUUAAUCCAUGUUUUAUGUGCAUGAGUUUGAGGUUGAAUAGACUCUUUUUAUGAUUAGAUCUUGCAUAAUUGGAUGGAGUUGCAUGCAAUCCUAGAAAUAAGACGAGAUAAAUCUAUCGGAUUAGAGUCAAAUCUAAUAUAGAGAUCCAUAGAGCUAAUUAAUGCAAUAAUAAGGGUUUUAAUUAGAAAGAAAUUUCAAUUAAUCAAGCUAGAGUUAGUUGCUCUUAUGCUCGAAAAAGAUAUUAACAUAAAUUAGGGAUUUCUAUGGAUCAAAGAACUAAGAACAAAAGUUGUAUAAAUUAGAUAGAGAAUUAUAUAUGAAAUCUAGGUAGAUUCUUACCUAGGAAUUGUUUUGUCACUUGAUUGACAUUUAAUUAUUUUUGUGAUUUAUUUCUUUGACGCACUUGUUAGUUAAUUUAGUUAGUUAAGUUUAGUUUUAAUUAAUCUUUUGAAUUAUUAGGUUAAACGAUAGGAAGACGAUAAAUACUGGUAAUUGUAGUCCUUAAGGGAACAAUAUUUGUGCUCACCAUAACUAUACUAUUAAUUGAUAGGUGCACUUGCCUUAGUCGAUAUAUUAGUUAGUUUAGUGGACAUUAAAAUGGGUAUGAAGGACUAAAAUAAAAACUUUGCAAACUUUAUAAAUUCUGAGAACUUAAACAGAAACUCAAUAUGCUUGUGGUGUAUAAUAAUAAGUGAGUGAUAUGAAUAAUUUAUAUGCUUAAAUUUAAAUUGGUUUGGUUGCAUUUGAAAGUUGUAUGCAGGGACUUAGAGGUAAAAGUUAUAAAAUUGGCAAAGAAAACUUAAAUUUUCAAAUAAGGACAUGAUUCUCGAAAUUUACUCAGGCCAACCACACGGCAGUGUGGCAGACACGGGCUAUGACAUGGUCGUGUGAAUACUGGAAGCAAAUAUUUUUGGAACCACACGGUUCCCGAGAUCCACAUAGCCCGAGGACACAACUGUGUGCCCUAUUUUUCACAAUAAUCCUUAUCUAACCUUAGAAUAUUAUAUUAAAUGCAAAUAUGUUUUUAAAAGAAAUUAUUGAGCUCAUCCCUAAUCUUGGCAAUUAAUUAAAAAUAUUCAAUAACUGAUAAUUUCACUUUGAACAAAAAAUCAAAGUCUAUUAUUCUGACAAUCAAUGUAGCAUUCCUAUACUUGAUUCGAUUAUAGUGCCGAGUAUAAAGGUGUUAUAUAUAUGAUGAUUAAGAGAUGUUCAAUAAUCUUAAGAUAUCGUUCAAAGAGAAACUAUUGGGAUCCAUCGUUAUGUCACAGACAACAAAUGAUUCUUAUCAUUGUGAUUGGCGACACCAUAAAUAAGGUUAUUAGGAUUGAUUAUAAUAUUGAUAGUGGCUCUAGAGGCCAUUUUGCUCGAAUGGAAAUUUUCAAGAAGUGAAAUAUGAAGCUUUCAAAAUUCAAAUUAACAAUAAUGCACAACUUUAUACAGUGUCUAAUAGCAAAAUUUGACCAAAACAAUAACAAUAAUGGGCCACAGCUGAGCAUUUCAAAAUGCGGCCCAAUUUAUAACUACAAUAAUGCACACUAUUAUGCUUUCGGCUCAAAUCAACCAAAUUUCAUACUGAACCGACUGAAAACCCUUUUCCCCAUAGAACCAAACCCCGCGACCCGUGAUGGAGGAGAAACGCCGGGAUGCGGUUAACUCCCCGGCGGAACCGGAGCUGGCAUCAACUCGCCGUCGGGGUGGAGCGCUGAAGAGAAAAGUUAAUUCGCUUUCCGGGUCUAGUUCUUCAUCAACUCCGUCGAAACGGGUUACUCGGGAGAAGUCAAACUUGAUCUCCCACUCUCCCGUUAACCAUUACGGUCCGUUAACCAGGGCUCGCCAAGGGGCCCCUAGUGGAAACCUAGCCUUGGGUUCGAGUUCGGGAUCGGGUGGCGCAAAGCUUGAGGAGACGAAUUUGGUGAAACAAAGUGUAAAGGCGGAAGAUUUGGAAGAAUUAAAGGCAAGUGAAGAGUUGGAGGCUUUGGAAGCUAAGAUUGAGGCUGAUUUUGAGGCUAUUAGGUCUCGUGAUAGUAAUGCGCAUGUUGUUCCUAAUCAUUGCGGUGAGUUUUUUCUUUUCCCCUUUUUCUUUUCCUUGUUUGGUUGAUGGGAAAAUGGGCAGGAAAGGGAAUGAAGGGUGAACUAUUUGUUUUACAGCUUUAGUGAUGUGAAUUCUUUCUUGGGAGGUAGUGAAUUGGAGAAAUUAUGUGGAAUUUUUUUUCGUUUUCUGUUGAUUUAGAGUUCAAUUUAGUUUGUAUUGUAGUUUUUUUUGUCUCAAUUGUGGAAAACAAGAAAAAAAAUAUUGGAUGUGUUUUCUUGAAUAGUUAAUUUGAGAGUUUAUUUCUUUAUUUUUUUCUAUAUGCUAUAUGAAUUCCAAGUCUUUUUUAUGGUAUUCACAAUGAAAUGGUACAUAAGUAUUCAUCCAGUUUGUUCUGCUCAUUUCUUAUCAGCCAUGCAUGAGAAUUAGACCUUGCAAUAUUAGACACGAUAUGCAAAACAUAAGUAAAAUAUUACACAGAGCCAAAAAUAAAAAUAAAAAAUCCAUACUACACAAAUACAUGAAUGUCUCAGAAUCCACUUAAACAUGAUUAUGACAUAGGAAAAAACACGAUUAGGUCACAGUACUCAAGCUGCAAUGAAAAUGAUGAUCUUAUUUUCAUUAGCAGAGAGCAAACUAGGGCUAAUAAUUGACUUUAUUGGAAGCAUCUUAUUUUGAAGCUAUAAAGAUUGAAAAAGAAGAAACUGAACUAUUAGAUUCUUUGGUGUUUCCUCAUGUUGGUUUUUGUAUUCAUCUUCUCUUUGUAUUUAUAGGAUGGUUUUCAUGGACAAAAAUUCACCAUCUGGAAGAGAGUAUCUUGCCUUCUUUCUUUAAUGGGAAAUCCCCAAAUCGUACCCCUGAUGCAUACAAGGAGAUUCGCAAUUGGAUUGUGAAGAAAUUUCAUGCAAAUCCAAGCAAGCAGAUUGAGUUGAAAGAUCUGGAAGAUCUUGAAGUCGGUGACUUGGAUGCAAGGCAGGAGGUAUUGGAGUUCCUGGACUACUGGGGUUUGAUUAAUUUUCAUCCAUUCCCUCCAGCUGGUUCUGCUGUGCCUAAUCCCAAUGGGGAUGGGGAUGGAGAUGGGAUGACAGAAAAGGAUUCUUUGCUUGAAAAUUUGUUUCACUUUGAUGAAAUUGAAUCACGCCCACAAGGUGUUACCAAGCCUAACCUUUCAAGCCCAUCUCUACCAUCUGGGCUACUUCCAGAAUCUGCGGUCGCUGAGGACUUGAUGAAUCCGGAGGGGCCAUCUGUUGAGUACCAUUGCAACUCUUGUUCAGCUGAUUGCUCUAGGAAACGCUACCAUUGCCAGAAGCAGGUUAGUUACUGAACACUGACUAAUAAAUAAUUGUAUGAGCCUCAAAUUAUUUAGAUCACUAUGAAGAGAAAAAUAACUGCACUAAUCUUUCCAAGUAUCCUUAUGGUGGUAGCCAAUGUUUCUACAUUUCCUGCAUUGAACUCAUACAUGCUUACUUCUACGAAAUCAAUUUGUAUGACAUCUUCAGCUCAAGCCAAGUGAUAAAUAAAACUGGAAAUCCACGAACUUUCUUUGCUAUUGAUCUUUGUCCAACAAAUAAGAAAUCAGCAUAAAUGGUUUGCGCCACCUGCACGAUCUGAUAUGCACGGCUUUCAAUCUUUGAAUAAUGUGAAUGAUUAAAAUGGAAAGAAUAACUAAUUUAGUAAAUCUGUUUUAUUUAUUGACUUAUUGUUCCGUUCUUUAUGAUCCAAGUAUGUUUGUAUUUGGCAGGCAGAUUUUGACUUAUGUACUGAUUGCUUUAACAAUGGGACAUUCGGUUCUGGCAUGUCUUCAUCGGAUUUUAUUCUCAUGGAACCUGCUGACCCUGGUCUUAGUGGCGGCAAGUGGACAGAUCAGGAAACCCUUCUCCUUCUUGAGGCACUUGAACUUUAUAAAGAAAACUGGAAUGAGAUUGCAGAGCAUGUUGCUACGAAAACAAAAGCACAAUGCAUACUGCAUUUCGUUCAAAUGCCAAUUGAGGAUGUAUUUUUUAAUUGUGAUGAUAAUAACAUAGACACGAAUUCAAAAGAAACUGCUGGCCCAGCUGCCAUGAAUGAUGAAACAACUGUCCCUAAAGAUGUCUCGGAAACAACAGAGAGUAAGACUACUCAAGAAGAUCAGGCCCAGACUAUGCCGAUGGAAACUUCAAAACCUGAAGAUGAAAAAGAAGUCAGGGGUAGUGAGGAACCAUCAGAAACCAAAACUGGAACUGAUGCAAAAGGUGUUAAAGAAACAUUAAAGCCAGAAGAUAUGAAUGUACCAAAAGAUGGACUAGAAGCAACUGAAAAUUGUGCCCUUACAGCAAUAAGGGAGGCAUUUGAAGCUGUCGGUUAUAAUUUAACAUCCGAAAGCAAACUUUCAUUUGCUGAUGUAGGAAAUCCUGUCAUGGCAUUGGUAAGUUGAAUGCGUAAGUAUUUAGUUUAGGUUUUAUUGAUUGAUGUAUAUGAAGGGAAAACUGAGUUCAUUUACAGAUCUAAAUUUAUCCAUUUUGUACAUGGCUUCUGAAAUAGUAUUCUCAUCUUCGACUUGUUUCACCAUUCAUCAUUUACCUCAUCUAUUUGUUGGUGAUAUGGUACAAACAUAGUGUUGCUCCAUUUGCAGGCAGGAUUCUUUGCACAUCUGGUUGGACCCAACAUUGCUGCUGCUUCAUCCCAGAGUUCACUUAAAUCAUUAUCUGGUACUUGUCCGAACAUUCAACUGGCUGCCAGGAACUGCUUUGUUUUGGAAGAUCCACCAGAUGAGAAGGAACCAACAUGUUCUAGGAGGUAUGUUAACCUAUGCCAAGCUUAUAUUUACUUAGCAAUUUGUGAACGUUAUCUGAUGUCAGUUAGAGACACACAGUGUUGCCAAUGAUACGGGUAAUCGGGGUGCUCAGAAUGUGAAACACUCGGAAGACGAAAGCCUCAAGGGGGAUCAGAAAAGUUCAUUGAGCCACCAUGGUGACGAAAACACUGAAGUCUCUCUUCGUGAAGAGAAUGCGACAUCGCCUUCACCCAAUGACCUAACCACGGAUAAAAAAGAGUCAAGCAAUUUUGCCACUAAUGAGGAAGAUAAAAAAGCUAAUUUGAAUGAAUCCAGCAUUAUUAAUCAAUCAAAGGAUCAUCAACCAAGUGUAACAAGGGUAUCAAAUAACUUAACAUCCCAGGUUCUACCAAGUUCUCUAGAGGAGACAGGUGGGAAGGAAACAGCUAAAGAACCUUCUCAGCCUCCAAAAGCAGUGAAGGAAGUAGAUAUGUCUGGUUCUGUUCAACUGAAAAAGAAUGAGCCUUGUGAUGCCGCUGCAUCAAAGCCAGUGGGAGAGCUAUCUGAACCAGCAAAUGCAUCAGAAAAUCUAGAGACAGCUUCCUGCUCUCCAUCCAGAUCAAAGAAUGAGCAAAAAACUGUUAAACCAAUCCCUGAUGGGGAAUCUACGGAGCCUGCAGAUGCAUCAGAUGAUGUUCAACUGGUGUCUGUUUCACAACCAUCUGAAAGGAGUGAACCUCCACAGCCAGUCACAUCGAAUUCAGUAAAUGAAAAUGGAGUAACGACAGGUUUCUCUCUUUUCUUCUAUAAAUAUCUUGUUAGAAAGUGGAAGCCGCAUUAACAGAAUCUAACUCUACUGCAAAAUGCUUAGCAAUAUCUUAUGGGAAUAUGUAGGGAUAGAUAGCGUCUGAUUUAAAAUAUACAAAGAAGGCUAAAAGGAACAGUUGGUUCUAUAAGGUUGAGCGUUUGCUAUCUUUAUUGGUUUUACAUAGAGCAGCUAGGAAAAUUGAAACUUGAUACAUAAUGUUGUUUCUACUAGGUUCUGUAGAGGUAUGUAUUCCAAGAACCACCUGCUGGCAAAAUGCAUAGAUCAAUUUUGGGUGUAUCUUAUUGUUCUUUGCAGACAAGAUCGAAGAAGGUAAAAGCAAGAACCAUGACUCUACAGAGAGAGAAGAUAAUAGUAGCAUUGAUAAAUUAAAGAGAGCUGCAGUUACAGCACUCUCAGCAGCAGCAGUGAAGGCAAAACUUCUAGCAGACCAGGAAGAGGACCAAAUCCGACAACUUACCACAUCAUUAAUAGAAAAGCAGGUAGGUUAGUUGCUAAAUAUAUGCACUCUGUUUUUCCUAUGCACAUCCAACUGGAGCAACGUCUAACGUUUUAGAAGCUUUAACUCAAUCCAGUUACAUAAGAUGGAAGCCAAAUUAUCUUUCUUCAAUGAGAUGGAGGGAGUCGUAAUGAGGGUGAAGGAGCAAUUGGACAGGUCAAGGCAAAGGCUUUACCAUGAGCGAACGCAGAUAAUUGCUGCUCGACUGGGCUUACCAGCUUCCUCCUCUAGAGCAAUGCCGCCACCAAAUGCUGCAAAUAGAGUUGCAACAAACUUUGCAAACUCGGUUGCAAGGCCUCCAAUGAGCAUGAAAGCCCCAAGACCACCAUUGUCGAGACCCAUGGGUUCUAUGACCCCUACCCCUUCCAACCCAUAUGUAUCCAAUACAGUUGCAGGGAGUUCAAUUCGACCUGGUAGCCAAGACAAUCUUUCCUCCGUUGGAACCAAGUAGUCUCUAUUCAUAUUACUUGUGAAUAGAAUUUUUCAAUCCAUUCUUAUACAAGGGUCAUCCAUCUUGAGAUGCAUCUGGUUAGUACCCCCUUUUUUUAUUGUUGCAGUUUCUGUUCUUAACGCUGCCAGUCAUCUUGGGUGCAUUUAAGAACUUGAGAAUAUACUCAAGCUGAACUCAUGGCAUAUUCAUAUCUGAUGUUUUCUGCUAAUUCCAGCCACACCACUGAUUUAUCUCCGGAUACUGCGGCCUAUAUUACAUAAUUGACUGGCAUCACAUCAUCAUAGGAGGAAGGAGUAGAUGGUUAUUGUUCUCCCUUCAAUCCUAAUCUAGUCAACAACAGUCUAUAGCCUAUGUCUAACUUGGAAUUUUCUUGAAUGCUUUUGGGUUUUUGUAAGUCUAGUUUGUAGUUGAUAUUUUGAGACCUCAAAUGAUGAAUUUAGGUACUGCAAAGUUAAACAUCCGUAACCAUACCAAAUUCUUAGGUCAUCUUUAAGGUCAGAUAUAACCAAUGUAUUCUAUAUUUAUGGAUGAACAGAUGUGUUUUUGUUGUUACAAAAUGGCGUAAAUCUCUUGGUUUGAAGCUCCCUUUUCUCACCUGUAAUGGCUUUCUUUAGUGUCAUAUAUCCAACUACCCAAAUUGCAUAAUAUGCCUCUCCAAGAACACCACACAGCAGAGGCAGGAAAGUUAUAUCUGCUGAAAUCAGGCUGCAAAAUAAUUUUAAUUUUCUGAAAAACUGAUAUUUUCUUAUGUUUGAUUGUAUGAAAAAUAUCCUUUGAUAAUUUUUUCUAAAAUAAUUUUUUAAAUGUUUUUUUUUUUGUAAAAUAAAAUCAACAUAAGUAUAUUUGUUUUAGAAAAUUGAUUCUAUAAUAAGAUAAUAUUUUGUAAUAAUUAAUAUAUUAUAUAAAUUUUAGAGAAUGAAUGGUGAUAGUUUAUUAAUAAAUAUUUAUAAAAUGUAAUAUGUUUUUUUAUUAAAAUAUUAAUAUAAAUAUCUUUCAAUAACAUAUUAACGAUUUAAAAUUCAAAAUUGUUGGUAAAAUGUAUUAUUAAAAUAAAAUUUGUAAUAUUAAAUAAUUGAUUAAAAUAUAAAUUAUAUUAAUUAUAUUAUUGAAUAUAAAUAAUUUAAUAUGCAUGUUUAAUAAUAAUUGAAUAUUAUACUAUUUAUAUUAAUAUUUUAGUAUUUUAAAAAUUAAAAAUUAUAUUAAAUAUAUUAAUAAAAGGCAUGAUUCAAGUAAACUAUUAUAUAAAAAUAAAAUUACUUACAAAUAAAUUCUUUGCAAAAAAUGACUUAUGCUUUAAGUCAAUUAUCAAGAAAAAUAGUUUAUUUUCGUUGACUUGUAAAUGAUUUUUCUAUUAAUUAAGUUGUUUUCCAUAAAAACAAAUAUAUGAAAAUAAAGAAAAUAUUUUACGUGAGUGAGUUAUUUUUAAUAAAACAAACGCAUUCAAAUUUUUACAAUUAGAUUAAUGGUUGGAUCCUGUCAAACCACUUAUUCGACUGGUCUAACUAGUUGAUUUGAUUUAAUUAAAUAAAUUAUUAAAAACUCGUUAAAAAUAAAAUAAUAAUAAUUUAGUCGUCAAAUCAUGCUAUAGGUCAUCUUUUUCCAAUGCCUUUUAGAGCUACAGUUGUCCCAAUCAAAUAGAAACUUUUUCCAAUAUUGCUGAGUUAAAGGAGAUGAUUGUGUAAAGCAAGAUGCAUUGUUACAAAUCUCAAUUCUUCAACACAAUCAAUAACAGAUUAACAGCUGAACCAAGCUUUAUAUUCAAGCACAAGGAAAAAUUAUUUUAACUUAACACUAAAUCAAAUGUAUAGCUUAGUACGAGACUCAACCUCUAAGGUAAAAAAAAAAAAAACUCUACCUAUAAUUUUGAAAUUAUUUAAGAGAAUACACAUUUUAGUUUUUUUUAUAUUAUUUAUGUUCGUUUUAUGAUCUAUAUUCGAGGUUUAUGGCUAUAUUUUUUAACAAUAUUGUCUUCAAAAUUAAAACCUGUAUCUUUUCCUUAAAAGUGCAACAUAUCUUUUCAUUAUACCUGACCACUUAUUGCUCUUGUUUUGUUGAAAGUUAUUAAAAAAAUGUGUUUCGUUACUACGAAUCAAAACUUCGUUUUAAGUGGUUAUGUGUAUCUCCUACUAUUAAAAAAGUCUAGGCAUUGUAAUAGUACAAAAUUUUAUUUUUAAUUAUUAAUUAUAAUAGUUUAAUAUUAUUUUCAAUAAUGAAUUAGGUUGCUGAACAGGUUUGGCUCAAAUCUAGUUUAUAUUACCCUUAAAAGUAAAUUAAAUAAUAGUUAAAAUUCAAUAAUGUUGACGUUUAUAAUGAUUUAAAUUAGAUGAUGUCUCUAUUUCAUCUUCCUUGAUAGUGACAACCCUCACCUUCUCCAUUUUAUAACCAAUAUGAAUUACAGAUGUUCAUAUAUAUAUAUAGUUAAACAUACUUAAAUAUAGAUCCUUUUAAAUAUUAUAAUACUAUUUAUAUUGAUGGACUUAAAUCUACGUAAUUUAUUACAAUCAAGUCCCUAAAAUCUGGCAUGGUUCAAACUUAACGAAAGCAAAAAGGGGGCAACAUUAUUGAUGGAAUAAACAAUCACUCGUAAUCCAUAGAAGAAGAUAAAAAGCUAGCAAGAUAAUCAUCUUAAUCGUGAAUUACAGUCACAUUAUACUCAACAAUGGCAUCGCCAGUCUUGAAAUUCACGGAAUAAGUCUUGAGUUGUGCAUACCCUUUCGCCAUCCUGAACUUCCCUUUCCCUCCGACCACCGCAAGCUCACGCUCCGAUUCGGUAAUUGGAUUCCUCGACAAAACACUGAUAGAGCUGCCGUUGAAUUCACCUUUCGUAAACCCGAUGUCCAAGUACGCCAUCAGAGUCAAAACGUCUUUGCCUGUCGACACCCAGAGGCCUUGAGCGUUCCCUAUGACCUCUGAUGUUAUGUCGGGGCCAACGGUGAGUGGAUCAUCGAAAGCUAUCACGCCGCCGAAGCCCGUCGAGGUGGUGGUGUUUGGACUGACUAUGGGGACUGCACUAGGAUUGUUGCCGCUCCUAGUGUCGUGUAAAAAGAAGUGGAGAUAGGUUACUUUUUGGGGAGGUGGAACGUAUGGUCCGGCAUGGGAGUAAUAAUCUUGGCAACGAGCUACUGCCAUGGCGGUGCUGAGACUCAAAAUCCAGGCUAAUAUCAUAUUUCUCUCCAUUGGUAAUGGUCAAUGGGAUUUCACUCUUGUGUAUAUUGUAUUAUGGCACCUAAUUCAUAGGUUCCUAAGUUUAUAUAGAAAGAUAAAAUAAAACAAAACAAAUAUUUAUAUUUAUAUUUUUAUCAUUUUAAUUUUUUAAUUAAAUUUAAUCAUUAAUCUUUUAAAAAAUAAGAUAGUUUUCUUUUAUCAAAAAUACUAAUUAAAACAUUAAUUUUUUAAUCAUGUCAGCAUGAUAACCAACAUAAUAGUUCACGUAUAUUUAUCCUAAUAUGAUACUAUUGUUCUAAUGAAUAAAAAUUUUAAAAUUCAAAACAAAUAUAAAAAAGUUAAAAAAAUUAGCAUGAUGUACGCGUUGAUUACCAUAUGACUGUUAUAUUUAAAUAUUAAACAAUUUAGUAAGUAUUUAUGUUUAAAAAAAAGUAAUUAGAUUUAAUGGUCAAAUUAAACUCGUUUUAAAAGGUUUAGGAUCAAAUUUAAUUAAAAGAGGAUCAAAAUUGAUAAAAGAAUAUAAAUAUUAAAAAGUCUAUAGGCCCUUCCGUUGGGUUAAUUAAGAUUCAGUAAUACUAAUGUAUUUGUGCUAUGUACAAAAAUACAAUUAUAAUAUUAUUGGUGGCAAAAAAAAAAGAUAAUACUAAUGUAUUUUAUAUAAAAUUAAUAUAAAAUAGAUAAGUAAAAUUUAGGAUAAAUUCAUAAAUCUAUCAAUUUUGAAAAUAAAAUAACUUCAAUUUAUGAGAAAUAAGAAUAAUUAACAAAUUAUACUUCUAACUCAAACCAAUCCGUACAAUGCUAAGGCUGGUAGCUUUUGGUUAUAUUGCUUAAAAGCUUUCGCAUUCUUAAUCUGCAUAAAACAACGAAGGAUGAGAAGACUAUCAUAUCCUGCUUGAUGGCUUAAUCCAGCAACACGAGCCACGUUUAAAGUUUUUGCCACCUUUUCUAGUCCACCGUGUAAGUUAAAGAUCUUGAAACUGUACUUGAUGUCAAAAAUCAUACAACCAAAGUAAUAAGUCAAAUGUCGCAUGAAAGACUUGAGAUCAGGCGGUAAUAGAUUUUGAGUCAAAAUCUUCAAAAAAAACCCAAAAUCAUAAGCGCUGUGAAAAGUUACCAAAGUCAAUUCACUGAAACCCAACCCGGAAAUCAGAACCAUCAUGCCAAAAUCUCUUGAACAGAUGCCUUUUUCCUUAUUCCUUGUAAAAUCUAUACCUUGUCGUUUAAGCAACUCAAUAGACUCUUUAUCGUAAUGAUCUUUUUCAAUAUCAAAAUCUUUAAAAUUAAACUCCCAUAUAUAACAAAAAGGAGUUCCGAAAUCUGGCAAAUUACCUUCAGAAUCAGAGAGUGUUAAACUGAGUUGAAUGAUCUUCAAAGCAUCGACAUUAACUUUCAUGAACCUGUAAUUGACUUCGGGAUUUCCUAAUUGAACAAAUCUUUUGUCCGGUUUAAAAAUUGUACCAGGAAAUUCGGUAUCCAUAGAAACAAACGAAUAGUUGUGGAGUGCACUUUGAAUUAACAUAAACUCGUAUUCCAAAUUAUCAGCAAAUACUUCCCUAACAAUCACUGGUUUGUUGACAAAAAUCGACAUUUUUUUUUCUUGACUUAUACUUUAAACUGAAACUAUUGAACUCUAGAUAUACUUUUCGUGAUCUUAAGUCAGUUCUAACUAAGAUAUAUAUAUAAAUAUAAUUUUCAUAAUCCUAAUUCAAUUCUAACUAAUAUAAUUUUCGUAAUCCUAAUUAAGUUCUAAGAUAGUGUAUUAAUAUAAGGAGGGUACUCUGUUAUAUAUAAUUUCUUAAUUUAAUUUUUUUACUAAAUUCGUUUUAGGAAAGGAAAAAGAAAAACUUGUGGAUUUUACUAAUUUGCCCUUGAAAGUUACUGCAAGUUAUAUGUUUUGAUGGGUGAGAUUUAGGUUUAAGGUUUAGUGUUUACAUUUUUAAGUUUAUGUUUUAUUAUUAAUAAUAAUAUAAAAGGUGUCACAAUUAUAUAUUUCAAAAAAUAUAAUUUAAUAUUUAGUUACACAUUUAAAAAUAAUUAUAAUUUAAUUAACCCCCAAGGCGGAAUGAUCAGUAUCGAAAAUAUCCCAUUGGUCGCGAAAACACGCGGACCUUAGGCCGGGUAGGGUCGGUCGGAUCGGGUUGUAUCAAAACGGCGCCGUUUUAGCAUCGGAAAUUAAAAUUCAAAACGAUGCCGUUUUACAACUCCUAUUUAAGUAAAAAAAUUUUAAAAAAUAUCAUUUCAGCCUUCAUUUAAAAAAAAACCGAAACCUUCGUUUUUUUUCUCAAAGCUAUCUCAGGCCGGUCAUAGCUCCGGCGAUCACCGUCGUACCGGCCACCUGUCACCGGCGAGAGCUCCGCCAUACACUGAGCCUUUAGUUUUUAUUUAUUUAUUUGGGCUUGUUAUUAUUAUUAAUUUUUAUUUUAUUUCUUGGUUUAUUUUUUGAUGGGCCGGGCAAAAAUGUCCCAUUUCAGAGUAGAAGGUUAUUGUUCUCCCUUCAAUCCUAAUUUAGUCAAAAACAGUCUAUAGCCUACGUCUAACUUGGAAUUUUCUUGAAUGCUUUUGGGUUUUUGUAAGUUUAGUUUGUAGUUGAUAUUUUGAGACCUCAAAUGAUGAAUUUAGGUACUGCAAAGUUAAACAUCCGUAACCAUACCAAAUUCUUAGGUCAUCUUUAAGGUCAGAUAUAACCAAUGUAUUCUAUAUUUAUGGAUGAACAGAUGUGUUUUUGCUGUUACAAAAUGGCGUAAACCUCUUGGUUUGAAGCUCCCUUUUCUCACCUGUAUUGGCUUCCUUUAGUGUCAUAUAUCCGACUACCCAAAUUGCAUUAUAUGCCUCUCGAGAACACACAGCACAGGCAGGAAAGUUAGAUCAGCUGAAAUCAGGCUGCAAAAUAACUUCUAAAAAUGGGUUAACUUUUAAAUAUUAUAACAAUUAAGUCCCUUAAGUCUGACACGUUUCAAACCUAACGAAAGCAACAGGGGGCCAACAUUAUUGGUGGAAUAAACAAUCACUCCUAAUCCAUAGAAGAAGAAAAAAAAAACUAGCAAGAUAAUCAUCUUAAUAAUGAAUUACAGUCACAUUAUACUCAACAAUGGCGUCGCCAGUCUUGAAAUUUACGGAAUAAGUCUUGAGUUGUGCAUACCCUUUCGCCAUCCUGAACUUCCCUUUCCCUCCGACCACCGCAAGCUCACGCUCCGAUUCGGUAAUUGGAUUCCUCGACAAAACACUGAUAGAGCUGCCGUUGAAUUCACCUUUCGUAAACCCGAUGUCCAAGUACGCCAUCAGAGUCAAAACGUCUUUGCCUGUCGACACCCAGAGGCCUUGAGCGUUCCCUAUGACCUCUGAUGUUAUGUCGGGGCCAACGGUGAGUGGAUCAUCGAAAGCUAUCACGCCGCCGAACCCCGUCGAGGUGGUGAUGUUUGGACUGACUAUGGGGAUUGCACUAGGGUUGUUGCCGCUCAUAGUGUCGUGUAAAAAGAAGUGGAGAUAGGUUACUUUUUGUGGAGGCGGAACAUAUGGUCCGGCAUGGGAGUAAAAAUCUUGGCAACGAGCUACUGCCAUGGCGGUGCUGAGAAUCAAAAUCCAGGCUAAUAUCAUAUUUUUCUCCAUUGGUAAUGGUCAAUGGGAUUUCACUACUGUGAUUAUUGUAUUAUGGCAGCUAAUCGAUAGGUUCAAUUUAUCCUUUUUUUAAUUAAUAUUUUUCAUUAAACUUUAAAAGGAAGUUAAAUAUUUUGUUUAACGAAGUACUACCUAAAAUAUUAAUCUUUUAAUUAUGUUAGCGUCACAAUUAAUAUGAAAAUUUAUGUGUAUUUUAUCUUAUAAAAAAGUAAGUAAAUUCUUUCUAAAAUUUUAAUAGUUAAAUUAAAUUAUUUAUAAAAAAUUUAGGGCUAAAUUUAAGUAUAAAAAAGGAUAAAUUAAUAAAAAAUAUAAAUAUUAAAGAAUAAAUGGAUGAUUAUGCAAUUUAAUUAUAGAGAAGGCAAUCUCUGCCCGAGCUCUCACUUAAUGGAAGGCAUCGUAAUGACAUUGUUAUCGCAAAACGUAAGCAACCAUCUAUGGGCCUUCCCUAGGGUUAAUUAAAAUUCAAUAAUACUAAUGUAUUUGUGCUAUGUACAAAUAUAAAAUUAUAAUCUUAUUGGUGGCCAAAAUAAACGAUAGUACUAAUGUAUUUUAUAUAAAAUUAAUAUAAAGUAGAUAAGUAAAAUUUAGAAUAAAUUCAUAAAUCUAUUAAUUUUGAAAAUAACAUAACUUCAAUGUAUGAGAAACAAGAAUAAUUAACAAAUUAUAUUUCUAACUCAAACUAGUCCGUACAAUGCUAAGGCUGAUAACUUUUGGUUACAUUGCUUAAAAGCUUUCGCAUUCUUAAUCUGCAUAAAACAACGGAGGAUGAGAAGACUAUCAGAUCCUGCUUGAUGGCUUAAUCCAGCAACACGAGCCACAUUUAAAGUUUUUGCCACCUUUUCUAGUCCACCGUGCAAGUUAAAGAUCUUGAAACUGUACUUGAUGUCAAAAAUCAUACAACCAAAGUAAUAAGUCAAAUGUCGCAUGAAAGACUUGAGAUCAGGCGGUAAUAGAUUUUGAGUCAAAAUCUUCAAAAAAAACCCAAAAUCAUAAGCGCUGUGAAAAGUUACCAAAGUCAAUUCACCGAAACCCAACCCGGAAAUCAGAACCAUCAUGCCAAAAUCUCUUGAACAGAUGCCUUUUUCCUUAUUCCUUGUAAAAUCUAUACCUUGUCGUUUAAGCAACUCAAUAGACUCUUUAUCGUAAUGAUCUUUUUCAAUAUCAAAAUCUUUAAAAUUAAACUCCCAUAUAUAACAAAAAGGAGUUCCGAAAUCUGGCAAAUUACCUUCAGAAUCAAAGAGUGUUAAACUGAGUUGAAUGAUCUUCAAAGCAUCGACAUUAACUUUCAUGAACCUGUAAUUGACUUCGGGAUUUCCUAAUUGAACAAAUCUUUUGUCCGGUUUAAAAAUUGUACCAGGAAAUUCGGUAUCCAUAGAAACAAACGAAUAGUUGUGGAGUGCACUUUGAAUUAACAUAAACUCGUAUUCCAAAUUAUCAGCAAAUACUUCCCUAACAAUCACUGGUUUGUUGACAAAAAUCGACAUUUUUUUUUCUUGACUUAUACUUUAAACUGAAACUAUUGAACUCUAGAUAUACUUUUCGUGAUCUUAAGUCAGUUCUAACUAAGAUAUAUAUAUAAAUAUAAUUUUCAUAAUCCUAAUUCAAUUCUAACUAAUAUAAUUUUCGUAAUCCUAAUUAAGUUCUAAGAUAGUGUAUUAAUAUAAGGAGGGUACUCUGUUAUAUAUAAUUUCUUAAUUUAAUUUUUUUACUAAAUUCGUUUUAGGAAAGGAAAAAGAAAAACUUGUGGAUUUUACUAAUUUGCCCUUGAAAGUUACGGCAAGUUUUAUGUUUUGAUGGGUGAGAUUUAGGUUUAAGGUUUAGUGUUUACAUUUUUAAGUUUAUGUUUUAUUAUUAAUAAUAAUAUAAAAGGUGUCACAAUUAUAUAUUUUAAAAAUAUAUAAUUUAAUAUUUAGUUACACAUUUAAAAAUAAUUAUAAUUUAAUUCAUAAUUAUUAAUUAAAAUAAUUGUGUUAAUUUUAAAACAAAGUUCUAUCAGAAUAAAAUUUUAAACAUAAAAUGUAGGAAAAAAAUUGCAAUAAUUAUAAUUAUAAGUUAAAUCACAAUUAUUAAUUAAAAAGAGUUUGACGUAAACAAAAAGUUGCACUAGCUUUAUCGAAGUAGAAUUCUAAUAAUCUUAAUUAUUACUUAAAUUAAUAUUAGGGUUGUACAAGCCCAAUUUCGCCCGGCCCAUACCAACAAAACAAAAAUGGCCCAUUUACAAAAUUUUAACCCAAAUCAAAACAACCAACAGGCCCAACACCAAUUUGCCUAACCCUAGGGCCUUCGUCCACCUGCUCUGCCACCACCAACUCACCUGCUCCACCUCGCCGCACGCCACCAACUCUCUACCAUCGCCCAACUGCCCACCUGCCAACAAGAGAAGAAAGCAGCAACAACAAGCAAGUAAUAGAAAAAUUAUAAAAUGACUAUUUAAAAGCCAUUCGAGCAUUACCAAAAGGGGGGAAUCGGUUGUAAAAAACCGAUCUUUGCAUCUGUAAAAGCUCUCUCUUUCACGUUUUAAAAGAAAUAAAAAAAGCAGAUUCAAAACCCUUUUUCGGUAUAUCUAUUUUCCUUUUCUGUUUUUUAUUUCUUUUCUCUUUAUUUUUUUCGAAGCUAUUUGUAUUUGAUUUUGGCUUCUUUUAUUUUUUUAAACUAUAUAUAUAACGUAUAACAUAUAAAAAAAGGGGCAAAAAAAAACCUUCUUUUGAACACGGUGGCCAGCGCGGCGGCGGCUCUCCUGGCCAGAUCUUUGGCCGGCGUUUGGAAAAUGGGGAGAGGGUUUGAGAGAAUUUUGGUUUUUUUAAGGAAAAGGGAGAAAAUGAAAUUUUAAGAAAAAUGGAUUUAUAUAGGAUAUUAAAACGGCGCCGUUUUGGAGGAGUUCAGAAAGCCUCAAAACGACGUCGUUUUGACAUGGAUCAAACCGACCCAACCCGAACCGCCUAGGAUCCGCGUGUUUCUAGAUAAAAGGGGUUAUUUGUGCUCCUGGUCCUUCCGCUUUUGAGGCUGUUUACGAUCGGGUCCUAUUUUGUUUCUAUUUUUCAAUUUGGCCACAAAAUUUCAUUUUUCUCUCGAUUUUGGUCCUCAAUGAAGUUGCGCGUUUUAGAGGAGAAGGGAAAAUUUCCCUUCCAGCCCCUCUAAGUUAUUCGCGCGCUCAAUAUAACCCCUCCCCUUUGAUUUUAUUUGCGAUUCAGCCUCAAGUUUUUUUAUUUAUUCAAUUUAGUCUAACUCUUUUUAUUAUCUAUUACCAUGUUAUUUUAUAUUUGUAGUUUAUGUACAUACCUAUACAUAUAUUAUUUAUUUCCUCUUGUUUUAUUUUUUUAUUUUUUUUAUAAACGUAAAUAUAUGUUUGAAUUUAUGCAAUUAUAUAUAUAUAUAUGUAUAUACAUUUUUAUGUUUCUUGUAACCAUGCAUAUACAUGUUCUUAUAUAUGAAUAUAUGCAAUGUAUGUUUUACAAUUUAUUUUAUACACAUGCACGUCUAUAUGUAUAUUACUACUUUAUUUCUUUACACGUAUCUAUAUACAUAUACAUAUCUAAAUUUACGUACAUGCAUAUGUAUAAACGCAUUUUUUUUUAUAUUACAUAAAUUUUUUUUAUAUAUACAUAUACAUAUCUUUUAUUUUCAUGAAUACACACAUAUAUCUUUUAUAUUUUUAUAGUUAUACAUUUUCUUUGUCUAUUUCUUUAUUCAUAUUUUCAUUAUUAUUUUGAAUGAAUGCUUCAAUUUUAUUUCCCUAUGUGUAUUGCUAUUUUGUAUGUUAUUUGUUUACCCUCUUAUCUAAUUUAUUUUCAUUGCUAUUACUCAUAUUAUUUAUGCUACAUCAUCGUACUCAUUUUUGUUCGCAUUUUGACACCGUGUUUUAUUUUGUGUUAAGAUUAAUUUUAUUUGAUGUAUAAAUUAUGAUUUUAUUUGAAUAAGCAAAAACUCGUGUUUAGAUUUGCGAAGGUCGUACCCUAACUUACUGGGUUUCGAUUUUCACAAUAAAUCUAAAUACGUGAAAAUUUUUUAAACUCAAGUUUUAAAUGAUCUUGGGAAUUAAGAAAAGAUCGUGUCCUAACUUACUGGGCAUGAUCCCUUUUCUAAACCCGAGAUAAUUAAAUGUCUUUUUAAAUAAGUAAAUUUUUUGGCAUGUAUUCUCGUAUCGGGAAUUCGAUACGUUGUGUCCUAAUGCAUUGGAUAUGACAUGUCGUUUUCUCGAGAUGAGGAUUUUCCUUUUAAAAUUUUUUUCAAAAUAAGGCAAUGUUUUGCGUUUGGAAAUUCGAGAAACGUGCCCUAAGGUGUUGGGUUUCGAUUUAUCGUUUAACCAAAUUGCCAAAUAUCCUCUUGAAUUUUAAUCCAUGCCAUUCGAGUUUUUUUUAAGGAUCAUAUUUUAAAUUUCUUUAAAGUUUUCAGUUUUUCGACACUAAGACAGUAAGUAAUCAACUAGGUACCAAUUUUGGGCGUAUCGAGGGUGCUAAUCCUUCCUCGUGCGUAACCGACUCCCGAACCCAUUUUUCUAAAUUUCGUUGACCAAACCUCCUGUUUUAAUAAAAUCAAAUUAUUUAUUAAAAACAACCAUUUUUCGAGGUGAUCCGAUCACACCUCAUCAAAAAGGAUCGGUGGCGACUCCCAUUUUCGUUUUUAUUUUUUAAAACCCAAGUCGAUCCCGUUUUCAUCCAAAAAAUGGUGUCAACAAGGGUUAAUUAGUUAUUGUUUUGAAUAAUGUUAUUUUAAAUUAAGCGAAACUACGUUACAUAUUGAAUAUGUUAAUAAUGCUUUAAUUAUGAUUUGGAAAUUUUCUAUUCUAAUAUUUGAACUGAUAAUUUUUUUUUUUGAAAUAAAAGAAACACACAUUUGGCAAUAAUGUAACUAAAAAAAUAACAUUAUAAUGGAUCUGAAUUUAACAAAAUAAUUCUAACAGUGUUAACAGUUGGACUUAAGUUUUGAAAUCUAAAAAAUAAAUUCUAAAUUCUAAAUUUAGAUUAUUUAAACUCUAAAAAAUAACAUUGAACCAGUAUUUGCAAACUAUGUUUAUUAGAUACGAGCAUGUGUCUAAUACGAAAAUAGUCAAUUAUUUAAACUCCGAGUGACAAAAUGGGAUUAAAAUAGUAUCAAUUUUCUGCAAAGAAGUAACCCUUUUAUGACCUUCAUUUGCCUUAUACUCUGCUAUCGAAUCCACCAUCGGCAUUGAAUUGCAUUUUUUCGUUUCAUCCGUAAAAUUCUAGUUAAUAAAAUUGCACUCCCCAUGAAAGACCUUACGACAUGGACCUCAAUUGAUAGUUUGUUCAUCAUGUUAGGAUCGCCCCGAUUAAGCAACAAGUAAAAACAUAGCGGAAUAAAUUGAGAAAUCGAACACACAAAUUUAACACGGUAAAACUCCUCCAAAGAGGAUAAAAAAAAUCACGGAUAAAGAGUAUAAAAGAUGGAAAUAAAAACUAAACCCCGAAAACAAAGAACCCUUAAAACGUAAACACAAAAUUCUCUAAAUGUGUUAUGAGUUCUAAUCUCUAAUGGGUGUAUUUUCUAAUAUUGUAAAAGAACCUAUUUAUAAGGCUAAAUUAGUAGCUCAAAUAAACUAUGCUAAUAAAUGCUAAAUAUAUUAUACUAAUAAAUACUAAAUCUUCUAGAAAGAAAAUAUAUUUUGUUUAACUUGACUUGCAAACAAUCUCUUAGAAUUUAAGUCACACAACUCUAACACAUAACAUUUUCACAAUUCAUGUUCCAAGUUCGGUCACUUCCAAUUGGAUCUUUAGUACAAUUAUUGAACUCUAUAACCCCAUAUAGUAUAAGAGUAUCCUUAUUAAAAAGCCUUAUAUUAUCUGUGCUCACAAAAAUGGCUUCUUGGAUCCUUUUAUCAACCCGAUCCCUUCGAAGAAGGGUCCAUGUAUCACCGUUUACUUCAAGAAAUGCAUUAGGAAUUAAUGGGACAUGGUUGAGAGUGAGGUAUUUGAGAAUUGAAGUUGAAUCAUAGUUCUCAAACUCGUCUAUAUUGACAUAGAAAACUCUUAAAUCAAGCCAAGAUAAUGGCUUGUAAGGAGAGUGGGGAUUGACCAUUCAAUGAUGGUUCAUAAACCCUAUCCAUCAAAGAGGUCUUAGAGAUUAUGAAAUUGAAAAGAGAAUCAGACAGCAAAUUCAAGCAUUGGGUUUAUAUAGACAAUAUAUAUAUAUACAUGAUAGGUGUACAGAAUUAUAUUAAAAUAAAGUCAUCAAAAACAAAUUAUGUGUAAGAUAAUUAAGGAAAGAGUGGAGUUUUUGGUGUCUGUUUUUGGAGAAAGGAUCAAAUGAAAACAAUAAUAACUCAAUUCUUGGUCACAAAUACACGAACGAAAACAAAACUUUAAUAAUAGAACUCUAAUAACAUGAGCAACUAUGGAAAAAAAAAAAAACUAGAACACUGCUACAAACAAGACCAUGUUUAACAAAAUCCAAUGCCAAGUAAUACUGCAUUUGACAGUAAUAACAAUCACAACAAAACAUUAAAAAAAAAAAGUCUCAUCUAAAACUCAACAUCUGGAAGACAUCCAAAAAAGUUCAAAUGAAGCUCUUCUUCUCCCUUUCUAUGGACCUAUGCUUGGCAUUUGUCAGUGUCUAUCUUCAAUUCUCUGCAACAUGGCCAUUCUCCGAUUUCUCGGCACUGGAUGUCAUAAGGGAAACAAGAUCAUAAUUAGCAAUGUCAUUUUGCUGAGACACACAAUUGACAACUCAAGCAGAACUCAACAGAGGGAUCUAACAGGCAUGGUAUUUCACGGGGUUGAAACCAAGCAACGUUUAGUUACUUUCUAAUGCUUCGUGAAUAUAAAGUAAAAUAACUACCAAGUUCUCAAACUCUUCCAUAUACAAGGGACUUUUGACACAAGAAGUUCUCGGACUCUUUCGCAAACCGCAUUCUCCAUACUUUGGACUUGGUCAUGUAGGUCAAACAGUAAGAGCAGGCUGCAGGAGAGAUGAAAAAGAUGCAUGGUUAUUGCUCGAGUUAAAUCACUAUGGGGCCUGAACUAACUGUAUCACAUCGGGGGCUUGAACUUUCUUUUUGUCCAAGUUAAUCCCUGAACUUGACAAAUAUAUAUAAACACUUUCUAAUGAAUCAACAUGAGAAAAACAACAAAUAAAGCAAUAUUCUAAAAUUAACCAAGCAAUGAAAAUCCAGUUAAUUGAAGAGACCUUUGGGUUGAUGAUCAGCAUCAGCUGUAGCUUCAACAGGGUCACUCUUCCUCAAGCUCUUGUCAUGGCCAUUACCGAAGCUUGCCUUUGCUCAUCUCUCUUUCUCUGUAACAGCUACUGUCCCUUUAAUCUUCAUAGCUUCAAGCUUUUCAUCAAUCUCCUUCCAGUCUUUCCCCUUUUCCUUCAACACCUCCUCUCUCGGCCUUGCCUCGCCGAAAUAAGGGAAAUCGGAGAGUAAUUAAAGGCAUCCUCAAUUGGCGGAAAGAGAAAGCAAUCUCUGCCCAAGGUCUCACUUAAUUGAAGGCAUUGUAAUGACAUUGUUAUAGCAAAACGUAAGCAGCCAUCUAUAGGCCCCUUCCCAAGAUUUAAUUAAGAUUCAGUAAUACUAAUGUAUUUGUGCUAUGUACAAAAAUAUACAAUUAUAAUAUUAUUGGUGGCCAAAAAAAUGAUUAUAUUAAUGUAUUUUAUAUAAAAAUAAUGUAAAUUUUAGUAUUUGACAAAUCUAUCAAAUUUGAAAAUAAUAUAAUUACAAUAUAUGAGAAAUAAGAAUAGCUAACAAAUUAUACUUCUAACUCAAACCAAUCCGUACAAUGCUAAGGCCGGUAAAUUUUGGUUACAUUGCUUAAAAGCUUUCAUAUUUUUAAUCCGCAUAAAACAAUGGAGGAUGAGAAGGCUAUCAGAUCCUGCUUGAUGGCUUAAUCUAGCAACACGAGCCACAUUUAAAGUUUUUGCCACCUUUUCUAGCCCACCAUGUAAGUUAAAGAUCUUGAAAUUGUACUUAAUGUCAAAAAUCCUACAACCGAAGUAAUAAGUCAUAUGUCGCAUGAAAGACUUGAGAUCAGGCGGCAAUGGAUGUUGAGUCAAAAUCUUCAACAAAAAAAUCAUAAGCGCUGUGAAAAGUUACUCAAGUCAAUUCACCGAAACCCAACCCGGAAAUAAGAAACAUCAUGCCGAAAUCUCUCGAAUAAAUACCUUUUUCCUUAUUCCUCGUCAAAUCUAUACCUUGUCGUUUAAGUAACUCAAUAGACUCUUUAUCGUACCGAUCUUUUUCAAUAUCAAAAUCUCUAAAAUUAAACUCCCAUAUAUAACAAAAAGGAGUUUCGAAAUCUGGCAAAUUACCUUCAGAAUCAGAGAGUGUUAAACCAAGUUGAAUGAUCUUCAAAGCAUCGACAUUAACUUUCAUGAACCUAUAAUUGAUUUUAGGAUUUCCUAGUUGAACGAUAUUUUUGUCUGGUUUGAAAAUCGUACCAGGAAAUUCGGUAUCCAUAGAAACAAAAGGAUAAUUGUUGAGUGCACUUUGAAUUAACAUAAACUCGUAUUCCAAAUUGUCAACAAAUACUUCCCUAACAAUCACUGGUUUGUUGACAAAAAUCGACAUUUUUUCUUUUUCUUUUCUCUAACUUAUGCUUUAAGCUGAAACUAUUGAACUCUAUAUAUAAUUUUCGUGAUCUUAAUUCAGUUCUAACUAGAAUAUAUAUAAAUAUAAUUUUCCUAAUCCUAAUUCAAUUCUAGCUAAUAUAUAUUUAUAAAAUAUAAUUUUCAUAAUCCUAAUUAAGUUAUGCGUUCGGACUAAGAUAUAUUGUGUAUUAAUACAAGGAGGGAACUACGUUAUUUAUAAUUUUCUAAUUUAAAAUUUAUUUUUUAAUAUUAUUAUUUUACUAAAUUUUACAGGUGGACUCUAAUCUUAUUUGUAUCCUUUAAAGAAAUAAAAGAUAAUGGAGAGUGGGUCUUGACCGUUUGGCCCUUCAACGAUGGCUCAUAAACCCUUUCCAUUAAAGAGAAACAAACAGCAAAUCCAAGCAUUUGAAUAGGUUUUAUCGACUUUUAAAAAAUUAAAUUAAAUUUUUAUCAUUUUUAAGAAGACUAAAGUAUAAUUUUAUCAUUAUUAAUUUAAAAUUUUAAAAAAUUUAAAGAACCUAAAUAAAAAAAUUUUCAUUUUAAAAGAGGUCGGGCCUGACACCCCCUCCCCCGGGGCUACAAAAUUAUAUUAAAAACAAAAGGGCUGUGUAAUAUUUAAAUAAAGCCAUUGAAGACAAAUUGUGUGUAAGAUAAUCAAGGAAAGAGUGGUGUUUUUUCGUGUCUGUUUUAACGGAAAUUAUUGUAUGAAACAGUGAUAUUAUUAUUUUUCAAUAGUUUAAUGUCAUGUCAACAAUUUCAUCUUAAAUUUUAAGAUUUUCAUUUCAGGAUAAAUAUAUUGAUACGACAUUAAACUAUUAAAAAAAGAUAUAGAUGACGUGGUAUCCCAAUUACAUACAAUAAUUUCCCCUAUUUUAGCAGUUUUCGUAUAACACAGUAUUAAUCUUGUAUUUGUGACUCUCAAUGACUUGGCCAAAAGUGAUCCAUUGUCUUCUUUAUGUUGCUUUAUAGGACUUUUUGGAGUUCUCUUUGAGGAGUUGAUAGGUUCAUGUUGGAUGAUUUUGUAUUGGUGCUUGUUUGCUGCAGCUGGCCUGAUCAGACACAAGCCUUCAGGAGAGGCCACAACAGACGUGAAACCCAAGAGGAGACGUCGGAAUCUCUAUGGUGUCGAAGGCUGAAUCAUCACCCUUUAGACAUUGAUCAUAAAAAUAAAAUUUUCAAUCAUAAAAUUUAAACUCGAACUGUUUGAAGUAAACUAAAUCCGAGCCUAUAAUGUUGUACAAUAAGAGUUAGUCUUCACACAUACGACAUGAAUAUACCAACACCACACAAGCACACAUUACAUUCAAAGAGAACUACUUAAAUAAAAACUUACCAUUUACUCUCGAAAAAUAAUAUGGAAGCACAAAAACACAAAUAAUGUCUACAUUACCACGUGAAAAGCACAUGCAGCAGCACUCCCUAUUUACAAAACCCACAUGUCGUCACUCUUCUUAAAGAUAGACCCGUUGACAAGAAUAUUAUUUAGUGGGAUAUAUGUAAGGGACCAAUUUCAUCCGGUCCAACAAAAGUCAAACAAAUAAAUAAAAAUAAUAAAAAGUUCAUUUACAAAAAAAAUAAUAGCCCAAAUACAAAAAAAAAUCCUAAAAAUCAAAGCCCAACCCACGACCUAAACUCUUUUUUAGAAAAAAAAAUCCUAGACCCCUACGUGCCGUUGCUCCUAACCACGUCAAUAGAUGCAUCGCCUGAGGAUUGCCUCCCUUGCCAUCAUUUCACCGAAAUGGCAAGGGUGCGACUCCCAUCGUCGUUGACCGCCAUGAGUACCUUCAAAGAAGAAAGAAAAGCACAGAAAUGGAAAGCAGAACAGAAACAAAAAGAAAAGAAAAAAUGAAAUACUGUAAUGGCUGUAAAAGCCAAACUAUUGUAAGAUUCAAACAAGCAAUCAAAUAGAAUACAAAAAAGGCUUAACUUUCAGACGCCAAAAAAACGUCGUUUCAAGCUAGACUUGCCGACCCGAUCCGGAUCCCCUAAGAUCCGCGUGUUUUCACGAAAAGGGUCUAAUUGCGACCCUAGUCCUUCCUCUUUUUAAACACUUUUCAAUACAGUCCUAUUUCUGGUUUUUUCUUUCUUUUUUUAAAUUUAUACCAUUUAAUUUUAGAUUUUUUUAUUUUGGUCCCUCUUGGAAACGGUGCGUUUAAUGGGUUUGGGAAUAAUUUCCCAUUUGAUCACUACUCCUUUUCGCGCGUUCUAUUUUGGUCCUUUAUUCUGCCUUAUUAAUUUAUUUAUUUAUUUUAUUAUGAUUUAUGCUUUUAAUUUCAUUUAAAUUCCAAUGCAAUCCUUUAUUUAUUUAAUUUCACCCUUUUAUGAACUGUUUUUAUUUAUUUAUGUAUUAUUUCUUUACCUUUUUUAAUACUUAAAAUUUAUGUUAUUCAUAUUUCCUUUUUAUUGUGCAUUUUUUGCCCUCAUUAUUAUUAUUUCAUUAUUCACAUUAAUAUUAUGAUAGUAAUCAUGACAUGAUAUUGUUACCACAAAUUGAAGUUUUUACUUUCAUUAUAUUUGUAUUAUUAUUGCUCAUUAGCAUGGCACUUUUAUUUUACCUUUUAUUCGUUUUUCUCUUUAUUCAUUUAUUUUUUUAUUAUUCUAAUAUUAUUUUGCUUUAUUUUCAUUAAUUAUCAUGCCAUCAUGUUAAAAUAGAUUUAUUCAUUUUUACACUAUGCCUAAAUAAAUUAAAUGUAUAUCGUUUUAAAAAGUUACCUUCGUUUUAUUUAAUAUAUAGAAAACACUUAAAACCGAGGCAAUGUUCAUUAUUUUUGGAAUUCGAGGAGUUGUGCUCCUAACUUACGGAGUAUGACAUCUUCCUAAAACCGAAGUAAUCAAAUAUCCUAUUUAAAAUAACGAGAAGCAAGAUUCAGGUAACAAUCAAAUGGCGAUUAUUCUGAUUUUCGAGAAUUAGAGGCAUCGUCUCCUAACUCACGGGGCAUGGUCCUUUUUCUCGAUUAACUCAAAAUAAGGCCUUUUCCAUUGAAUUUAAUUUAGUUAAGUAAUAUCUUAAUCAAAUGAUAUUAUACAAAGAGGGAUCGUGUUUUAAAUUCUCUUCAAAUUUUCAGUUCUCGACACUAAGAUAUCAAGUAAUCAAUUAGGUACCAAUUUUGGGCGUUAUAAGGGUGCUAAUCCUUCCUCAUAUGUAACUGACUCCCGAACCUAUUUCCUAGAUUUUGUAAGACUGAAAAUAAUUUUAAUAAAUCUAACAUUUUAUUAAAAUGAUAAAGUUUUGAGGUGAUCCAAUCACACCUAAUUAAAAAGGAUUGAUGACGACUCUAUUUUCGUUUUUUGAAAAUAAAAGUCGAUUUCACAAAAGGUUUCACAAUAUACAUGCACUAAUUAAUACCUACCAUACACAGAUUUAUUGUCACAAUUUGACAUAAAAUCAAUGACAAUAUGGAACCGAAAUAGGAUAGUAAAACUCAAACAUUUUAUAAAUUUUCGAAUCAAUCCGUUUCGAGUGGAGUAAUUUUUUUCUUUUUGAAAAUGAAUCUGGGAUAAGGUGGAUUUUUUUUAAUAGUGAGUAUGGAGCGGUUAUGGUAAUAACUUGUCUCACCCCGCUCCAUUAUAUGAAAUUACAAAUUUAUCAUUGUAUUUACAAUUAUUAAAAGAGUAAAAAUGUACUAAUGUAUUAUAGAAAAACCCAUAUUUUUAUGUUCAAAUAUGUUUUUAAGAAUUAUGUUUAAAUAAUUAUUUACCUCAAAAAAGCUUGAAAAUAUUAAAGAUAAGUAUAAAAAAUUAGAUUGAAGCGGAGUGAAGAUGGAUGCAUCCAACAUUCAUGAACUAGUAGUGAUUUUUAAAAUUCUACAUCCAUGAUAGAUCGGAGUAGAUGGUGGAGCAAGGCAUGCCAACUAUGGAGUAAAUAUAAGUUUCGCAAAAUAAUCUAUGACUUUUUUUAUCACUAUAAUGAAAUCUCGAACAUGUAUGUUUAUGUUUUCUACAGCUAAAUCAAAAUCAAACCUUGCAAAUUUUGAUACUAGUAAAAAUGAUCACAUAAAUAAUUUAUAAAAAUUAUUAAUAAAUGCGGAAUUAAAAUAAACCAACUUAUUGAUAAUGAAGUUGUUUGUGGUAAUUCUUGUGACUACAUGGCUGAUUAGGUUUCUGUCUUAGUUUCGUGAGUAAUACGUUAAAAUAAUAAAUUUGUAUUACUCAUAUGAUAAUAUAUUUACCGCAUCCAAAUUUAUAAAGUAAGUCUUAGUUUGUAUGUACCCUUUUCCAUCUUGAAUUUCCCUCUCCCUCCAAUCACCGCAAGCUCACGCACCCGUUUCGGCAGUUGGAUUCCUCGAGAAUAUAUUCAUAGAGUAGCCAUUGAGCUCCCCUUUCGCGAACCCAAAGUCCAUGUAGAGUACCAGUGUUAAAACAUCUUGGUCGGUCGACACCCAGAGGCCCCGAGCAUUCCUAACAACCUUAGAUGUUAAUUUGGGACCGACGGUGACUGGGUAUCGGGAUGUCAUUGAAGGCAGUCAUCAUGUUGGCACGGGCUACAACGACUGCACUAGAGUUUCCGCCGCUCAUUGUGCCGUGUAAAAGAAGCGGAGAUUGGUUCUUUUUGUGGAGGUGGAACAUAUGGCUUACUUUGGGAGUAAUAAGUUUAUAGCAAACCUUGAAAUUUAGUUUAAAUUUUAUAGCAAACCUUCCCCAAAUCUAACUUUUUUAAAUAAAAAAAUUUAUUCAUAAAUAUAUAAAUAAAGACAACAUAUAAUAUAAAUGAAUGAUGAAUAUAUAUUAUUCAAUCAAUAAGUGUAGAGUGAAUGGUAAGACAUUAUAUUUUUAAGGAGAGAAUUUGAGUAGGAAAUUGUUGAGAAGAACAAUUACAAACUCUAAAAGAACGAGUAUUUUAUGAAUCAUAAAACAUAUAUAUAUGGAGGAUACAUUGAUUCACAAUAAAAAAGAAUAUAUUCAGUUUUCAGACUUUAAAUAUGUUAUUUUCAAAAUAUGUUCUUUUUAAGAAUAUCUUGAUACCCAUGAUUGUUGAGUUUGGUGUGUAUGUUAACGCCGCCAAGUUUCCUUCUUGCCUUUUGAAUGAAGGUAAUUAUUAUGAUAUGAUUAUUGUACCUCAACAUCUAUAGGUGUCAAGUUUAUUGUGAAAUAUUUGAAAAUCAAACAAUAAUAAUUUUUAAUAAAUAUAUUUGUUACACAAUUUAAUAAAUAUAUAUAUUCUCCCAUAUCAUGACAUGAGUAUGAUACAAUCUAAUAUACUAAUAUUUAAUUGAAAAAAAAUGUUGAUGGAAGCCGUCUCUUUAGGAGAAGUAUUCGAAAUGUUGCCUAUCAAGUAGUCAACGAUCCCCUAACAAUCGAAGGUAUUGUCUCUCGAGAGAUUAUCCCCUGUACUUUAUUGAGAGCCAGCAUGUUGUGAAUAGCUUUCCUAAGAGCUUGGUUAACAGAACCGAGAGUGCUUCAGCCAUACGUUAGCAUACAAUCAUCCACCAACAGAACGUUUACAUCGAAACUAAAUUUAUUAUUAUGUCAAUCAAAUUUAUGUAAAAUUGAUAAUAAUAAUAAUAAUAAUAAUAAAAUAUUAACAUUGUAAUUAAACGAUCUCUAAUUGCCCACUUUCAAAAUUUCCCAUUCCUUUUAGAGGGAUCAAAUUGAUCUGUUAAAAUUGAGAUGGAUCGAAAAAGUCUUUCACUUAAAUAUUAUUAUAAGUUAAAAUAUGUCACAAGUCGAUGUAUUCUUCAAAAUGUUGAUUCUUGUACCUUUAUUUACAUUUAGUCCUUCUAUUUUUCAUGUUUCAGAAAUUCAAAUUCAACUGUUAACACUAUUAAAAUUAUUUUGUUAAAUUUAAGUUCGUUACAUCAUUUUUUAAUUACAUAACUACUAAUAUUUUUUUAUUUCAAAAUAUUACACCAACAAAUUUAACAAACAGAACAAUAAGAUUAAUAAUUAAAAGUAUUCAAAGUACAAAAACCUGUAACAUAUUUUAAUCAUUAUUAAAUAAAUAAAAUCCAUGCAAAUUGAUUUUGCAAUACAAUUUAAAGAAGAGAGAUGUUAACACCAAAACUAAAACCCUAGACAUUGUAUUAAGUAAUCAAUAAACAUAAAUGUAUUAUAUCAUGUCAUGCUUGUAUUAAGUAAUCAAUAAUCACACUUGCAUGUAUCCUCCCCCAAAAAUUUGCCAUAUCACAAUCAUACUUGUAUUAUGUUAUUGCGUCCGUGUUCGCGUGUAUCCGUUUAAUUGGUCACCGAUACAAACAAUUCUUGGUCACAAAUGAAUGAACACAAAACUUUAACAAUAAAAAAUUAAUAAUAAAACUCUAAGAAAAUGAGCAACUAUGAAAAAAAUAACAAAAACACUGCUACAAACAAGACCAUGUUUAACAAAAGCCAAUGCCAACUAAUUCAAGGCCUAUCAAAAUUGUUCAAAUACUGCAUUUGACAGUAAUAACAAUCACAACAAAACAUUAAAAAAACACAAGUCUCAUCUAAAACUCAACAUCUGAAAGACAUCCAAAAAAGUUCAAAUGAAGCUCUUCUUCUCCCUUUCUAUGGACCUAUGCUUCGCAUUUGUCAGUGUCUAUCUUCAAUUCUCUGCAACAUGGCCAUUCUCCGAUUCCUCAGCACUGGAUUUCAUAACGGAAACAAGAUCACAAUUAGCAACGUCUUUUUGCUGAGACACACAAUUAACAACUCAAGCAGAACUCAACAGAGGGAUCUAACACGCAUAGUAUUUCACCAGGUUGAAACCAAGCAACGUUUAGUUAAUUUCUAAUGCUUCGUGAAUAUAAAGUAAAAUAACUACCAAGUUCUCAAACUCUUCCAUACACAGGGGACUUUUGAGACAAGAAGUUCUCGGACUCUUGCGCAAACCACAUUCUCCAUAAUUUGGACUUUGUCAUGUAUGCCAGUGGUCAAACGGUAGGAGCAGGAGAGAUGAAAAGAUGCAUACUUAUUGUUCGAGUUAAAUCACUAUCGGGCCAAAACUUGACAAUUACUACUACAUUUGACAACAACUCCAACAUUGGGGCCUAAACUUUUUUUGUCCAAGUUAGUCCCUGAACUUGGUAAUUAUUCCCAAAUUGAGGCCUAAACUAACUGUUAUCACAUUGGGACUUGAACUUUCCUUUUGUCCAAGUUAGUCCCUGAACUUGGCAAUUGUUCCCAUAUUGAGACCGAAUAAUAUCAGGGCUAACUUGGACCAAAAAUUAGUUUAAGCCCCAAUGUGGAAAUAGUUGCCAAGUUCAGGCCCCAAAAAGUGAUUUAACCCUAUUUAUUCUUUAGCUAAUUAAAGCCUCUAUUCCAUUCCCUAUAAUCCCUAGCCUAAAUGAAUUCAAAUACUGCUAUAUGCAUAAGGAAAUUUGUUCUAUAAUGCAAUUGUGGAAAGCAAAAGAAUUCACAUACACUACUAUUCUGUUUCUAAAGAACCAAGCAUAUAUAUAAACACUUUAUAGUGAAUCAACAUGAGAAAAGCAACAAAUAAAGCAAUAUUCUAAAAUUAACCAAGCAUGAAAAUCCAGUUAAUUGAAGAGACCUUUGGGGUUGAUGAUCAGCAUCAGCUGUAGCUUCAACAGGUUCACUCUUCCUCCAGCUCUUGUCAGCCGGGAUAUGGCCAUUACCGAAGCUUGCCUUUGCCCCUCUCUCUUUCUCUGUAACAGCUACUGCCUCUUUAAUCUUCAUAGCUUCAAGCUUUUCAUCGAUCUCCUUCCAGUCUUUCCCCUUUUCCUUCAACACCUCCUCUCUCGGCCUUGCCUGGCCGAAAGGAUUUGCCCCUUUGGGCUUGGCCACCGUCGAGUCCUUUUUACACUCCUCCAUCACGGGAACCGUACGUGGUUGAAGCACAAGCUUUGGCCUCACCCCACCACCACCAGCACUGUUGGUCUCUUCCUUUUUCUUUCCCCAGUGAUCCAAAUCCCUUGGGGAAUCCCUGGAUUGAAGUGAAUCGAAACUGCUUCUUUUCUCAAAACCCCCACCAAAUCUCCGAGGCGGCGGUGCUCCAUUAGGGCUUUUAUUACUCUUACUAGCUGCCCAGUUAUCUACUUCAUCUGCUUUCGAUUGAGAAUCGAAAAACCCUCCUUCACCUCUCUCUCGCCUCUCAAACCCACCGCGGAAUCCAUUCCCGGUAGGAGCCGAUUUCUUAACCGACGCCCAAUUAUCGAUCUCAUCAGCGCGUGAGGGAGCAAUUUCUCUAUUCGAAUCUCUAUUCGAAACCCUAGAAGAUCCCCAUCUACUAUUACUCGACGAAUCAUCCCCGUUAGAAUUGUACCUGUUCGACCCGUACGAUUUAAAACCGCCGCCGAGCUGGUUACGAUCGAGCUCCUCGGCGGAACGCUGGCGAGGACCGGUCGGUAGAACGAGCAGGUCCUCAUGAGUGCGCCCUGUCGGCUCGCUCGGCUUAGCCGAACCGUGAGUAAAUUCAGCAAGAGAUACGGUUUGGCCCUUCUUUUUCUUGGUUUUGGUGGCCGCGGCGGCGGAUAAAGAAGGGAAAUCGGCGAGCUUUCCGGUCGAAGAAUCUACGCCGCUUUCCUGUUCUUGUUGGAGUUCAGCUUCGUGCUCUUCGGCGUCUAGAGCCCACGCGCCGGCUUUGCCCCAAGGUGACGAGACAGUUGCCGCCAUGAUCUUUUGUUUCUUUUGCCUUUUUAGUGCUUUGGCGCCGUUUCGAAGCUUACGUUUUCAGUUGUGCAGCGAAAGGAGAGGGAAGGGUUUUUUUAUAUUGUGAUAUGAUCGGCCUUCAUCGGACGGUGUAGAAUAAUUCAUAAAUAAAAGAAGUUUUAACUUAAAAAAUAUACUCAACUAAAAGUUGGAUUGUAUUUUAUCUUCUCUAUUAAAAAAAUUAGAAAAUUAAUCCUUAUAUUUUAGACCAAAUAGCAAACUAGUCAUCCACUUUUAAUGUUAAAAACGGGUCAUCGUACUUCAGCAUAACACGGCAUGUGUCACUGUUUGGUUAUACUAUUAAUCACGCUAGUUUUUAACCGUACAAGCAAAUGAAAUUUUUAACAAAAAUGACCAAUUUACUUUUUAAUCUAACAUGCAUAGACUAAUUUACUUAUUUUUAAAUGGAGGGAUAAAAUACAAUCUGACUCCUAACACAAAGACCUCUAUGAUAGUUUUACCAAAACUAUAUUAUAACUUAUAAGAGUCACUAGUAAAAAUUUAUCAAUUUAUUUAUUAUAUCUAAAUUUAUUUUAAUAAAUAUAUAGACAAUAAAUAUAUGAAGUACUUGAUAAAUAAUCAAUUUUUUAUUAAUUUAAUAAAAGAUAAUAAACUAAAUAUAAAUAAAAUGUUUUUUUUAUAUCAUUGAAGAGGAGAACGUGAUUACUUAGGAUACUUGAUAUCGAAUCCGAACUCUUUCGUAUCCACAACAUAAUACUCUUAUCAUUGAGUUAAAAAAUUGUUUACAUAAAAUAUAUUAUUUUAUUUACAAAUUUUAAUAUUUAUCUGAUAAAUGAUAUAAAGGUAGUCUUAUAUCUUUCAAAAAUAGUAUAAUUAAUAACCAUUUAGGUAUUAUCAUUUUACCAAAAAUAAUAUAUAUACAUAUAUGUUUAUCUGUAUUUUGCGAUAAAAGUACUAUGAAACCUUUAUGGUAAGAGGUGGAUUGCAUCAUGUCUAUUUACUUAAAAAAAAUGGGUAAUUAGUCUUUGUAUGUUAGAUUAAAGAGCAAACUGAUCGUUUUUUUUUAAAUUUAAUUUAUUUCUACGGUUAAAAAUUAGUCUAUAUACAUUAGAAUAAGGUACAUGGAACACCACAUGUAACUAUUUGGUUGUUUUAUCAAUCACAUCGGUUUUUAACAAUAGAAAUAGAUGAAAAUUUUAAUCGAAAGGAUCAGUUUACUCUUUGAUCUAACGUACAUGGACUAAUUUAAAUAUUUUUUAAUUAUUUAUUUAACAUCAUUUUAUUGUUGAUAAAAAUAAAUUUUGAAUUAUUUGGAAACAUAUUCAAUUAUAUAUUUAUAAAUGUAUUAGUUUAAUUUAAUGGAUAUAAACAUAAUUUUAGAAAUUUUAAAGAGAAAUUAAAAAUAAUCCUAAAUUUUAAUCAUAUAAUAAUAAUAACAAUGAAAAUGAAAAUUCUGAUUCGGUAAAAAGGUCAUAGCAGUUGGUUCUAAGCCACUCUUUUGAAAAAGCUGCUUAUUUACUAAAGCUGAAUCCAAAGGUCUGAACUUUGCAACGUUAUGGACAACGUAACCAAACAUAACCAAGAUAUUCAUGGGAUUCCAAAAUCCAAAUAGCUUUAAAAAAUAAUAAUAAAAAACAGGUCAAGUUUCGAGUAAGGCUUUUUACUACUGGCCCAACUCGAUUUUGCAAAACCAAAAAGUUAUGUUGUUUUCUUCUUGUUUUCUGCUACUUUGUUGUUGUUUUCUUACUACUUUCUCACUGGCUUCUGUCAUUUCACUAUUAUGUUGUUACUAUUUUGUUAUUAUUGUUUGAAUGUUGUAUAACUCUUAUUUUAUUUUAAUUUUGCUACUAUUUUAAAGACAUUUACUUGUUAAGUUGCACAUAUCUUAGUGUUAUUUAGUGUAAAUAUAUAUAUUUUUAAAAAUUCAAUUUAUUGGAAAAACAUUUAGUUUAAUGUUUUUAGUGAUUUUGAUAUAUUAUAUAUUUUUUUAAAAUCAUAUAAAAAUUUAAUAUGGGUGGGUCAGGCCAAGUUGUUGCACACUUUCGGGUCAGGCUUGGGCAAAAUUUUAAGCUCAUUUUUUGGGCUAAGUCGAGUCUGGGCCUAUCAAACGAACCUAAAUUUUGUCAAGGCUCAACCCAUGGACAAGUAUAUAAAUUUAUUUCAACAUAUAAAAUUUACUUAUUAACAAAUUGUAACACAUCUAACCCGAAUCCAUCGCCGAGGUUACAGAGCAUUACCGGAGUUUAUAAAUCAAACAAACAGAAAAUGCAAACAUUUCAUGGCAUAUAGCAUUCAAGUCAAAAACCAAUCAAAAUCAUACAUAUUAUCCUUUAUACGAGCCCUCAGGUCCCAAAAUACACAUUAGAAACAAAUCGGGACUAAAUUGGAAACUCAAAAAAAAUUUCGAAAAACUUUUAAAUUUUUUCAAAGGUGCGGAGGACACACGCCCAUGAGACCAGGCUGUGUGUCUCACACGGUCAAGAGACACGCCCGUGUCUCAGGCCAUGUGGAUAUUCGAAGUAGGGACACACGGCCGUGUCCUAGUCUGUGUCCAAAAUUAGGUGCUUACUGACUUAGGUCACACGGACAAGCCACACGCUCGUCUGCUAGGUCGUGUGAACAUUCUGUUUUGCUCAAUUUAAUAGAUACAGAGGACACACGAUCAUGUCACCUGGUCGUGUGUCACACACGACUGAGACACACACCCAUGCCUUUGCCCAAGUGGACGAAAUUAGGUCAUUUUUAGGCCACAUUUCUCACCCCAUUUGUCAUCAACCUAACUCAACACUUUUACACAUCAACAGUCUAUAUCAUAGCAUUCAAAUCAAGCUAAAUCCAAGUUUUAUACAUAUAUUAUCAUCACAUGUACUCUAGUAUUCAAACUUAUCAAAUUGACCAAAUUCACAUGUAUGCAUACUUGUACUAAGUAUUAACAAAUCUAUAAGAUUAUCAUCAUUCAACUAUACCAAACACUCACAUCUAACAUGAUAUAGCCUCUUAUAUGCACAUCAAAACAUGUUCAUCACAAGUCAUCCCUAUGGCUAGAUAUAACAAAACAUUAAUAAGCCAACAUUGGCCAAAUUAACUUAUACAUGCCAUUAUAAUCAGAAUCAAAUCAUCCAAAAUUACCGAUAGAACCAAUGGAUAAUGUGAUAUAACUCCGACAAGCUUCCAACCAGUUCGAGCUUCCCAUAAUCUGUAAGGUAAAUAAAAACAAAUACGUAAGCAAUGAAUGCUUAGUAAACUCAUGUAAUCUUUAAUCAUAUUAAUUCAUUUCAAAUAUGAAAUCUAUACAUAUCAAGAAUAAUCCAAUUUUGAUACCACAAUAUUCAUGAAAUUAUAUUCAUCAACUCACAAGGUGAAUAAAUCCACAACAUCACUUAUACAUAUUAUCCCAAGCUUAGUAGGAUUUUAUAUAACUUUAACUCUUCCAAAUUUCUUUAUUUUCAUUUGCAUUUCUUUACUUUCCACACUUAUUCCAUAUGCAUGACACACAAGUCAUAAACAUAUUAUUCAACCAUGGCCAGCAUUUAACCAAAGCCUUUUUCGAAUUAAUCACAUGAUAAGUCAUUUUAUAAGAAAUUGCAUAAUUUAAACCUUACCACUAUUUCAUGAGCACUAGCAUAUUUUCGCUUAAAUACUUACCAAUUCAAUGCAUCAUAUAAAUAAACAUAUUACCAUUCAACCAAUAGCUUGGCACUUACCUAAGCAUCAAGCAACAACACUGGUUAGCGUAAUUGCACAUAUUACAUAUAAAUUCAACAUUGUUAAACUUAUUUUCUCGACAUGUCACAUUUGAGUUUAUUACCCAUCUCAACAUACAUAAUUUCCUUAUAUCAACAAAACAAAGAUAGUCACAUAUUUACAUAUCAUGAUACAUAUCAUUCUCUUGCCGUUUCUUCAUAAAUAUAUAUCAUUCAUUUCAUUAUAAGAAUAUUUCAUGUACCAUCAUUUUCAUGAAUUUCGUGUAUAUUUAUUCUGGUAACAGUUCAUAAUCAUGAAUAUUGAUGCAAUCGGGCCCCAUGAGUUAUCAAAUGGGAAUGAUGUUUCCCUCGAGCUGCCUAAAGGACCUAUUACCAGAGCUAGGGCUAAGAAGUUUAAAGACACAAUUUCAGCUUUGGUUGAUCGGGUUUGGGGUGAAUCCGUGGCCAGUCUACUUGAAAACUCAUGGACCAGCAAGAUGAGCAAACCGUGCACUUUACUUCAAGCUCUUCCAGCUUAAUUUUUAACAAGCUCGUUUUUAGCUUAUUCAUUUUUUUUUGAAAUAAUUAAUUAAAUUAUCUUAGUUGCUGUUAAGUUUAAUUUGAGUCUUAGUUAAAUAUUUCUUGGUUCAGCCGAAUUAAUGUGUGAGAUUUAAGCUAAGUAAAUUUGUUGAAUUUGCUAGGACAAUGUACAUGGACGGCAAAGAAGAGGUGGACAACAUCAUGCAUAAUUUGUGGAACAAAUUAAGGAAGCAUUUGACCAACAUCAUGCAUAAUUCAUGGAAGAAUUUGAAGAAGCAUUUGACCAACAUCAUGCAUAAUUCAUGGAAGAAUUUGAGGAAGCAUUUGGCCAACAUCAUGCAUAAUUCAUGGAAGAAAUUGAGGAAGCAUUUGACCAACAUCAUGCAUAAUUCAUGGAAGAAUUUAAGGAAGCAUUUGGCCAACAUCAUGCAUAAUUUAAGGAACAAAUUGAGGAAGCACCAUGGCCGAAUUUGGCUUCCAAUUUUACCCAUUCGGCUACCCUUUUGUUUUGCCUAUAAAUAUGUGUUAAAUUUCAUUGUAAGGAGAAGAACCUUGAAUUAAUGUUUUUUUACAUUUUGUGAGAUUGUUUACAACUCUCAUUGUUCUCCAAAGACUCGUUUGACUUAUCAAGUAACCCUUGUGGCGUCAACCCAUUCUUCUUAUCCGAACUUAUCACUUUGCAUCCAAAGUGUGGCGUUCAAGUUAUACCGAGGUUCCUAUCAUCUUUGAUAGUGGGUCAAGGUUCCAUUUUAUUCGUUUUCCAUCCAUACAACAUUUAACCUUUCCUAAGUAUUCGUAUAAGUCCCGGGUUAACACACUUAUAUUAUGUUGGUUCAACUUGAAUACUUGGUUUUCAUUCACCUAUCAUCCUCAAUACACUUCAUAACCCCUUUUGAACUAAAUUUGAGCCUUUAUCCCUUCUUUCUUAACCUAUCUUCGACAAACCUUGAUAUUACUCCAAUUCACGAUCGGGUACAUCAAUGACUCGACUCUCAUCACAGAGGCCGGGGCGUAUCAUCUGGUAUCAGAGCUAGCCGAAUCGGAGUAAGAAUCAUCAUCUUUGAUAUUAUGGUUUUGUAAAAAAAAUCAAAAAAAAAAAUUUUUUUGCCUACGAUCUAGGCACGGACGAAAAGAACGUGAAAGAUCCGUAAAAAAAAAGAGUCUGGAAACCCUUCAACAAUUUUUUUUUGAAUCAUAAUCUACACUCCUUUAUACCCCUUUGAGUGAAUUUUCACGUUUUCAAAAAAAAAAUUUAUCCAAUUUAUUAUUUUUUCUUUCUUCUUUUGUAUUCGGUAUUAAAAAAAAAGAGAAAUUCAAAAAAAAAAUCGGAAUUAAAAAAAAAGUGAUUGAAAUUCAUUUUAAGUUUUGUUUGAUAGCCUACCAUUUCCGACAUCAUUGCCCACCAAGCCAACUCAAUUUUGUAAGCCGACGACAAACGGUAUUGAUUCGUCUAUCUAGUUUGCAGAGAACUUCGAGAGGCGAAAAUCGAGUGGUAAAAGGCAAGAGCGAUUGGUGAGACCAUUAGAGAAGAGUAAAAGCCAAAUUGUGUGAAAUUUUCUUUGUGAGGAAUUGGUGAGAAUUUUGUGGUGAGGUAUUUAAUUUUCUGUUAUUAUUAUUAUUAUUUUUAACAUUUCUUCUUUUAGUAUAUAAUCAUGUCUCAAGAUACCGAGCAAAACGUGGUGGGAAGAGAAGGAGUUCCCGAUUUAGGCCAACAAGCCCUCUUAAGAGAAUUUCAACGAAUGCUCCGUAACGAGCUUGAAUCCAUCAAUGAGAGGCUAGAUCGAGUGGAAGGAGGGCCAACACGAGAAGGAACCCCUCAAGGACUGAGAAGGGAGCGGGGGCGAGCAAAACCUUUUGUGGAUGAUCUCUUCGAGCCAAGCGAGGAGGAAGUUGCCAAGCAUUGGAUCAAAACGAAAGACGACGAGGUCAAAAGAAUAGGGGUCCUAGAGAUCGAGGCCAAGUUGAUGGUGAUUUAAAAGGUAUUAAACUAUCCAUUCCUCCCUUUCAUGGGAAAUCUGAUCCGGAAGCCUAUCUAGAAUGGGAGAGAAAAAUAGAGGUGAUCUUCGAGUGUCACAACUACUCGGAGAGCAAAAAGGUGAAAUUGGCGGCAAUCGAGUUCUCCGAUUACGCAAUGGUAUGGUGGGAUCAACUCACAACGAGUCGAAGAAGGAACGGGGAGCGGGCAAUCUCAUCUUGGACCGAAAUGAAAGCCGUAAUGCGUAAGCGAUUUAUACCCUCUUACUAUUAUCGUGAACUUUAUCAAAAAUUGCAGAUUCUUACGCAAGGAAAUCGAAGUGUGGAGGACUACUUCAAAGAAAUGGAAAUUGCCAUGAUUCGAGCAAACGUGGAUGAAGAUCGUGAAGCAACCAUGGCUCGAUUCUUAGCUGGCCUUAAUCGUGACAUAGCUAACGUGGUGGAACUUUAACACUAUGUUGAAGUUGUUGAUAUGGUACAUGUUGCCAUCAAAGUCGAAAAACAAUUGAAGAGAAAAGGAACUAGCCGAACCUUUCCUAGCACUAACAAUUUUCAAAGGUGGAACCAAGGCACGGGUAAGAAAGACUUCUCUAAUCGCACUAAAGAUCACCCUUUAUCUUCUAAGGUGAGCAAACCCGUUGGUGAAACAAGCAAAGGUAAAGAAGUUGUCAUGCCGAAUCGAUCACGAGAAAUAAAGUGUUUCAAGUGUUUAGGGAGGGGCCAUAUUGCAAGUCAAUGCCCUAACCGUACUAACAUGAUAUUGCGGGCUAAAGGAGAGAUCGAAUCAGAGGAAGACGAUGAUGAAAACCCCGAUGAAGCCGCCGAAGAAGAAGACGAACUUGAAUAUGCUGUUGAUGUCGAAAUCCUCGUCAUUAAACGAAGUCUUAGUCUUCAAAGCGUUGAAAACGAACAGCAAAGGGAGAAUAUUUUCCAUACACGUUGCCAUGUCCAAGGCAAAGUGUGCAGCUUGAUCGUUGAUGGCGGGAGUUGUACAAAUGUGGCCAGCACCAUAAUGGUUGAAAAACUCGGCUUGCCAACAACUAAGCACCCUCAACCUUACAAACUUCAAUGGCUUAAUGAUGGAGGGGAGUUGAAGGUAACUAAGCAAGUUUUGGUGCCGUUCACUAUCGGAAAAUAUUCCGACAAAUUUUUAUGCGACGUAGUACCUAUGCAUGCUGGUCAUAUGUUAUUGGGUCGUCCAUGGCAAUUCGACCGUAAAGCUACUCAUGAUGGUUUUACAAACCACUACACUUUCAAGUUUGAAGGAAAGAAUGUCACCUUAGUCCCGAUGACACCGAGGCAGGUUUAUGAAGACCAAUUGAAGUUAAGAGAGUCUUUUGAAAAAUUUCGAGAGAAUGAAAAAGAAAGCGAAAAACACACUGAGAAAAAAAAAGAAAAACUUUUGAAAAGUGUGAGAGAAAAUAAUAAAUCGAUUGAACAAAAAAAUAGAGAAGAAAAAGAGUAAAAGAAAAUGAGUGUUUAUGCGAAAGAGAGUGAUUUUAGAAAGUCUUAUUUGAUGCAGCAAUCGGUUCUUGUACUUAUGUACAAGGAAACUCUUUUGAAUACUAACGAGUUGGAUCCAAAUCUGCCCUCUUCGAUUGUUUCUCUUUUGCAGGAAUUUGAGGACGUGUUUCCGGAAGACAUUCCUAAUGGGUUACCGCCCAUUCGAGGAAUAGAACAUCAAAUUGAUUUCAUUCCCGGAGCCUCCAUUCCCAAUCGACCAGCUUAUCGUACAAAUCCCGAAGAGACCAAAGAAUUGCAAAAACAAGUCAAUGAACUUAUGGAGAAGGGAUAUAUACGAGAAAGUCUUAGUCCUUGCACCGUACCGAUUUUGUUGGUACCAAAAAAGGAUGGAACAUGGCGUAUGUGCGUAGAUUGUCGCGCGGUAAAUAAGAUCACUAUUAAGUAUCGACAUCCGAUACCGCGACUCGAUGAUAUGUUGGAUGAAUUGAGUGGUGCUCGAAUAUUUUCUAAAAUUGAUCUAAAGAGCGGAUACCACCAAAUUCGGAUGCGUGAGGGGGACGAGUGGAAAACCGCUUUUAAGACGAAACAUGGACUCUACGAGUGGUUGGUUAUGCCAUUCGGGCUUACCAAUGCGCCUAGCACUUUCAUGCGGUUGAUGAACCAUGUUCUUCGUUCUUUUAUCGGAAAAUUUUGCGUUGUCUAUUUUGAUGAUAUACUUAUCUAUAGCAAUUCCUUAGAAGAUCAUUUGUUGCAUUUAAAAUCUGUUUUGGAUGUGCUUAGAAAAGAAUCCUUGUUUGCUAAUCUUAAGAAAUGUACUUUUUAUACUAACAAGGUUAUUUUCUUAGGAUUCGUGGUCAGCUCGGAAGGAUUAGAGGUUGAUCAAGAAAAGGUGAAAGCCAUUCAAGAAUGGCCUAGACCCACGAGCAUUAGCCAAGUGAGGAGCUUCCACGGAUUGGCAAGCUUCUAUCGACGAUUUGUUCCAAAUUUUAGCACCUUGGCAGCACCUUUAACUAGUGUGAUCAAGAAGUCUUCUGCCUUCUAUUGGAAUGAGGAACAAGAAAAAUCUUUCAUUGCUCUUAAAUCUUGCUUAACUAAUGCUCCCUUACUUGUGUUACCUGAUUUUGCUAAAAUGUUUGAAGUUGAAUGUGAUGCAUCAGGUGUCGGAAUUGGAGCCGUUCUAAUGCAAGAUGGAAGGCCCGUGGCAUACUUUAGUGAGAAGUUAAAUGGAGCCGUUCUCAACUAUCCGACGUAUGACAAAGAAAUGUAUGCUCUAAUUCGAGCUCUCGAGACUUGGCAGCACUAUAUGCGAUCUCUCCUUUAAAAAAAUGGGUCUAAAAUUUUGCUCAGCCGGGCCCGCCUAUAUUAAAAAAAUGUAUAUAAUUUUUUUAAAAAUAUAAUACAUCAAAAACAUUAAAAUUAAUGUUUCCCAAAAAAAUUAACAUAAAUUUUAAAAAAAAAAUUUAUACUUAAAUAACACUAACAUAAGUACAACUUGACAAAACAAAUGCCUCUAAAAUAGUAACGAAAUUAAUAAUAAAAUAAGAGUUAUAUAAUAUCCAAAUAAUAACAACAAAAUAAUAGCAACAUAAUAGUGAAAUGACAACAAAAUAGUAAAUAAAAAUAAAAAGAAACAUCAAAAAAGCAACAAGAUAACAACAGGAAAACAAUAGCUUUUUUUUUUUUGCAAAUUUGGGUCAAGUCCAGGCCAAAAAAGUCUUAUCCGAGUCCCAACCCAUUUUCUAAACGGGCCUUAUUUUUUAUCCAAGCCCAUUUUUUGAAUAUCCCAACCCAUGGAUAAAUCUAAUUGCAAUUUAAUUUUCUUACUUGUUUAUGUUUUAUUACACGUAAAACCUCUUUUUAUUUACAAAUAGAUAAUUAUGUUUUAUUACAAGUAAAACCUAAUUAACAUGACUUUAGAAACAUAGCUGAAUACUAAGGAAUACAUAUAAAUGAAAUUUUAAGACAUGAAACACAUUCAAGACCAAAGGCAAACAUAAGCAAAUUCCUACUUUUUGUUGUUGUUUUUUAAGUACUCUGUCCACAAUCGGCAAUAACAACCGGCUUCGUAGUCUUUCCACGGCUAGAGCCAACUUUCUCAAUGUCUCUAACUACUUUCAUGCCUUCGACCACUCGUCCGAAAACAACGUGCUUUCCAUCGAGCCACUCGGCUUUAGUGGUGCAGAUGAAGAACUGAGAUUUGUUAGUACCCGGUCCAGCAUUCGCCAUGGAUAGUACGCCGGGUCCAAUAUGUUUCUUGAUGAAGUUCUCGUCGGCGAAGUUGGAUCCGUAUAUAGAUUCACCUCCGGUGCCGUUUCCAGCUGUGAAGUCACCUCCUUGGCAAAUAAAAUUAGGGAUCACACGAUGGAACUUCGAGCCUUUGUAGUGGAGUGGUUUACCGGAACGACCGACGCCUUUCUCGCCGGUACAUAGUGCACGGAAGUUCUCGGCAGUGCGAGGGGUAACAUCGGCAAAAAGCUCCAUCAUGAUCCGACCAGCCGGUUCGCCUCCGAUCGUCACGUCGAAGAAUACUUUAGGAUUGGAAACCAUUGCUGAAUAUUGGAUUUUGUAUUGUUUUGAUAGGUCAGUAGGGUACGUAAAGGGGAGGGACUAUGUUUAUAUAGGAUAAGGGGAGGCUCGAAAGUUGACGGGAUAGAUUCUAAAUCUAAUUCUUUCGGUUUAAAAUGAUCAAAUGCGAGUUAAAAUUGAAUUCCAUUCACAUUUUGUGAUAAAUACGAAUAUAUAUAACAUUUUAAAAUGAUAAAACAAAGGUGGCUGUUUCUGCCAAAUCUAUUGGUUGUCUCUAGCACCAUAUUUAGUAUUUAAAGUGUGUUUCUGUUUGAGACACUUUCUGCUUUUCUCUAUGUAUACUAUGAAAAGUUAUUCUUUGCUUAAAGGAGCUUACAUAGAUGGAAUAUGGUAUAAUAAUUUUUUAUGCAAGAUGUAGGGCAGGUAAAGUGAUGUUCACAUUGUAGGUGGUGUGUACAGCUAUUAACCAUGAAGGUUUUGAAUUUGUAUUUGAAUAGAGUGAGGGUUGUAUUAUAUAUCUCGUGCCUUUACGUUGGUGCUGGAGGAUAUUAUUUAUAAACGAAGGUUGGUUUGGUAUGGGUUUCAAUCAUCUAUUGUUGUAUUCUAUAGAUGUAGGUAGUAGAAUGAUCAACUAGGAACACUUUUGGAGUUGAUAUGAGGGGACUUUGUGAGGUGACUUGUUAUAAUAUUAUCAGUUCGAAGAGAUGAUAGAUAGAUGGGUGUUGAUAGGAACACUUAUCCAUGUAUAUUCUAAGGAUUGUGUGGGAUCAUCUCAUUUGAUGCGGUGUUUAGUGAAGCGAGAUUGGGACUAUGCUUCUAGCAAGGCCGAGCUUCAUCAAAUUUUACCUUCAAGUAUAAGCAUCAGGUGGUUCGAUGAGAGGUGAUAUGGUGAGGGUAUAAUAAUUGCCCCUAAAUGAAAUGCAAGUUAUAAAGUGACCUACCUUGAGUGAAAUAUCUAGUGAAACACUAAAACGACUUUUGAAAUGUCAUGCUUAAUAUCCAAUCAUUGUGCCCUUUCAUUAAUUACUCUAUGCUAGCUUUGAUUUAUAAAACUUUUUAUAUAAUAACAUUUAAGAUAUUUUUUUUCAUAUUAUUGCUUAAGUCAUUUAUGUUUUAAAACAAAAUAAAUAUUUUAGAAAAUAUUUUCAAAUCCAAAGCAAGCUUAAAGAAUGCUGGUUUAAAUUGAUUUUACUCAUAUCUUGUGCUCUUAAGUUAACUGAAAAGCUUUGAAAAUAUUUUAAAGUGUGUUUUUGAAACAAAAAUAACCAUUUUAAUAGCUAAGUGUCGAUACCCCUAGGCUAGUAUCCAUAGGCCUUUCUAGAGGGGUAAGAUAAUACUUGUUCUUGAGGUACUGAUACACACCCAAGUAUCGUAUUUUACGUAAAGUAUCAGCCUUGAAAUGUCAAUAGCCAAAACUUUUUUUCUAGACGGGCAAGGUAUCGAUACCUUGAUACCUGUUAUUGAGGUAUCGAUACCUAACCCAAAAAGUAUCAAUACCUCAUUAUUUAUAAUGACUAUUUUUUUUAGAAGUAUGGAUACCCUCUUCAUAGGUAAUGAUACAUUAGGAUGUAGGGUUGUUUCAACUUGCAUUUUUAAUGCUUCUAACGGCUCUUUUUCAUCCCCUACGACCAUAAAUAGCUAGAAUUCACUUCAUUGACAUAAAGAGAGGUCGAUGAAUGAAGAGAUAUCAUGUAACACCCCUAACCCGUAUCCGUCACCGAAUUAGGGUUACGAGGCAUUACCGAACAAAUUCAACAUUUUUAAAACCAAACUGAUCACAACGUAAAAAUUUAAUUACUUUCGCAUAGCUAUUAUAAUUUACAAUCAAAAUGUAAUUAACAUCGUACUCAAACCUAUACAUGCCAUAAGAUUGAGUUCAAAUCUUUAACAAAAUACCAAAAGAAGUCGAUAGUGUGAUGGACUAUGCUGAUGAUCCCCGAGCUCGUAACGCGUCUCCAAAAUCUAUAAAAGCAAAUGGACGAAAACAAGCAAAGUAAGCUUUUAUAGCUUAGUAAGUCUACAGGAUAACUAAAUGUAUAUAAAUAUAUAAAUAAAGUUACUUUUUAAUCUAUUUCACUGAGAUUUCAAUUAACACGAAUAACUAAUAUUUAUAUGUUAUUGUACUCAGCCCAUUUCAUUUAUAGAUAGAUAUGCAUACCUGUCGAAAGCGAUCAAUUGAAUAUAUAUUUUUAUACCAAACACAUUACAACGAAUGUAUACAACCGCGCAUAUAUAUAUUAUACACAUAUCAUAACCGAAUGUGUAUGAAUACUCAUUUUAAACUUUAAAUCAAUACAAAUCUAAUACAUAUGAACGAAUGCAUUUAUUUUCAUCAAAUACUUAUAAACCAAGGUAUAUAUAUAUCUCGAAUGCAUAUAUAGUUACUAAUCAAAUAUGUGUACCGAAUAUUUAAAAGUAUAUAUUUAUCAAAUGCAUAAUCCCAGAGCAUAUAUAUAUUUCUCAAUUGUAUAAGCCGGAUAUAUAUAUAAUCAUCAAACGCACUUAGCCAAUUGUAUAUAUAUAAAUAUACUUAUCAAUUAAAUAUAUCCAAAAUCAUAUAAUUGUACACCUAAUCACAUACUUAAAACAGAUUCACCGGCAUUUAGCCUGCUAGGCUUUAAGCCUGAUUCAGUACACCGGCACUUAGCCUGCUAGACAUAUAGUCUGAAAUAUUUCACCGGCAUUAAGUCUGCUAGACAUAUAGUCUGAAGUGUUUCACUGGCAAUAAGCCUGCUAAGCGCUAUGCUUGAAAAUCUCAAUUUUCCCAUAUACAGAAUAAUUUCCUCAAAUACUUAUUAACAGCAAACACACAUUCAUUGUAGUCCAUAUUCAAUCACAAAAGAGUUUGCGAAUCAUACAUUCGAUUCAAUUCAAGAAUCUGUACACAAAUAUACAUUUAGAUAUAUUCGAACUCCCAAGUACGUUUUUAACAUUUAUACCUUAAAAUAUAAUCAAGACUUAUUCAUAUAUAUAUAUAGAUGUUCCAACUCCAUAUACUUACUUAUUCGAAAUUAUCUGUACAAUUACAACAUACAUACUUUUAAUCAAACCCAAAUGUUUUUACAUACAUCUAUAUGUUCGAAACUUAUGUAUACAUAUGUAUUAUACAUAUCUUUAAUUUAAGCAAGAAUUUAUACAUGUAUUUACUUACAUAUAUUUGAAUCUUAAGUGCACAUAUAUAUAACUCUCAUACAACCAACCAAAUUCAAGUAUAUGUAUACAUAUAGAUACAUAUAUAAUUAUUUGAAUUUAUAUAUAUAUAACUUUAUUCUAUUCAUACUUUAAAUUAGUUCAAAAAUUUAUAUAAGCAUAUACCUAUAUAUUUGAACGUUGUAUAUACAUAUUUAUACCAUUUAUAAUUUGAAUUUAUUCAAUUAAAUUACUUUUAAUUAUAGCUCAACAACAACAUAAUAGAUAUUCAUGCAUAUAUAUAUAUAUAUAUAUAUAUUGAUUUAAUAACAUUAAAUAGCUAAUAGACUUACCUCGGACGAUGGAAAAUCGAAGUCGGACGAUUAUUCGACUAAUUUGGCUUUUCCCCGAUCUAACUCCGAUUUCUUUAGUUCUCGAUCUUGAAUUAAGCUUGUUAAUGACCGAAUACCUCAAAGCUUUUAAACCCUAUUUGUUUUUCUAAGUUUCGGCAAAGGAAGAAUGAAAAUAAUGGCUUCAAUUGAUUUAUUAUAUCAUAUGUUUAUUUAAUUAUUAGUUUACUAUAUUAACCUUUAAUACAAAAUAUAUAAACCUUAUAAUAUAAGGUCAUUUUUGACCAUUAUCACCCACUCACUACUUUAUGGUCUUAUUGCAUCAUAAAUCCUUCCAUUUAAAAAGACAACAACAAUUAGGUGCUUUUAUAAUUAACCCUUAAAUUUUUAUUUUUCGCGAUUUAAUCCUUUUAUUUAAUCGGACACUCAAACAACAAAAUUAAAACACGAAAAUUUCACACAAUCAAAUGCACACAAAGUAAACACACAAAAUAAUAUUGAAAUAUUUUUAGGACUCGGAUUUGUGGUCCCGAAACCACUAUUCCGAUUAGAGUCAAACCGGGUUGUUACAUAUCAACGCAUUCAAGCAAGCAAAUUUUUAGUUCAUUUCUUUCCUCUUUUCUUGUUUAUUAUUUAUUGAGCUUUAUUGAAAAUCAUUAUACAAGGGUUUAUUUUACUUUUAAGAGCUUAAUUUUGUAAACACUCACUUACUAGAGGUUGAUCAUGUGUUUCCUCAAAUAUUCUCUUUCUAUUAAAAAGCGAACUUUAAGGUUUUUAUGCAGAAAGCAUUAAUGGAUUAGAGGUUCUUGUUUAGCCUUGAAUGCUAGGAGAAGGCUUUUGUCUAAGCCUUGCUAGAUAGAGAGUUUUAAAGGUUAUACUUGUCUUUGAAACGUAUCAAUUCAAGUUAAUGAAUUUGGAAAAUUCUUGUCGGCAAAAGAUAAAGGAGGUAGCCAAUUAAGGCCAAACCAUUGAGUCAAUAUUUUCUAUCCUUUCUCACCUUAGUGAAAACAAGUUAGAUUACCAAUUCACUCCUCCUCUCGGUAGAAUUCGAUUCGUUAAGACUUUACACUCCCUAAACAAGCGUUGAUUUUUUAUUAGGGCUUUUCUAUUUCUUGAUUUCCUACUUAGAUACUGAUAAGUUGGGCUCUUUUGUGAUUUCUGAGCUUGUAUCUUCUUCUUCUUCAAGGAUAACCGCUUAGUAAAGCAAAAAACCCAACCUCUUGGCAUGGAACAAAAUGUUGCUCAACAAUCAGUGGGUGAAGGAGGUGACAAGAACAAAGGCAAAAUGCCUUUCAAGAAAGAAGGUGCACGAGCUUUGUAGGAAAAAUAAAAAACCGGGGUACCUCUAUACACAUUUCUCUCAAGACAAAGGGAGAAUACUCUGCCAAUGCUAAGAAAAGUGACGUCAUGUUAGGCACAUGAAAAAGCCAAGGCACCAGGAGGAAACAUCGCGAUAGAUUCCCUCUUUAAAUCUCCUUACUGGAACAAGAAUGCCUAAUAGUGCUUUGGGAAGUGAUUUAGUGGGAUAAAAGAUAAUCAAAAGUGAAGUCAGCUUUCUCGAUACAAUAAAAUGAAGGCCUUCCUUGAAUAGGAGGCAAUAAAAGGGUCCAUUGAUGAUUACGUUUUUCUAGACAUGGUGGCUCUUCAGAUCUACUUACUGUCUGUACUUGUCACAAACACUACAUCUUAUCAUCGCCAAUUAGAAUGACAUGAGAAGAGCCAACUAGGUGGAAGCAAGACAGCAGUUAAAAUAAGAAGAAGAGCAACUUGUCUUACUAAAAGUUUCAUCCCGUAUCAAGUUCGCAUAUGCAACCAUUUGACACAAUAUCUUAUUCUUGCAAGAGCGAGUAGAAAAGUUUCAAAAAGUUGGCGUAUGACGUUUUUACCCCUAGUCAAUUAUUUAGGGUUUCUUGGUGACAAAUGGUACUGUACUUUUUAGAUUGAAAGAACCAUGGAACCUGUCUUACUAUCCCCACAAUCGAGGACAAGUUGGAGGUUUAUUUUUAUCCUCAAGUGGGUUAUUCCUUCAUCCCUUUAGCUUGUUUCAGGCCGCGAUAGGGAGCCAUUCUGUUUGAGGAUAGAACUAGUGAAGUUUAGCGAGAUAUGGUCCCUACAUGGUUUUUGGCGAUUAUAUUUCGAAGGGCAUAACCUAAAUGGUGCAACUCUAGCAGAAAUAGCAUUGUUUUGUUAUGUGACGAGUUUUGGUGCUUGGUCUUCAUCAUACAAUGCUUGGCCUUGGAAGAGUGGAGAUCCUUUAGCAAAGUUAAUGCUCGAAGAGGAGCGGUAACCUCCAUAUUUCGUUUGCCAAUAUGUGCAUAAACAUUUGAAUGCUAAACUUCCUGUCACUCAGCCCAAAGAAUGAGGGAAACACGUCACUAAAAGCCUUACGAAGACCCUUGAUACAUGUAUAUGUAGGCCUUUCUCUUGUUUGCAACAUUUCGUGCCUUCUAUUAUUCUGACAUCUUUCUUAUUAAUGCUUCCUAUGCCUUAGUGCUGAUGGAACCGUCUUCAUACCAAAUUAUGAGGCUUGUACAACUAUCAGCAAAGGCUAAGCGGUUGAAGCAAAUCAAUUAGAGGCUCUCUGAGGGAUCAAAAGCAAAGAGUUGCUAGUUGGAAGGAGGGAUAAUGCUAAUAGCUAUGCUUAUGUGAAGAAAGCUCACCUGGUUGAAAAUUAGGUUCCAUAUCUAGAGGUCGAGAUAAAAAAUUUGAAAGGCAAUCUCAUGAAGUUGCUAGAAAAAUUGAAAGUAUAGGAAUCUUAGAAGUAUGACUGAAGGUCUAAAUUUUUGAAUACUUAAAGUUAAAAUCUCACCAUACACAAAUAUAUAUAUAAAUAGAAAAAGAUAGAAUAGAAUUCGCAUCUAUUAUAUCAUGUCAAUGACAAUAUAAAAAUAGAACUGAGAUCUAGAUGGAAUAUAUUGGUCAUGGGUUGAGAACGGAAGUUAUAAUUACGAUAUAUGAAUUUUCAAUCUCAUAAAUGUGCAUACAUCAUGUGUGAAUUUUGUCUGAUUCUUUCUAAUCAUUUGUCAUAUAUUUUUACUUGCACUGAUAAUAUUGAAAUCACUUAUACAAUCCUUUUCUCCAAAUAUAGACAAUACUUUUUUUUUUUAACAAUCUGAGGUUUAGGCCUUUCUCAACUCAUGCUUCAAUAUAUUUGAAUUCACUUAUAUUAAUAACAAUACUCAUGCCAAUCCCUAAACCAUAAAUUCAAUCGGUUACACAAAACCUUUUCUUUAUCAGUAUUUAAGAAGAAUAAAAUUAUUCAGCAGUUUUCUUUUUGACUUUUCCUUGUAAUAAAACAAGAAAUAUAGAUUGUAUUGCAAAAACAACAAAAAGGGUUUGUAAUAACUCAAUUAUAUGGUCAAAUAUGAUGAUAAAUAGCGUACAUUAUUUAUGGCAGUCAUGUUCUUAGAGAACAACCUAAGCCAAAUCCAGUAACCAGCAAAAGAAAACACAUAAAAAUGAUAAAUUUCAGACAUGAAUCACCAUUCAUAGACCAGAGUCAACAUUAUUCCAUUUCUUGUUCUUGUUCUUGUUCUUAACAAAGCUGUCCACAAUCUGCAAUAACGACAGGCUUAGCAGUCCUUCCACUGCUAGACCCAACUUUUUCAAUGGCUUUAACCACAUCCAUACCUUCAACAACUUGACCAAACACCACAUGCAUCCCAUCGAGCCACUCGGUCUUAGCGGUACAAAUAAAGAACUGAGAUCCAUUCGUUCCGGGACCGGCGUUCGCCAUGGAUAGUAUGCCGGGUCCGGUGUGCUUCUUGAUGAAGUUCUCGUCGGCGAACUUAGACCCGUAUAUCGAUUCACCUCCGGUUCCGUUUCCGGCUGUGAAAUCACCUCCUUGGCACAUGAAAUCAGGGAUCACGCGGUGGAACUUAGAGCCUUUGUAGUGGAGUGGUUUACCGGAACGACCGACGCCUUUCUCGCCGUUACAGAGUGCCCGGAAGUUCUCGGCGGUACGAGGAGUGACGUCUGCGAAAAGCUCCAUCACGAUCCGGCCGGCCGGUUGACCUCCGAUCGUCAUGUCGAAGAAAACCUUGGGAUUUGAAGCCAUAGUUAAAAAAAAUUGAAAAUUGGCUUAUUUUUUGGAUUUUGUUUUGGUGGGUUAGUGUGAGAUUUAAGCUAAAGAGAGACUGGUUUAUAUAGAGAAGAUGAAUGAGGGUUGACCUGCAAACGGGUCGGGUUGAUUUUUUAAUGGAUCUAAUUCGGGUUGAAUUGUGGUCAUCCAUUUUCUUUUUAGUCCUUCAGUUUUACUUUAAUGUUCAAUUUGGUACUUAUGUAUUUUUUGGUACUUAACUAAGACAAGAAAAAUCAAUUUUAAGUACUUAAUUUGAAUAAACAAAAGCCAAAUUCAAGAAUCAAACUCAUCAGAAAAAUUUAGAUACCAAAUUAAACAUUAAAAUGAAACUCAUGUACCAAAUAAUAUAUUAACUCUUUUGUAGUCAAGCUAAAAAUUUAGGUAGGUUCUUUUUAUAGAAAAAAAUAGGUAAAUCAAUUGAGUCUUAACUCGAUUGGCAUGGUAUUAUUGUCAAUGUAGGAAAACGUAAGUUCGAGUGGGCUAACUUAUUUUUUUUUCAAAAAAAAAAACUAAAUAUAAUUAGAACCUAUUUAUGGGUUGGAGAGGGACUAUUGGUAGUUUUAAAUAUUAUGUCAAAAAGAACAUAUAUGAUCAAAAUCUAUAACGAGAUUAAUAAAAAAAUUGAGUAAAGUUUGAAAAUUAUUAUAUAACUUAAUUUUAUUGGAAAAUUAUUAUAUGAUAUUUAAAUUAUUUUUAAAUAUCAAUUAAAAAUAUAUCAUAAUUAUUUAAUUCAUAUAUAGAAUUAAAAUAUUUUCCUAUUGAUGUACCAAAUAAUUAGGUUAUACUAUUAUCUCUUUAAAAAUGACAAAUUUAAUUAACAUUAAAUAUAAGAUAAAUACCUUAAAAAACUCUCCUACGAAAUAAUUAUAUUUUAUAUUUAAAAAAUUAAAUGAUAAAAAUGUGGGUCAAAAUUGGAUUCGAUUCACAUUAAAUUUGAAAUAAAUUCCAUAUACGAAAAAUAAGAAUAAUUAUUUUUUAGAAAAAAAAAAAAGAAGUAUCAGAUGCGAUACGGCAGAGUUUUGUUGGACCAUUUUUCCACUAUAAAAUAAUUUUAAUAAUAAAGUAAGUUAUAAUUAUUGUUAAAAUGCAUAAAUAAAGUUACAUAAAUGUUGAUUAAGACCGAGAUGCCCCUUCUAUUCUAGCGUUAUACACACGCACGCUAAAUGCGGUCCAUUUUUUUUUUUUUUGAGAUUUUUUUUUUGUUUUUACUCCACGUUGAAUAUUAUAGAAAUUCGAGCCAAAUUUAAAUAAAAUUGAUCAUGACCCACGUGGAGUUAAGCUCAAUCAAAAUCUUAGGUUCAUUUGUUAGGUUUGUGUUCGGCUUAGGCCCGAAAAAUGGGCUUGAAAGAAUUUGCUUAAGUUCAAUCUAAAUAAAAAAUAUUAAUUUUUUAAAAAAAUAUAAUACAUCAAAAAUACUAAAAGUAUUAAAAUAUAUGUUUCUUAAUAAAUUGAUAAUAAAUUAAAAUAUAUAUACACUUAAAUAACACUAAUAUAGGUGCAACUUAACAAGUAAAUGCCUCUAAAAUCAGAGGUGAAGCUAGGGGGUUGACAGGGGCCCGACCCCCCUAAAAUGAAAAAAUAUUAUUUAGGCCCUUCAAAAAAUUUUAAAAUUUUUAAUUAAUAAAGGUAAAAUUACACUUUAGUUCCCCUAAAAUUAUAAAAAUUUAAUUUAAUCCUUUAAAAUUUAUAAAGAUAUAUUAUAGACUAUAAAAAACUAAAAUUUCAUUCGGCCCCCUAAAAAAUUGUUCUGCCUUCGCCUCUGUCUAAAAUAGUGACAAAAUUAACAAUAAACCAAUAAUUAUACAAUAUCCAAACAAUAACAACAAAAUAGUUACAACAUGAUAGGGAAACAAUAACAAAAUAGUAAGAAAAUAAUAGCAAAAUAGUAAAAAACAACAACAAGAAGAAAACAACAAAAACACAACAGUUUUUUUUUAUUUUUACAAAUUCGGGCUAGGUCUAGUCGAGUUCAAGCCAACAAAACAUUACUCGAGACUCAACCCAUUUUCUAAACAAUGCCUUAUUUUUUGUUGCCCAAGCCUAUUUUUUGAGCCUAUAUAUUUAUUCAAACCCUCCCACUUUUUGAGUCGGGCCACAAGUCUAGGACCAAGCUAUUUUGUUUAAUUUUUUUUCUCUAGUAUAAUGAUUUAUUUUACCUUUUAAUUUAAUUUUAGUCCUUUAUUUUAUUUUUUACUUUUUAAUUUUUUUAGCCUUUAAACUUGUAUUAUUUGUUAAAUCACCCAAAAUAGAUGAAAAAUUAACAUCAAUUAAAAUUUUAAGUUUUAAAUAUUUCAAAAAAAAAAUUAGUAAAAUUAUUAAAAAUAUAUAAAACAUCUUUAUUUAAAAAAACUAAUUGCUAACAUGGCAAUCCACGUGUUUGCCACAUUAGCAAAGUUAACAAACGUUAACUUUUCCAUACAUUUUGGGGUGAUUUGACAAAUAAUAAAAAAUGAAGUGCUAAAAUGAUUUUUUUUGUAAAGUUAAAGGGUCAAAUAAGUUAUUAUGUCUUUUUAAAAAAAAUUAAAUAGAGUAAACAACCUUACUUGUUAACUCAAUCCUUAAGGCACUUUCAUUUGGAUCAUAUAAAAAAAAAUUCUUUCAGUUUCAUAACGGUUGUUAGAGAAAAUUUUUAUUUUAGUCACUCAACCAUUAACUUUAUUACAACUUCCGACUUAACCCUUAAUAAUUGAGUGAAUAAAAUAAAAUAAAAAUUCUAAAGGGGAUGACGAAAUCGAAAGGAUUUAUUUAUGAGUGGCUAAAAUGAAAGUGCCUAAUAUAUCUUAAAAUUAUUUUUAACACAUAAUAUUAAUACAUUUUAUUGGAUUAUAGUAGUUUUUUUUUUUUGAAUAAUCUCAUUAUAGGUUCUGAUAAUAUCUGUUCUUUUAGACAUAAUACCAAGAACUACUCAUACUCCUUCCCCAACCCAUAAAUAGGAGGAUAAUGAGCUUGGCUACACUCGAAUUCACUUUCUCUUACAUUGACAAUAAUGCCCAUAUCAAUCGAAUUAAGUCUCAAUCGGUAUUUAUAUUGGCCCUAACAUAAUAUUAUUAUUGCAAUAAAAAUGACAGUUUUAUAAUCAGCAAGUAAAGAGAAAGAUUCAACAAACACGUCCAACUUAAUUAAUUUAAACAUUUACUUAAUUUAUCUCCCCUACGAAGAUAGACCUUUUUUAUUGCAUGCAAUGCUUCAUUAAAUAUUGCAUAUAACACUUCAUUUUACAGUACACCCUACGUACUUCAAGGAUGAUGUGGAGCAAACGGCGGCAACGGCGGCCAUUUUCCGAACUUGGGGUGGUGGAAAUACUUGGGAGGAAGCUUGGGAAGCGGAGGGCACGGCUUCUUCGUAAAUGGAGGAAUCUUCGGAAGAGGAGGAAGUGGCUUGUGAGGAAUAGGAGGGAAGGGUUUCGGUUUGUAAAUAGGAACCGGCGGUGGAAGCGGCUUCUUAUAAACCGGUACCGGAUGAGGCUUAUAAACCGGUGGUUUGUAGACAGGAACCGGCGGUGGAAGCGGCUUCUUGUAGACCGGCACCGGAUGAGGCUUAUAAACCGGUGGUUUGUAGACAGGAACCGGCGGAGGGAGUGGUUUCUUGUAGACCGGCACCGGGUGAGGCUUAUAAACCGGUGGUGGAAGAGGUUUCUUGUAGAUGGGAGGGUGAGGGUAAUGAUGGUGGAAGCUUUUCAAUGGCGGAAGUGGUGGAAGCUUAGGCAAUGGAGGGAAGUUGUGGUGGUGGUGAGGCCAAAAGGAGGCUGAGACACAUGUUAUUGGUGAGAAUUUGAGGUUCUCUUUUAACCCAAACUGGUGUUUCUGGUCGGUGGUGGAUUUGAAAACUAGCUUAGAGGAUUCUAAGCCAUUAAUGGAAGGGCAAGGUUGAGGUGAUGAUACAGUGCGAAGCUGUGCGUAGCAAUGUUCAUUCAAUUUGCCAUCUUUGAACAAGUGUUGUGGAAGAGAGACUUUGAAAUUGCCUUGUUUGUCAAGCUUUCCAGACCCUCUGGUUUUGAAAUGGUCACCAUUUUCUGGCUUGCAAUCUAUGGUUACACGAAGACCUAGAAAGAGAAAACGCCAUUAUCAUAACAUCAUAAAUAUUGCUUCAAAUUAAAGAAAGGGAGAAUACACCAUUAACAUAACAUCAUAAAGUUUAAUUCUCUAAUGUUAACAAAAUGUUAGUGUGAUGGUUCACUGGUAGAUUUAUACACUAAUAAUGAAUCAAAUAAAAACCUCUUUUUACUAUUUUUUAGAGCUUUUGCCUUACUCGUGACUAAAAUUUUUAAAUUUUUGGGGAGAAGUGUAUCUUUAUUUAAGCAGCUUUUUGUUUUAUGUAUAAGGUGUAAUGCAGAUUUAUCCCUAUCAUGAGUGCUUGAGUAUCAACUCUUUAAUUGACCAUCGUCAAUACAAAAGUAUGUACAUAUAAUUGAGUUUGAACUUGGAUAUGUAUGUAUAUCAAUCUUAGUGUAAUAAUAUGUGUGUUGAGGAGAGGUCGCGCUUUGGGCCAAUCUUGGACCCUCAAUGAAGGUAUUGUUCUCUGGAUUUCUAUACUCGGUUUUAACUUUGAGUUUUUGUCUCAUAACUUUGAAGGGAGUCCAAAAGGGUUCGCGAAAUUUGAUGGAGCGCCUACUCCACCAAAGAAAUGUUUAACAUUUGGCCUUAAUGGGUUUUGAACUCAUGCCCUUAUAUGGCAUUAGUGGGUAAGAACUAGAUCUGUUCAUGGGUCGGGUUAUCCGCUUAAGCCUAAAGGCCCAUCAGAAAUUUGAAAGGGUUUGAGUAAAAAAUUAGGCCUGAAAAAUAGAUUUGGACAAAAAAAUAGGCCAAUUUAUAAUAUGGGUCGGGCUCGAGGCUUGAACAUUCAAGGCCUGAGCCUGACCCGACCCAUUUUUAAGUUUAUAAUAUUUUAUAUUAUGUUAUUUUUAUAUAUUAUAUAAUUUAGAACACAUUAAAAAAAAUAAACCUAUACUAAAUAUAUAAUACUACUCUAAUGUAAAUAUUAAAAUAAAGUUCAGAUGACUAUAUAAAAAUUUUCAAUAAAUUAAAAAAAGUAUAAAAUUAUUAAAUAUUAAAAUAAUAUAAUAUAAAUAUUUUUAAAAAAUUUAAAAAAUAAUAUGGGUGGACCUAAAAUAGGCUUGGGUUAGUCUUUUGCAAAUAUGGGCUUGUUUGAGUAAAAUUUUAAGCCUAUAUUCCGGGUCGGACCAGGCUUGGACAAGCAUAAAGUAUGUUAAUAUCAUGCCUAAGCCCGACUCGAACCUAUGAACACCUCUAGUAAGAACAUUACCGUGAACUUUCUUAGGCUCUCCUUAAAAUACAAGUGACAAAACUCAGAUAAUCAAACAUCAACACCCACAAACAAUACUUCUGAGGAUCCGGAACCGACCCAAACAACUAACUCCCCCCAGCAAUAUAGGCCACUACAACAUGCAAGGAAUGGCCUCGAAAUUAAUUGAGCAGCUUAGAUGAAAACAAUACCUGAAAAUGCUUGGGUGGUGUCCAAGUUAUUCUCUUUGCAAUCUGUGCAUUCACCAACCCCGACCACUUCAACUGUUUUACCAUCACCGUUAGCAUUGCAAAAUGUGGUCACAAAUAAUAAUGACCAUACUGUGAACGCCACAAGUGCUCUUCCUCGAAACUCGAGGUUCUCCAUUGUUAUUGCUUCUGAGGUAGUGAUAUGAUAUCAGAGAUUGGAUACCAAAGCCUUAUUAUAUAAUGGUGUUCAAAAGGGAUCAUGGGAUCACCAUUUUCAAUGGCUUACCGACACCACACUUAAAUGCCUCACAUAAGGUUAGGGAACGGGACCCUCACCACCUCUUUGAGAUGACUUUGGUGUAGACACGUAGUUUAAACUUUGGUUUGAUAUGAUCAUCAUAAAAAAAAUUAAUAAUUUAAAUUUGAAAUGAUUUUGUUGAGUAUUUUUAUUGUGUAUUUUCUUAAUGGGUGAAACAGAUAUUUAUUUGAUAUGGUUACUGUUCAUGGAAUUGACGUUCUAGGUAAGCUCCAUGCAUAUCGACACGUAUUCUACUCUAGACUUAACACGUGUUUGUUGGUCCAGGUGCUCGCCAGUUCAUUCAUUUAGCUUUGUACCCUGUGCGAACUGUGCUCGCAAGCCCUCCCCGUGAGCCCCUUAACGACUCCACCUGGUGGGGUCCAAACUCGGGUCGUAGGUCGGUAGCUCGGGUUAUAUUCGAGUUUCAGGUUGGCAAUUGGAUAUCCCACAAUAGAUCUAAUUCGAAAAUUGAGCUUCAAAUUUAAAUGAUUUGAACCUAAAACAACCCGAAAUUGAAAUGGCUCGAACUUAAAACAAGUUAAACUCAAAAUGAUUCAAACCCAGAAUUAAUUUGAAAAAUCGAGAUAACUCAAUCUAGACUGAUUGGUCUAAAACUGAUCCAACCCACUCAAUUUAUAAGUGAAUUCGGUGUAAUGGUUUGAAAAAGAUUGUGAUGUUACCUGAAUGACCCGAACCCAAAAUAACUGGAAAUUAAAAUGGCUCGAACUUAAAAUUGUUCGAAUCUAAAAUUGAUUCAAACCCAAAAUUAACAUGAACUGAAAUAAUUUUAAAAUUUUAAAAUUCGAAUUAACCCGAUCUGAAUUUGCUUUGAUCUAAAACUAAUUCAACCCACUUAAAUUACAAGUGAAUUUAGUGUAAUAGUUUGAAACCAAAACAACUUUAAAUUAAAAUGAUUUGGACCUAAAAUAAUUCGAAUUCAAAGUAAUUUAAACUCAAAAUUAAUCUGAAAAUUGAUACGAUUUAAAUUAAUUUGAUCCAAAACUAACCCGACCCACCUAAUUGACAGAGUGUUUAGUGUAAUGGUUUGAAAAAGAUAGUAAUGUGCCACAACCCCACAACCCCACAACCAUUUGUUGAAUUAAGCUAAUGAUAGUAUCUUUCAUUGAAUGAGCCCUCAACUGCACAACGAACAGCUAAAUUAUGCUUUGUGUUUUCUCAUCUGCAUUUUAAAACCUACUUACUAACUUUCAUAAAUAAUUUUUUCUAUAUUUACACAAUUCUUUGCUGAAUUACAAAAAUGGUCCUUCAAUAUUCAACUUAAUUUGAAUUAUUUAAAUUGUGCAACAUAUGAAUUUCGAAUAAAUCAACCACACAAAUGCCAACCAAUUUAAUUAUUACUCAAAAAAACCACUUGCUUUCUAAGUUGUUCUUAGUCAUCACUAUCAUAAUUAAGCUCAUUUUGUGAGACAACCCUUUGACUAUUUUUCAUCUAAUAAAUAUGGGGUUCAUCCAUGUGGCCAUGAAUUUGCAAGUCCCCCCCCCCUCCCCGCCUUUGAUCCAAACUUGGGCCAAACCCUAAUCCUUGAAUUUUACUUUUAUUAUUGAAAGCACAUGGUGGAGGUGGACCCUUUCUUUGACCAUCAAAGAUAAUCUAGUAACUUUGCCAAAAGAGGUCUCUAGAAAUGAAACCAUUUGUUGUAGAUUGAAGGUAGAUAGGGUAACCUCAGAUAAUAUUAUAAUUCACCCUAAUGGAUUAAAGAAAAUCGUUCUUCUUGAAUUUGAUUUUCAAAGCAUACUCCGAAGUUUAAGUGAGAGUCGGAGAGAGAUAAGAAACAAACUAACUAGUGCCGGUACGUUUAAUAUCGUCUUAUUUUUUUGUGAACCGUCUCAUUUUACUCUAAAACAUAAUGUCAACUAAUAAGGAUGUGACACGUAGCACGUUUACAUUGGACGUCAUACACUUUUAGGGUAAAAUGAAAAGAAAUUGAUAGUUUAGAUAUCACUUUUGAUUAAAAAAAAUUAGGUACUUAACUGAGGAAAACGAUAUAAAUUGAGAGUCAAUUUUGUAAUUAAGCAAAAAGAAAAACAUCUUUCACAUAAAUUAAUGGCAAUGCUGGAUUUAGUUACACUUCUUUUUCACAAAUCGGUUUUCAAGUGAUGUGAUUACCAUGUGAUUAAAAGGAAAAACAAAAUCAAUCAUGGAUUUAAAUGUUGAAAAUGUAGUUAUAGGUCACAUACAAAAAUGUAGGGUCAAACAUUACUUAAAUAUUUUUCAAUUAAGGACAACAUUAUGCACCUUAAUAUUUGGUGAGAUGGAGUUUCCCUAUCAAGCUUGCUAAUUAGUAGGGUAAAGGUGUAUUCAUGUAAUCUUAUAUUUUAACAAAAGUUGUGAAUAUAGACCAAUAAAUCUAUUUAUAAAUUGAGUUGGGUCAAAUUUCGUAAUAAAAUCUUGAUGAAAGUUAUUACUUAUAGGUUUUCAUACCAAGGGCACAAUCAAAUUAAGCUCGUAGGGUCUACCAAUUUCGUUAUUAAGAUCUCAUUAAGAUACCUUUCUCCCUCCUUUCCCCUCCUUUCAUUUGUUUACUUUCUUUUGUUUAUUUAUUGGCUUUGUUUUGAUGUGAAACUGUUGAAUUUAGUAGAUAUAGAUACAGAUUCUUAUAUCGAAGGGUCUUUACCUAUUUUGUUUUGUUUGUUUAUCAUCUUUCGUCCCUAUCAGAGACCCAUAUUUAUUUUUAUUUGGUCCAAUCAGAAAACAUUUUAUCAUUUCUGUAUUCGCAAUUCAAUAUAGAUAGAUAUUCCAUAACAUAUCUAUGUCCCUCUUACUCUCAAUUUUCUCAGGCAAUUUGGUGGAAUACUCGAACGGUCGAUUUUUUUUUUCGUCUUAGCUUCUGUCUUUAUGAUCUGGAUUUCAUUUCUAUGGGUUGCAAUUUUUUUUCUUUAAUGUCAUUUUUAUUCUUAUAUAUAACCAUAACAGGAAUAGGAUAACUAAAAAAAAAUAAAAAUAAAAAUUGAAUUUAUUAUUAUUUCUUUAUUUCUUUAUAGUAUAAUAGCUAGAACUAAUUAUUUAUAUUUAAUAAAUACAACUAAUUAUCCAUUCAUUUCUAUUUCAAAUUCGAAAAUAAUUCAAAUUUUUUAGUUUAAAAAGAGUUCCCAUUCUAAUUAUCUAUACUUAUAACGUAUCAUUUCAUUUAUAUAAUGAUAAUAUAUAUAAAUACAUAAAAAUAUUUGGACUCUAAUUAUAUCUAUGCAGAACUCUAAGCUAAAUAAAAAUAAAUUUAAUCUAUAUUAAAUCUAUUAAAUUGAUCGAUUAAAUAAAUUCUAUAUAAUUUAGAAAAUAAGAAUAGAGUCAGUAAUAUUAGGAAUAAUUAAUAUAGAAUAUACUAAUAGAACCAAGAUAUCAUUUGUUUCUAAAUUUAAAUGGAAUUUGAGAUUUAAUAUUUGUAAUUAAAAUUUAAAAAAAAUUAAAUCAUCCCAUUUUUUACUAAAAAUAUUUGUAAUUCAAUAAUUGACGUGGACAAUAUUUUCUAUUUAAAUUUUAAAUUCAAAAAAUAUAUACUUGAUAGUAAAUAUUAAUAAUGUGAAUGAUUGAAGUGAGACUAGCCACAUAUUUUAAAAUUUAAGUUGAUAUUAAUAUUUAUACAUUUUAAAUAAUUAAUAAUAAUUGGACGGAGGAAGUCUAGUGACUAGUCUUUUGAGUUUUGACUUAUAGAUCUGCCCCUUAAGGGGGUUUUUAAUGUAUGACUAAUAUAAUGCCGAAAAGUUAGGUGAUAAGAAAAAAGAAUUUCUUUUAGCCCAACUUAUUGUCUAAUUCAAUACAAAUAAAUCAAUAUAUUUCAGAUAAAAAUAUUAAUAUAUUUGGAACUUAGAUAAGGCUUAGUGACAUGGAUAAAGCUAGAAAAUUGUUUCAAGAGGAAUUAGAGAUGAAUAGUAAAUUAUUAAAGGGUUAAGAUGUAAUUUUAUCAUUAUAAUAAUAUGUAAUUUUUAUAAAAAAAAAAAUUUGAAGGGAUUAAAUGACAAAGGCCUCUUCGUCCUGCUGGAACUUAAAUUCAGAUUAAUCUAAAAGAGAAUCUAGGCCAGACAUUUGUAUCAGAUGAUAUUCGAAUCUAAACCACCGACUUCAACCUGACCAACUAUGACACAUUAUUCGUACGUCUAUAAAUUGGAAUGGUAAUAAAGUUGAAAAUUAUGUGUUGUGAUUGGACCUAUCUUUGGGGUUGCUUUUUUUGCCUACGUGAGGGAAUCCUUAAUAGAGAAAGCUUCGGGCAGUAUUCGGGUAUAAGGUGGGGAUUGUUUUGGUACUUUUGCUUCGUAGGGUUCACGGUGGAUUUCAGAACAUGAUUUAAUUUGCCUGAUUUGAAUGAUUUUUCUAAAAUAAAAUAAUGACUUUUUGCUGUUUCGGUAUAAGUAUUUUUCUUUUUUUCUUUUUUCUUUUUCUUUUUUUUUUUUUGAGUUGAUUUAGAAUUAGAUGAAAUUGAUUUUGAAUUUAAAUCCAUUUCUAAUUUAAAUUUAAAAAGGUUCAAACUGUUUCGAAUUCAAUUUAAGACUUGCUUUUUCGGAUCAAUUCAAAUCCAUUUGAGUUCAAGUUCAAUAGGUUCUAAUUUGUUGAUUUUUUUUUAUCACUAAAUUGAUUGUGAAAUUUAGGUUCAAAUUCCAAAUUCGAUAAUUGAUCACUAGAAAUGUAAGUUAAAAAAUCAACAUGUUUAAACCUGAAAUCGAUUACAAAAGGAACAUAACAAGGGAAUUUAAUGUAUACUUCCCAAUAGCAGUGAAAACGUGACAGCGGCUGUGACCAAGGUUUCUAACACACCACCACCACACUGAUAAUACUUAAGUUUAACCCAGAAACCAAAAAUCCGAAAUCCGAUGAACAAAGAAACCGAGAAAAAAAAAAGAAGUAAAAUUAGUCCUGCCUCGUAUCACAGUUAGUUUCGCUUCUACAAGCCUCGAUUUAAGCAUCCUCAAGAAAAGAUGUAGUGAAAACCGAAAAAGUUCAAAUGCUACAACAGCAAAGGUAUAUAUGUCUAUUUUCCUGGCCUAAUUCUCAGAACUACCUGCGCCCUCACUUACAAUUUUUCCAAAUGCCUUGGCAAGAGUUACAAUAGCCCGAAUUUAGCGAUCACUUUUCUCAUCUACUUCUUCUUCUUUGAUUUGGAAGCCGACUGAGUGUAAGCAGUUCCCUGAAAAUUAUGACGACCAAAACCAGAAAUUGUCAGUAACACUCCUAUAUAGAUCAUUAUUUGAUGAAGUCCCAUGGUGAACUCAUGAAUAACCUCAAUCAUAUCCAUUGAAUAAACAGAUAACGAGCUCUUGGGGACAAGAGCAGUGAAAAGAAAAUCUAGCUAAAAUAGAAAGAAUGGGAAGUGAUGAUGAUGAUGAUGUGAUGCAUAAGCCAAGACAUAACCUGAAGCCAUUCAUCCAGUGAAGCAUCGGGAGCCCUGGUCCCAACUUCCACCUUUGGAGCCCUCUUAGUUUUCUAGCAAAAUAAAUAAGUCAAAACACAUUAGCUUUAUUCCACAAAAAGAAGCAUAAAACACAUAAAGUAACACUGCAAAUUGAAGCUUUCUUCAAUUUAAGAACAAAAUAUCACGGAUAUUUAACAUUUUCACAGCAAAACAGCUUGCUGAAAACUUGAAAUAGGUCAUGAAUGCUAGAAACCUAGAACAAUGUUGAUUUCCCUACAUGUAUGCAUGGAUGUGCUCUUUUAAUUUCUAUCAGCAAAAGCCUUGUUACAUCGAUCUUAUAAUAACUGGAUACUGCAGUGAAUUAAUAUAACAAUAGCAAGGUAGCACAACUACAAUACCUUGGUGAUACGCUGAAAUUGACCGUGAAGCCACAAACCAAGGAGAACAAGAAGUGCAAUCCCAAGGGUAACAAGGAAAACGGACUCAACACUGAGGAAACCACCAGCCUCAACAACUUCAAUGGUACCAUUAUAGAAUGUACUUUGGUAUGGUUGCUGAUCAAUAUCAUAGAUAAUCGAACCCACAAGAUCAAAAGUUCCAGGCUGCAGCAAAAUUCUGGAUGUGUAAGCUCUACCGCAACUGUACUUCUCACAGAGAAUUUAUAUACGGUACCAAGGCAUAAAUCUCACGGAGUAAUCAUUUACCUGUAAGUACUUGCUAACAGCAAAUACGUAAGGGAAAGUAGCUUGAACUGAAGGGGGUACAGUUGCAUUGUUGAAAGCCUACAUUAACACAGACAUAUUCAGUUCUAGAAUCUACAAGGAAACAUCACAAGGCAGCUUUCAUGCAACAACAUAAGCUGUAAAACUCCAAAAUUACAAGGAGCAUGACCAACUUUGUACCAACAGAGAGCCUUGAGAUCUUUUUCAAAUAAAGAAGCAAAGAUUUGAUAAUGAAGUAGGCAAAAAAAAAAAAAAAAAACAGCGCAGCAUUAUUAUUGCAAAACGACCAGUUAGAGCAUGAAUGCCUUACAUGCUCAAUUUCAUAUCUGAAAAUCAUUGUAAGGUCUACAAUUAAAAGUUAAAGAUACAGCAAAAUCUACACUAGUACCAAACCCUCUGCUAAAGUUUCUUAAACUGAGAUAUAUAACUUCUCAGUGCAAGUUCAACAUCCCUCCACCAUAUUAACAAGCACUGGUUAAAAUAAUUGACUCUACUAUAAGACUAUAACUGUUAUAGCCUAUUAGUGUAGGGAAGCAGUUACAAAUGAAACACAAACUAGUGUCGCAAUGCAUAAAACUCAUAUUAUUGACCAUAUGUUUGACAAUGGAUAUUUAAAACAUCCAAUAAGAUAUCAUAUCAACAUGAGAGCAUGCAUGUUUCAAUGCUCAUGGGGUUAAGCUGGCUUGUCAAGCCUCAAGUAAUGAAGGCUUAAAUAGAGAAUAACUCUUUAGUUAUUAUUAGGUAUCCUAUAGGCAAUGAUCUAGUAGUAUGAAGAUUGGGGCACCUAAUAACUGAAAUUAAAACCCUUUCUGUGCUAGCUUUGCUAGGUUAGAAAGAGAUAAUGUUUCUACUUGGUGGCAAACAACCACUGAAUUGUACUGGUCGCUGGCUUUGUACUGAUGACGGUAUUAUUAAUAAAUGACCAUACAACCGCACUCUUUUUCCACUCUUCAUUUAGAAUAGUGGUUUUUUAGUGGGGCACAUUUUUCAUUAAAAAAUCAAUGAAUGCUAAAUUGUAUUUUAUAAAACAAACUCACUGAAUGAUUAAUUUUAUUUAUCAAAACUAAAGGGCUAGAUACUAAAUUAUAAAAAGCUCUUCAGUUAGGAAAUAAUAGAAAUUAAUCAAAAUGAAAACUGAACUAACUAAUGUAUCAGGAGUAUUUGAAAAUGUUAAACCAGAACAAUAUCAAGAAACUCUAUGAUUACCACUGCUGUAAGAUUUUGAACAAGCAUACGGUGAUCAAAAGGGAGAUGAACACUGGCUUUGAUAGCAAUGACAUUCACAGGUGACUCCCCUGCAAUUUAAAGAAGUAAGCUAUGCAUAAGAGUGAAGGAAACCUCAAAUGGCUAACAGAAAAGACUAAGCAUUUAAGCAUAGUCAACUACGGAAAGAUAAACUGUGUGUUGCUAUCUCAACACAGUAAAAACAAACAUCAUUGUAAAAUAUAUAUCAGUAAGGUAGUGAAGGCAAAUUAUUACCAAUAUUUUCCAUCCCAACAAGGAGCUCAGUCUGUUCUCCAGCCAGAACCACUGUCCAAGAUUAGCCAAAAAGACAAUACACAUCACUCUCAAAAUCAUAAAACAUUGAAAUCAGAGAUGCGGCACCAAAAAGUUCUUACAUUUGGCGCUAUUUUUGGGGAAAACGCAAACAGUUUUAACUUCAGGAGCUGAACUGUAAUUAGGAUCACCAAAAUCCUGAACAUCCUCCCCAACAAUACCGAGAUCACCUCCUUCAACAGCUUCUGCAACAUCUGCCUCUGCUUCUGAUUGACACCUAGCAACUAUCACAGAAAAGAAAACUCAUGUGAAGCCAUAAUUUUAAAACAAAAUGAAAAUUUAUUUAGUAAUUUACCAAAAAAAAUAAAAAAGUAAACAAAAAUUAAUACAACAAACAGAUCCGACAUCCGGAAUAACUGCUUCAAUAAUGUUAUUGAAAAGGACACCAAACUCCAAAGUACUUGCCAAGGCCCUAGUACUCUUUCCUUUCAUUUUCCAAGAGCAAACCUAAACUGUAUUUCUAAAACAGCCACUAAAAUGCCAGUAAGAACAGAUAUCAAGAAGAUACCUAAGCUUCUUUCAAAAAAAUUCAAUCGAACUUUCAUAAUCACAGCCAUGCAACGCAACAAUGAAUUUAAACACAAAGAAAUCACUUCAAAAUCCCACUACCAAAUCAUAAAUCUAGAAAGAAAAAAAAAAACAAACCAAUCUCACAUGGAUGUUAAAAAAAAGCGAAAGAAAUGAUACUAAAGGAAAACAAAUCGAAUUGCUUCUCAUUUAACCAGAUCAAAGCAAUCGCAGUAAGCAACUAAGCAUGAAAUCCAAAAAGCAACAUAGAAACUCCACAAAAUGAAACGAAUCGGUAAGCAUAAAUACCUAAUUACAGAUCUUAAAUAUAAAAAAGCAAGUAAAAACAGAUCAAGAAAAAAAAAUUUACAAACCUUGAAGGAAAGGAGAUGCGAGGAAGAGGAGAGCAAAGAAGAAAACGCUGAAAAUUUUCAUCGCCAUUUCAGAGAGUUUUUUUUUUUUUUCCGUCAAAUGAGAAAUAAGAAAAAUAAAUUAAUCGGUGUUAGAAAUGACAAAUAGAUGGAGAAGGGACGGCGGGUUUUAAUCCAACGGCUAUAAAUGACAGAGAGCUCGGCCGAACGAACAUUCUCCGUUGGAUCUUUGGUCAAUUGUGUGCUUUUAAAUAAUAUACAACUACUUCUCCACUACCCUUUUGUUCAUUUGCGCUUGCAGAAAAAUCAAAUAUAGCACGGCGCCGUUUUGGUCCUGACUUAUAUUUUCUUUUAUAAUUUAUUUUAUUUUUAUUAUCGAUAAAAUUGAAAUUAAAAUAUCUUGAUAUUUUAGGUUGAAAUCUCAUAAUUUAUGAAUUUAUUUUACGUUUCAAUUAUUUUUAUAAAUUUUAAAUGAAAUAUAAAAUGAAUUUUUAAAUCAUUUUUUAACUAAGUUGAUGUUAAGUUAAUUGCAUUUUAAAUUAGUAAAAAUUAUUAUUACUAAAUCAUUGCGGGUAAAAGAAUUUGUUUAGCAAAUGUAUUUAUAAAAAUUUUAUAUUAAAUGCAAAAGAAGGUUUAGUUAAAAUGGUAAUAGAUUUGAUUAUGGAUUGAAUUGGAUUCGGAUCAGAUCGAUGUAAAAUUUUAGACUCGAGUUCAGAUUGAUUCAAAAAAUGGGUCUAAAUUUUUUUUUCAAAUCCAGUCUAGAUAAAAAAUACUAAACUCGAGUUCGAUUCGACCCACCCGUAUUAAAAAUUUUAUAUUAUUUUUAUAUAAAAAUAAAUUUUAAAAAAUAAUACAUCAAUACUUUAAAAUUAUUAAAAUAAAUGUUUUCCAACAAAUGUAUUAUAGUUGUAACUUAACAAACAAAUAUAUCUAAAGUAGUAGCAAAUUUAAUACUAAAACAAGAGUUAUACAAUAUCCAAAUAAUAACAAUAAAAUAGUACCAAUAUAAUAGCAAAAUAGCAACAAAACAAGCAGUAGAAAAAAUUUAGCUAGAUUUAGAUCGACUCGGGCAAAAAAAAUCAUACUCGAGGCUCGACCAAUUUAGAAGAUGGGCCUUAUUUUUUGUCCAAGCUUAUUUUUCGAGCCUAUAUUUUUCUUAAACCCUCUCACUUUUUGAAUGGACCUUCAAGCGUAGACAGGUGACCUGGCUCAUGAUCAGAUCUAAAUGGUAACGUUUGGGUGCAUAUGAUCAUCUUGACAAACUUUGUCUAGGAUUUAUCCAAAGAUCUACUUCUGACACGAGGAGAGUGAAACUUGUAAAUUGGGAUACUAUUUGCUUGCCGUUGGAUUGAAAGCAAUGCUUGACAAGAAUUUGGUGUUGCUUGUGAAACUUGGAUGGAGGUUAGUUACAAAAGUUGAAAGUUUAGUGGCGCUAGUUUAUAAGAUCUAGUUUAGAAAUGCUUCUCAAAAAUACUUUUGAGACAAAAGCAUUCCCAACAAGGUAUUUUUUUAGAGAAAAAUACCUUCUCCCAAAUAAAAAAUUGGCCAAAAAUUGCUUAUGCAAUUGCUCUACAACACUAUACUCACUGUGUUUUAGAAAUUUCAAGCAUUCAGUGGCUUCUUUUUCCUUUAUUGGCUCAUUAACCAAUGGCCUAGAUUCAACUAUCUUCUCUUCUUUUUGCUCUGCCUCUAAAACCUUCCCUUUCACCGAUUCUGCUUAAGCUUUUAUCAAAUCGCAGUGCUCCUCACUAUACGUAUAAGGACCCGUCUCUCGGCUUUCUUUUACAAUACUAACCAAAGCUUCUUUCCCCGAGACUGUUACAUUGCACUCAUAAUUCCAAGGGACCUUUUUACUAUCCUUAUACAAAAAAUUUAUUGGCUUCCGGAUUACAAUCUUCAGUGUCAUAUGUGCCCUAACCUUAUCAACCUUAGGGCGCGAGAUAAUAAUUACAGGAUGAUUAACCUUCGGAAUCUUUGAUGUUGACUUUGAUGCACAUAUACUUCAUUUUUUCUCCACCUCUUCGAAAAACUCCACCUCUCUAUUAUCCAUCAUGCUCUGGACCAGAGCUUUGAAUUCUCCACAUCUCUGAAUUUCGUGUCCCACCUCAUGAUGGAACUCACAAUAAUUUAAGGUCUCACAACCUCCUUCUGAACUCGAAACAAUUAACCCUCUUCUCACUAUUUCUUUUCAAACCCACAUCAAAGGGAUUUUUACUUCAGCAACACUCCCAUUGACCAUUUUCCCUUCAUUUUCACUCAUCAUGUUUACCCCACUAUCAGUGUGCUUGGGUAACGGAUUCCCUGUGCCAAAUGAAUCAUCUACCUUGACAACGCCCAUCGUAAUGAGCCUUUCAACAAGCUUUUUAAAAGCAGUACAAUGUUCUAUGGAAUGCCCCGUAACUCCUGCAUGGUAAUCGCAUUGUGCAUUCGCAUCAUACCAUUCAGGAUACGAAAGCUGUAAAGGGGUCAAGUAAAAUGGGGCAACAACAUGCGCGUUGAAUAAAUUCUGAUACAACUCCUUAUAUGACAUAGGAAUGGGUGUGAACUGGGGCCUCUCAGUACUCGGCCUCCCACCAGAUUCCUGUUUUGAUGAACCCUGCUGAUUUGCCACUACUUUUCUGCGUUGAUUCACAGUAACCGAUUUGUUGUAUGCACUUACAUUGUUCACCUCACCUUCUUUUUUAUUUGAAGCUUGUCUUUUGUUGUUCUCUCCGACAUCAAUCUUUCCGCUCCUUAUAGCACUUUCAAUCAUCUCACUACACAUGACUAUAUCAGAAAAGCUUUUUGUAGCACUUCCUAACAUAUGCGUGAUGAAUGGGGCUUUCAGCGCAUUUAUGAAAAGCAUCGUCAUUUCUCUUUCAAGGAGCAGUGGUUGGACCUGCACUGCCACCUCCCUCCACCUCUGAGCGUACUGUCUAAAACCUUCAUUCAACUUUUUCUCCAUGUUCUGCAAUGUAAUCCUAUCAGGAACCAUUUCCGCCAUAUGACCGUACUGCUUUAUAAAAGCCUGUGCUAAAUCCCUCAAAGAGCUAAUCUUAGCACGACUUAAUUGAUUAUACCAUUUAAACGCUGCCCCCAUGAGGCUAUCUUGAAAACAGUGUAUCAAUAACUGUUCACUAUUGACAUACCCGGUCAUUCGUCCACAAAACAUGGUAAUGUGAGCCUCAGGGCAAGUGGUCCCAUUAUACUUCUCGAAUUCUGGUAUUUUAAACUUGUAAGGGAGCACCAAAACCGGUACCAAACUUAAAUCCUUAGCAUCAAUCCCAUGACAUAUCUCAGUAGUUUCUAAUGCUUUGAAUCUCUUUUCGAUCCACUUCUAUUUUUCCUCUAAUUGCUUUAGUAGUUCUUCUUUUGUUUUUUCUUUUUCAACCGCCUCAUCAAAAUCAAGAACAACAGGAGUGACAAGAUUAUUCUCAGGGCUAGAGCCUGAUCUAGCUUGGUAAUUCAUUGACCUUGAAAUAUCGGCCUGAAACUGUUGAGGCCUAAUCGUAACAGAAGAUUUACGCGGGUACAUUUUCACUUGGGGCUGCACAUGUAGGGGAAUGAAGCUUGGAGGAUACAGGGGUCCGUCAUCACCUUCUUCUUCGACGUUAACUAUAGGGCUCUUUCCUUUAUCUUUUCCUUCAGUCAACAAUUGCGUUAACUUGGUCAUCAUGCUCCCUUGAGAUUCCAUCAUUUUAUCCAUCAUUUUCUGCUGAAUCUUCUCGAUCUGCAUCUGCUGCUGAAGCUGAUCCUGCAUUUCUUUUUGGAACUGCUCGAGUUUUUCCAAUCUUUAGUCCUUAGUUUUUGAUUUCGCUCUUGUACCGUAACGGUGUUGGAUUGGCUAGUUGGUUUCCAGGUUAACUGAGGCAUGAUUUUGAUUAAUCAGAACCUUUUAAUAGUUUUUAAUGCACAUCAUGCGAUGUAUAAAACUGAAUGCAAAACGCGUUAAUUAUAAAUUCAAUUACUUUCAAGAAACUUUAUUAGAAAAUAAAUCUCUUUACAUAGAAUGGGCGACAAAUAAGGCUUUGCCCUAAUACUUAAGACCUUAAUCUUUUUAAGUAACGAGGCCAACUCUUGUCCUCAGUCUGACUCCAAUUCAUACUUCACGCUCAACGCAUCAGCCUGAACUGUCAAAGCUUGUAAGUAAUCUGCUACCUCUCGAAUCUGAACCACAGCUUCUCCCAUAACAUGAUUCCUGUCUCUAACUUGAUUUUGGAAAUACUGAAGUUGCUCAUUCUGACGACCUUCUUUUGCUUCUAGAUGCUCAAUUCGAACCUCACAAUUUCGCAAUGCUGCUUCUAACCCUUCUAUUUUGCUCUUCAUCUUUUCAAUCUUGCUUAGACUUGCCUUUACCUCCACUACAGAGUUUCGACUUCUAUGUUGACGAAGAGACCUUUCUAACUCAACCACCCUGUCCUUUAACUCGCCAUUUUCCUUUUGGCUCUCUGACAAGCACUUUUCUAAUGCUUCAUUCCGUGCUUGAACCUCUUGAAAUUUUCUUUCCCACCAGUCUGACUUGUUUUUUUCUUCACGAAUCUCUUCACUCCACUGCUCUGAAGUUUUUCCAAGCCCGGCAGUUCUCAUUGACAGACGCAACUUCUUGUAAUCUGUCUUCAAGCUAUCUAGCUCUUCCUCGGCCUUAUUCUUCCCCUUCCUUAAUUUAUCAGCCUCGAGCUUCUGAACAUCCACAUCCAAUCUCAAAUUCAUCCUUUCUUCCUCCAUUUACUCUAUUUUCUUCUCUAAUUCUACAUUUCUUCUUUCGAAAUCCUGCUUUCUGAUUUCCAGCUCAAUAGGGACGACACGCAAAUGCUCCUCCAUCGACUGAUUAUUUUCUGAAUUUGGCUCAAAAAUAUUAUCGUUAAUCCUCUUAGCCCACCACUCGUUAUACUCGGGAGUUGUCAUGGGACCCACAGCUAAUCCCUUCAUUCGGCGAGUCUGAUUCCAUGCACUGACCAUCUCACAAACUCUCCUUUUGUAACCAUCGCCCCUAUACGAAAAUUCACACUCAGCCAGUCCCUGAGUUGCAAGCACAAACUACCUAGACCUGUAUUGUCUGAGCAUUAGCAAUAGGGCAUAACCAAUAGCUCCCCAAAUUCCAAUCAAAGGAACCCAGUCAAAAUCCCCACACCGAUAUAGGAUCUCAUCUUAAAGCAACCACGAAGCUCUCCACUCGAUAUCCUCUUCUUACAAAUUCUGAAAAAUUACCAUCCAUUUCUCUUCGAAAAUGUCAUCCCUCAUUGGUGUAGCCACUAUCUCUUUCAAUAGUGAAUAACUUUCGAAAAAAAACUCGAUAUGAAACUUUAUCAACCUUCUAAAAGUGACUGUAGAACCAUGCAAGUAGGAGCUGCGCACAUCUAAUGAAUCUACCCUCUCCCGCUCUCUGGUAUGCACUCAGUGACUUGAAGGUUUCUGCUAAAAUUGUCGGGACUGGUGUAACUCUCUUUUCAAGCCGAUCAAAUAAGUCAGUGACCGCCUCAUCAACAUGUCCCAAAGUCUUAGGGAACACAACCAAACCAUAUAUACUUAGAGCAAAAACAUCUAUCUUCUUCAUCGCAUCUGGGUGCGCUAGAAUGAGAUCCUUCAAAUUUUUCCAGGGAAUACACUUGCUAUCUCCCUUUUGCUUGAUCCGAGCUGUAACCCACUACUCACUCAUCCCCGUUAUAUUCAUCAACCUCUUCAAAAAGGUCAGUGUAUUUACAGCUUUCGAGUAGACCUUGUCCACCAGAAUCUUCGAACACCGAAGCAAAGCCAUGUAUUCUUCAAUUGUAGGCACUAAAUCAACAUUCCCAAAUGUGAAGCAACUGUAGACCGGGUUCCAAAACUGGGCAAAAGCUUGAAACAGACGCUUAUCUACCUUCAUAUUAAGUAAAUAAGGUAAAUCCCCAUAAUUUGAAAAGAAUAACUGUCUAACCUCGUUAUUCCAUUGAUCCCAAAUCUCCUUCAACUCCUGCAAGUUGUUUUGGGUUACGCUAACAUGGGUGAAGUCCCAUAAUUCUAAUACGUAUCCUUCGACCAAACUAUUACCUUUUUCGCGCUGCGUCAUCUCAGCCCAAGUUCGGACAGCCGCAUUAUCCUCCACUCUAUCAAGAAACCCUUUUUCCAUAAUAAGCUUUCUAUCUAGCAACCGAAUACGAACCAACGCCUUUCUAUAAUGAGAUGCCAUGUAAUUGAAAUGCCAUGCAAUCAAAGUAAAACACAAAAAGUCAGUAUCAAUUAAAUACAAUACAACCAAUAAAUAGUAAACUCCUAAUUAGGUAUCUACUAAGGUUUAAGAGUAAUUCUAUCUAGGAUGAGUUCCUAAGUUUCACUAUAUGAGGUUUGGCUUCUAGAGCAAAGGUACCCGAACCAGCAGAUUCCUCGAUCCUCACCCAUUAUAGGCUCAUAUAGACCAAGUUCAGUUCAGGGAAAUACAUUUCUCUAUGGCUGCACGAAGAUGAAAAUCUCACGAAGACAUAGGUACGGAUGUAUCCCGAAAGUGAUCCACUAUCAUGCACGGAGGUGAAAACCUCACGAAGGAGUAGUUUCUCACUCCCACUUAGAGGGGUAAAGUCGUCCAUAUAAUGCAAAAUGCAAACACACCAACAAACUUAGACCAAUUAAACAAACAUAUCAUGAUAAAAACCAAUGAAUGCAAAAUAGGAAAUCGUGAUUUAAAACAAAUUUGAAACCUUUCCGACAAAAAGACAAAACUAAUCAAUUUAUGGCUCGACUCGCGAAAGUCCCCAGUGGAGUCGCCAAGUUGUCGAAACCAUUUUUGAAAACAAAAAUAAAGUUGUCGACUUUAAAAACAAAGAUUGGAGUCGCCACCGAUCCUUGAUUGAGGUGUGAUCAGCUCACAUUGAAAACGGUUUUGGUCUACGAAAUUUGAGAAAACAGGUUCGGGAGUCAGUUACGCACGAGGAAAGGUUAGCACCAUCGUAACGCCCAAAAUCGGUACCAAAUUGAUUGUUUAAUGUCUUAGUGUCAAGGAUUAAAAAGAUUUUUUUUAAACUCAAAUGAUGAAUUCUGAAAAGGAUAAUCAAAUGUUUAAGUCAAACAAAGAAAUCGAGACCCAAUGCGUUAGGAUACAAUUUCUCAAAAUCCCCAAACUUUGAAUACCACUUUUAUUUUAGGGAAAAUCAUCAUCUCGAGAAAACAAUACGUCAUACCCAAUGCGUUAGGACAUAACAUGUUGAAUUUCCGAAAAUGAUUUUUGUUUAUGCAUUUUGAAAAAAUAUUCUCGAUUAUUUAGGAUUAAUAAAAAAAAUCGGAACCCAAUACGUUAGGGCUCAAUUUCCUCGAAAAUCUCGAAUAUCAAAUAUUGCAAUAUUUUAAAAGCCUUUAAAUCAAAAGAAAAUAAUUUUAAUGUUUUGACAAAACCAAAAUAUAUUUUCUAAAAGGUAUGUUUUAAAAAAGUUAUUGUACAAUAUGAAAUAAACACUUGAAUUUAAAUUACAUGUGUAUAUGUUUACAAAAUAUGUAUAUAUAUGUAUGAUAUAUAAGUGAAUUUUGCAAAUAUGUGUAUGGAUAUGAAAUAAAAAAAAUGCAUAAGUAUUAUAAAAUGUUGAUGCAUAUAUACAUAUAUGAAUACCAAAAAGUCAUGAAAAUAAAAUAAUAAAAUACAUAUAAAAUAUAUUUGUGCAUUUAAAAAAAAUGUAUAAGUAUAACAUAUUGGUAAAUAUAAAAAAAUAGAAAAUAUAUUUAUAAUAAGUUUUGAAUAGAGUAUAAAUAUAUAUGUACAUAUUAUAAAAAAUGUAUAAACAUUUAUAAAUUACAAAAUAUGGAAAACGUAUAAAUAUUAUGAAAUAUAAAUGUAUAUAUAUACAUAUAUAUAUGUAUAAAAACUAUGAAAAUAAAAUAAUAAUAAAAUAUGUACAUAAUAUAUAUAUUUUAAAAAAUGUCUAAAAUAUAUAAAUAUAUGUAUUAACGUGCAUAUGCGCACAUAUAUGUAAGAUAAUAAUCAUAUAAUAGAACAAUAAUAAUAACAAUAGAAAUAAUAAUAACAAUAUUAAUAACAUAAACUAAAAAACCUAAAAUGAAAAAAUUAAGGAUUAAAUUGAAAAUCAACAGAAUUUGAAAGCUAAAUUCAAAAAUAGAAAACGAGAAAGGGAGCAAACUAAAACACUCGCAACAGGAGGAGGACCGAAAAAUCAAUUUACCCAAACCUCCCAAAACGCUGCGCAGCGUUGGACCAAUUUGAAACAGAAAUAAAAUAUUUUGCAAAAUUUAAAGAAAUAAAAAAAAACAAUUUAAAAGCAUUGUAAAAAAAGGGGGACCAAAUACGCAAAUGGCCCAUUUUGAAGAAAUUUGCGGAUCCUCUCCCGGCCGGAUCGGGUUGUGCACAGGUAUAGGCUAUACGACGCCGUUUUGGGGCCAUUGAAACAGGCCCUAAACGACGGCGUUUAAUGCCCUAUAAAAGUCAAUUUUAAAACCCUAAAAAUCACUUCCUCUUUGCCAUUCCCAAAAUGCGCCUCUGCCCUCUGCCGUUUCAAACUUCUCCCCCUUGCUCUGAUGGCGACGAAACGAAGGGAGCCUUCAACGACACCACGCCGGUAAGUUUCUCCUCUACUCCAUUUCCUUAUUUUGUUUUUGGUUUAAGACAACAAGGUAAAAAAAUAAAAAAAAAAAAUCAGUAAAAAGAAAAACAACAGGAAAAGAACAAUCACCUUCAAAAUUUUGCCUUUUUGAUUCCUUAUUUCGUAUUUUUCUUUAAUGUUUUCAUACAAUAUUUUUGCUAACCCCUUUUACAGAAAUCGAUUGGCCUUUUAUAGCCAAAAUCCUUUUACAACUUGCUAUAUUUUUCCUCUUUCCUUGCUUGUUGCUCGUGGUUCUUUUCGCUGCAGAUAUGUACGUGUGUGGGGGUUACUGCGACGUGGGGCGUGCACGGCGCUGGAGGUUGCUGCGACGUGGGGUGGCUGCUUCUAACUGCUGCUUAGGGUUAGGCUAGGGUUAGAUUUGGGUUUGGGGUAGUGACUUGGGCCUUAUUGGGCCAAAUGUAAUUGGGUCAGAUUAGUUAAUUUGGGCCCCGGGCAACAAUUGGGUAUUACACAUGUAUUUGUGGCUUAUGAUAUGAGAGAGACAUUCUAGGAUCGUGUAGAUAUUACAUAUGUUCCCCUUGGGUGAAAGUACUAGAGGUGCUCAUGGGCCGGGUGGCCCGGCCCAGCCUGACGGCCCGCCCAAAAUAUGGGAGGGUUUGGGUAAAAAUAUAGGCCCGAAAUAUGGGCUUGGGCAAAAAAACGAGGCUCGUUUAGAAAAUGGGCCGGGCCUCGGGCACCACUUUUUUGGCCCGGGCCCGGCCUUUAAUUUUAAAAUAUUUUUUACAUAUUUUUUAAAUUUUUUAAUUUUAAAAUAUUUUUAAAAAACUUUUUUAAUUUUUUUAAUUUUAAAAUAUUUUUAAAAUACUUUUUUAAUUUUUUUUUAAUUUUAAAAUAUUUUUAAAAUACUUUUUUAAUUUUUUAAAAAUUUUAAAAUAAAAAUAGGCCAGGCCGGGUCGGGCCCGAGCUUAUGAUUUUUUUCCCGGGCCAGGCCUGGGCAAAAUCUUAGGCCCAUAUUUCGGGCCGGGCCGGGCCCGGGCCUAGGACUCGGGUCGAAAUUUGUUUAGGAACCCGGCCCGGCCCGGCGCAUGAGCACCUCUAGAAAGUACUAGAAGCUCUUAUAUUAGGAGUUAGAUUUCAUUUUGCGCUUUUUACUAAAAAAUGAGCAAAUUAGUCCUUGUAUAUUGAAUCAAAGAGCAAACUAGUCAUUCUGUUAAAAAUUCCAUCCAUUUCUACUGUUAAAAAUUCAUCCAUGUACGUCAACAUGAGGUAUACGUGACACAUUACAUGUAACUGUCUGAUUAAUUUGUCAGCUACAUUAGUUUUUAACAGGAAAAAUGGAUGAAAUUUUAAUAGAAAUGACCAGUUUGCUCUUUAAUUAAACAUACAGAGACUAAUUUGCCCAUUUUUUGAGUAAAGUGGGUAAAAUGUAAUCUAACUCCUAAUACAGGAAUCUCCAUGAUGCUUUUAUUGUUCCCUUGCUAUGAUCUUAGUACAGGGGACGGUCUAUAAGAAGAUAGUACUAGAACACAUGAAAAAACUUGUAAGAGCAUACUAUAUCUCUUUUUGGCUGGGUCUGUUAAUGGAAGCAACUGUGCUGAGCUUGCAAAGUAGGAAGAUAUCGACGGGUUUCUCGUAGGUGGUGCUUCCUUGAAGGUAUUAUUCACUCUGUUCCAUUAUUAAUAAAAUGUACCGAAAUAUUAUUCGGUUAUGGCAUUGCUAACGAUUGGAUUCAAAAUAUUUGUUGAUGCAGGGGCCGGGGUUUGCUACAAUUGUCAACUCCGUAACAUCCAAAAAGGUGGCUGCCUAAAUAUAUAUUAAGCUGAUUAAAAGUAAGAAAUAAAGGACCUAAAUUAGAGGUGUCCAUGGACGGCCCGCCUGAAAUAUGAGAGGGUUCGGGUAAAAAUAUAGGUCCGAAAUAUGGACUUGGGCAAAAAAUGAAGCCAGUUUAGAAAACAGGCCGGGCCCCGAAAAUAUAUUAAAUAUAUAUUUUUAUUUUUAAAAUAUAAUAGUUUUAGUUUUAUUUUAAGUUUCAUUUACUUUGACAGAGUCACCCAAAAUCCCUAACCCUAUUGUGCUAUAUGCUGUGCCUUCCUCCCCUUUUUUUCCUAUUUCCAAAAUCAAGUUGUCUGCCCGUCUCCAGUACCGAUCCACCUCCACCGUCAAGACCUCCACCGAUCCACCUUCAGUCCUCCACCCAAUUCCAGAAUCAAGCAUUUAAGGGUUUGUUUAUUCCCGAAUCGCCAAGUAGAAGCAAGCAUACAAGAACGAGGAGUUUGGUACAGGUAUGGGUUUGCUCAUCUUCUUCGGUUUCCUCAUUUUCAUUCUCUUUAACAUACUUCAUUUCUUCUGAUUAUUCUUCUUCAGGUUACUCUUUUCUUUCUUUUAUCAAUUACCCUUCUUUUUCGCCAAUUCAAUUCAACAAAAAAUUGUAUUGUACUUCUUUUCGUGAUCUUUUUGCCUGCACAUUCAAUUAACCGCAACUCUUUUACUCUUUCAAAAUCUGAGACAUUGAUUUUUUUUCUAGAGAUUGUGUUCUUAGGUAUUUUGAAUCAAUGGUUACGAUUAUGUUAUCUUCCUUGUUAAUGACACUUUGGGAAGGAAAUUAUUUCUAACAUUGUUUUUGUUUGCUGCGUACACUUUAUAUUUAAACAAAUAUACGCAAUAGGGGAAUGUGGUGAUUAUAAUUUUACUCCUGGGGAUAAGUUAGAUUCAAUUGAUUCAAAUAUGGUUAAUCGAAUUAUAUUAAUGUUGUUGUUGAUGAAUCCUUGUGAUUGCAUGAUCAAAUACACGUUUAUUUUACUCAUACAAAACUCUUAGAAUUUGGUUCUUAUAGAAGACUGGAGUUGUUAAUGGUCUUGGAGCUCCCAUUUUGUUUUAAGUUAAAUUGUAUUUUGGACUGGUAUGAUUUUGUCAGUUUGAAAAACCCUUGGUAGUUCAAUCUUUGAACACACACACACACACACACACACACACACACACACAUAUAUAUAUAUAUAAGCCUCCUUUCAAUAAUUUAUUUGCUUUUAUAAGAACCAAAUGACUAAUCUUCUCUGAGACUACAUGUAUAGGCUUGAGGAGGGUCUUAUUUUGUUUUAUGUUUAUAAUAUUGGGAGAGGGUUAGGGGAAGACAGGGUUUGAAAUGAUGUCAUUUAAGUGCUUUGUUUUCUGCUUGUUUGUAUAUUUUAUAUGGUUGACUAAUUCACAUUCAAAGUUUAAAUUUCCUUCGUCAAGUCCCUUGGGGCAUCCUUUUGCUGAAUGUUAACCAAUGUUGACUAUUCUAGAACUAUACCACAUCGACAUAUAAGAAUGUUAAAUUAGAUAAAGCAGGUUUUGAGAAAUUAAUUAUAGAUUGAAUUCACGUUAGAGGUUAGCUUUUUGGCCUCUUGAAUUGCGAAUUGGGUUUAGUUUAUUCCUUUAAAUAGGGUAACAUAUGCAGAUAACAUGUGCCAAUACUCUGCACGUAUUUUGUGUACAAUAUUCUGGUUGAAAUUAAAAAUGGUUACAUUCACAGAUCAUGCCCCAGCUUUUGGGUUUAAUUCCAUUAUGAAUAUUUUUCCAUUAUGAGGGUCUUAUUUUCUGUCUGUUUGUUUCUAGUUAAUCUAAGUUUAUAAAAGUGUAUAAUAAAAGUGUUGUUGAAAUAUAUAUAUUCCCUUCCAUUUUCUGUCUGUUGGUUUCUGGUUAAUCCGGGUAACUUCAUUGCCUUCUUCUUCUUCUUCUUCUUUUAUGAAAUGAAAUUUGUCAAUUAGCUUUCUGUUAAUCUAUGAUUCAAUCAAAUAAUUAAGUGGUAAAUGUUUGUUUAUAUGUUUAUAUCUGGAAAUAAAGUUCUCAGAAUUUUGAAAUUGCAUGGGAUUCGAGUUUAAUGAAUUUAUUAUAAUGUUUACUAAGAUCACAAGCUUAGUUUCUUCAUUUAAUCUCAUCUUCUUCUUUUUUUUUUGCUUUGUUUUAUUGCAGAAACAAUCGACAUUGAAAUCGAUUUGGCUUACCUUAGUUUCCUUUCCUAUAAGCUUUCAUUUACAUUUUCUUUUUACAAUUUAAUUUAAUUUGAUUUUCCUUUAUUUUACUUUGUACAACAUUUUGCAGAUUAGCAGAUUUUCCCGUAAGCUAAACUUGCUUAUCUACUAGUAGGAAAAUAAUGGGAUUGAGAAAUAGAGAUGCUUCUAUUUAAGAUUUUGGAUUGGAUUUAUGCAGUUUGAAUUUCAUUAAUUUCUUUUUUGGUACAUAUGUAAUUUAGCUUAUAGAAUAAGUAUGAAUAUCUCAAUUGUUUUCUAGUUUAGGUUUAUAUUAUAUAUUUAAUAAUUUGCCUAUUGUUUAUAUAUAAAUUUGAAAUCUAAUAAAUGUUUUUGUUCCAUUCAAUUCUUAUUCAUUUUUUGUUUGCAUUUUAAUAUUGUUUGCAUUUUCCUCUACAUAACGGUAACGGACUUUCAAAGUUAAACUAUUUUAUCUAGUUUUCAUUUGUAGACCAUGAUAUCUUUUUAAAAUUAUUUCAAAAUUUUUUUAUACAAGGUAAUUUUAAAGAUAAUUGAUUGUAGCUUAAAAUUAUUUCCAAAGUUAGUAUGAAUUUUAUUAAAAAAAUAUUUAAUAACAAAUUAUAUAUUUGUAAUUUUUAAAAGAUUAAAUUAAUUUUUUAUAAAAGUAAGCAUUUAAAGAGUUCAAAGUAUGCAUCUAAGCUACAAUUUUUAACCUAUUUGUAUAUUUAAUAAAAUAUAAACCUAUUUGUAUCAAAGUAUGCAUAUAAGCUACAAUUUAAACAGCAAGUAUGCAUUUUGUUUUAACCUAUUUGUAUAUUUAAUAAAAUAUUUGUAUAUAUAUUCAGUAACCGAGUUAUAAAUAAGUUAUUUUUGGAUUCCAGGACUUCAAUUUUUAUGACUAUGGCUAGUUCGAACACUCCUAUACCUGUGGACGAUGGGUUUAAUGAGUACGAAAGUGCUGUCAAAUGUCAAAAGUCUACCACUUCAAAGGUGUGGGAUGAAAUGACAAAGUUUGAAUGCGAGAACAAAAAUGAAUUGAAGGCACAAUAUAAUCACUGUAAGACUAUCUUCUUUGCUAAGUCUUCUAGUGGAACCUUUCAUUUAAGACGUCAUCUAAAUAGCUGUUUGAAAAAAGUUAGGACAUCACUCCAUACACCAUAGCCACUCAACCAUCACUAGAAGGUGUUCCAUCUAUAAAAAACUACAAGUUUGAUGCUGAUGAGUGUCGUCAAACUAUUUCUACUUUUCUUGUGUGUGGCAAGCAUUCAUUUAGGACAGUUGAAGAACCGGGAUUUAGAUACAUGAUGAGAAUUGCUAGUCCUAAUUUUAAGAAUAUAAGUAGACAAACAGCUACUAGGGAUGUCCUAAAGUAUUAUGCAAAAGAUAGAGAUCAUGUGGCUAAAGCACCUGGUUUAAUUUGUUUAACUUCUGAUAAUUGGAAUUCGGAGCAUACUAAUGAUGAAUAAAUUUGCAUUACUGCUCAUUGGGUUGACAAAGAUUGGAAGCUACAAAAAAGAAUCAUAAGGUUUAGAGCUUUAUUUCCUCCGUAUGAUGGUUUGAAUAUAGCGGAUGAACUUGUUUUAUGUUUAUCUCAAUGGGGUAUAGAUAAGAAAAUUUUAGCAUCAGUUUGGAUAAUGCUUCUUAUAAUGAUGUUAUGGUUUCUUGUCUUAAAAAUCGUUUUCGUGCAAACCGAGCUAUUUUGUGUGAUGGUGCUUUUUUUCAAGUUAGAUGUUGUGCACAUAUAUUGAAUCUUAUAGUUAAAGCUGGUUUAGAACUUGCCGAUGAUGUUGUUUGUAAGAUUCGAAAUGGGAUUAGGUACAUAAAAAAGGCAAGAAUUCGUAGGAAAAGAUUUUAUGAUGUGGCCGACAAAAGUUUUCAUUUGAAUGUGACCAAAAAGUUGCGUCAAGAUGUGUGUGUGAGAUGGAAUUCUACUUAUUUGAUGCUUGAAUCUUCUCUUUACUAUAAAGAUGUGCUAGAUUAUUGGGGCCAACGGGAUAAAGAUUAUCAAAUGUUUGCACUUUCUAGCGAGGAGUGGAGCAAUGUUGCAAUUCUUUGCAAAUUUUUGAAAGUAUUUUAUGAUGUGACAUGUGUUUUUUCUGGUUCUAAUUAUCCAACGGCUAAUCUUUAUUUUAGAGGGGUUUGGAAGGUUCACAAGCUCUUGGUUGAUACAGUUAAAGGCCCUUAUUCGUUUUUAACUCCAAUGGUUAAGCAAAUGCAAGAGAAAUUUAAUAAGUAUUGGGCUGAGUAUUCGUUGAUGUUGUUAUGUGCUGCAAUUUUAGAUCCUCGUUACAAGUUGAAUUAUGUGCAGUAUUGCUUUAAAGCAAUCUAUGGUAUUCAUGCUUCAGAUUUUGUUGAGACCAUUCUUAGCAAUCUUAGACUCUUGUUUGAUGAGUAUGUUAAGAAAUCCAAAUCCAUGUCUUCCUCUUUGGCUGGGAGUUCUAAUGUUUCGAAUAAAAAUCAUGUUGAUUCUGGUUUGGAUGAACACAAUGAUAAUAGUUGUGACAGCCUGAUUUUGACCCUAAUCGGAACAGUGGUUUCGGGACCACAAAUCCGAGUCUGAAAAAUAUUUUAAUAUUAUUUUUUUGUUAAUUAUGUGUGAAUUUACAUAUGUGAAAGUUUUGUGAAUUUAUUUUAUUGUUUGUCUGCUAAAUUUGAAAAAAUGGCUUAAUCGCGUAAAAUAAAAAUUUAAUAGUUAAAUAUGAAAGUGCCUAAUUGUUGUUGUCUUUAUAAUUUGGAGGUUCUAUGAUGCAAUUAGCCCACUAUAUAAGUUAGUGGAUGAAAAUGGUCAAGAAUGACCUUAUAUUAUAUGUUAUAUAUUAACUUAUAAAGGUUAAAUUAGUAAAUAAAAUAUUAUAAUGUAUUUAUAAUAAAACAAAACAUAAAUUAAAAGCAUUAUCAUGUUCAUCUUGCCGAAAGUUGCUAAAGAAAAAGAAAAGAAAAGAGCUUUGAAGCAUUCGGCCAUUACUAAGCUCAAUCAAGGUAUAUUUCGGUUUCGAUUUUUGAUGAUUUUUAUGUUUUUGAGAUCGUUGCUUCGAGUACUACAAAGCCCAUGCUUGAAUUUUUGAAUUAGUUGUGUAUUUUGUGAUAUGCCAUUGAAGAGAGCUUGUUGUUUUUGUUGUUAGAUGAUGGAAAAUAAAUAUAUGUUGUUAGAUUUUCAUGUUUUAAUUAGUAAUUUUUGAUAAAAAAUGUGUAUUAAGGACUAAAUUAAGAAAAGUGUAAAUUGAGGGGUCAAAAUGUGAAAUAAAUGAAAUGUGUAGACUUAGAUGGACUAUAGGAAUAUUCGGCCCUGGCAUGAUAAAUGCAAAUUUUGUGUAUUUUGUGUUUUAUGCAAUAGGGACUAAAUUGUAAAAAGUGUAAAAUGUCAGGGGCAAAAUGGUAAUUUUCCCAUUUAUGUGUUUUUGGAUUAAAUUAAAUGGAAUUAUGUUUAAAUAAGUUUAAUUUCAAUAUGUUUAGAUCAUGAACCAAAGAAAAUGGAUUUGGAUCGAGGAAAAACAAAAAUAAUCGAAUAGUCGUCUAUUCCGUCCGUCGAUAUCCGAUGUAAGUUUAUAAGCAAAUAGAUGUUAUAAUUUUUAAUUAAAUGUGAAUUAUAUGUGCUGAAAUGAAUAUGUUAAUAAAUAUAUGUAUUAGCCGAAUGUGUAUAAGCUUGGCAGUUAUGUUUAUGAAUUUGUUUCGACUGAGUUACGACGUCCGAAAGCCCCGUAUGAGCCUUAGGAAUAGUUAGGAUACAUAUGUCAUGACAUAGGAUUUCGAUAUGUAUUUUCGUGUAAGAUCACGUCUGGGACGUUGGCAUCGAAUUGUUUAUACGUAUAAGACCAUGUCUGGGAUAUUGGCAUCGUAUUUGAUUUGUGUAAGACCCUGUCUAGGACAGUGGCAUCGAUAUGUGAUUAUAUGUAAGACCACGUCUGGGACGUUGGCAUUGUACGAGCCUUCCGACUAUCCGAGUAUCCUUUUUAAUUCCGAAUGGUUCAACGGGUAAAGAUAAGUUGUGUACGAAUGUUUAAAUCAGGCUAAGUGACCAGGUAUGUGAUAAUUGAUUAUCUAUUUGAAAAUAAGGUAAGUUGUAUACUUGAAUUGAUGAUAUGAAGUUAUGUGAAAUAUGAAUUAUGUGGUUGUAUAUUUGAAUAUAUAUGUAUUCGGCCUUUGAUGUAUAUGUGUAUUGAGGAAAAUGAUGAUUAGUUAUAUUAUCAAUUAAUUAUUUGGUAAAGAGGGAAGUUAUUACAAAUUAUAUAAGUUUUGAUAUAUAAUUUGAUAAAUUGAAUUAUAUGUGAAAUUAUAAUGGUUUAUUACUAAUUGUCUAGCUUAAUUUACGUAAAUGAUUAAAUGUUUAUUUGCUUAUGACUUACUAAGCUUUGAUAGCUUACUGUGUGUAAUCGCUUUCUGUUUUAUAGAUUUGGAAGUUGGUUAUGAGCUCGGCGAUCGUCAGAGAAGUCUAUCACACUAUCGAGUACUGUUUUCGGUAUUUUACUAAGUUUGAAAUUGAACUUAUGGCAUGUAUAGUCUAGUUAAUAUGUUUGAUUUCGGGUAUGUUAAUAUGAGCCAUGCGAAAAUGGCUUAUUUAUUUUGUGCUUUUGAACAAGUGUUAGAUAUGUUGAUUUUGGUAUCUCGGCUAUGGCAUAUUUAUUUAUGUGAAUUAUGUUUGAUAUGUUUUGUUAAGAAUGUGGUAAAUAAUUCGGCAUAGGUGAGCUUAGAUGAAGCAUAUAAGUGAAGUGAGUUUGGUAUAUAUAUGUUAUGGUGUUUUAGUCACGUGCUUCGGCAAUGAGGUAAAUGAUAUUCAAGCUUAAUUAAUCUUGGUUAUGUGUUAUAUAUAUAUAUGAUAUGUGUGAUAUGUUUAGUUUUGGUAUUGGUGUUUCGACUAUGGUUUAUUUAUAAGUAAAUAUAUGUGAAUCUUGUUUGAUAUGCUUUGUUAAGGUAUUGUUAUGUAAUUUAGUAACUAAGAGAACUCGGUUAUGGCAUAUAGGUGAAAUGCUAAGUAAAUCAUAGAUGAAAUGAUAGUUAAAUUUGGUUUGUAAUAGUAUAUUUACAUUAAUAAAUUGAUUUGAAAGAAACUAGUAAUGUGCAUGUGUAUGUACGGUUAUAAGGUAUGGAAGAACAUGUGUAUAUUUGGUCAUGAUCUAGACCUAUUUUGGAAGUGUGUUUUAUGCUAUAAAUUGGUGUAUGGAUAUAGGUUUGGAAAAUGUGAAGUGAUAUGUAUGAUUUUAUUAUUUGAAUCGAUAUGGUUUGAUUAGGAAAUGGCAUAUUUUGACUUAUGAUUUAAUGGCUAAAUCUUGUACAAUUUAUUAGGUUAUUUAUGGAUGCCAAUUUGUUAUGAAAUAAAUUAGGAACGUGGAGUAUUUAAUAAAGUUACGAUUUGCUCAUGCAAGUGGACUUAAUAUUCGAUUUUGUAUUUGUAAAAUGAUAUGAAUUGUAUGGAUUUUUGGAUAUGGCUAAAAUGGUGUAUUCAUAUGCGCAAACUUGUAAUAGAUAAAUAUGCAUGUUUUUGGUCUUUUAAAUGAUAUAUAUAAAUGAUUUUUAAAGUAGGCUUAAAAUUUAUGAAUAAGAUACAUACAAAUUCGGGUAAUGAUAGUUAAGUGAGUAAUACAAGUUUGAAUUUAACUUUUAUAAAUUUAUUGAAUUAGUCGAUUAAAGGAUAAGUUGAUUUGUAUUGAGUGUGUAUAGUUUAUGAUUGAAUGAUUUCAUUGAAAUGGGCAUAUGUGUAUAAUAUAACGACAUUAAAGGUAUGUAAGGCUAAAAUAUAAUGUUACUAAUGUUGCAUUUGUGAUUAGACAUUAAGUUGUAUACAUAUUGGUUUCAUUAUGUACAUAUGCAGAAGUUAUGAAAUGCAAAGUGUGAUAUUUAGAUAAUGAAAUUAUGUACGUACAUAUUCCCUGUAUAUGAAAAGUGAGGAUAUAUGCUUGAAUAUGAUUUAAUUAUGAAAAUGUCGUUAAUACGAUGGAUUUAGGGAAAUCGAAUAUUGAAAAUAUUAUAUACUUGAACAUGACUCUGAUAUAUACAAGUUUGGUUCGAAUUUGUUAAUUAUAGAAUAUGUUCGAUUGAGCUUUGAUGUAUGUUUAAAUUGAAUUAAUUUGAAUUUUAUAAUGUGUUUAUUUCUAAUACAUGCUUAGUAAGGUAUGAUUGAUUUGAAUUGUAAUUAUCAUAUAUAUUUGAAUUUAAAAUACUUGAAUUAAGGACAUUCAAGUUUGAUAAUGUUAUAAAUGUAUCGUUAUUCUUUGGUGUAUGAAAGGUGAUAAAUGACUGUGCUAAAUUGUGUCUUGUAUGGUAAUGCCUCGAAACCCUAAUCUGGCAACGGAUACGGGUUAGGGGUGUUACAAUAGUGCUGAUUUUAGGGGAUAUUUUGAUGAGAGAUGAUUAUAAACGGUAUUUAAAUGAAUCUAGCACUAGGAGUGAAAAGUCACAGUUGGACAUUUAUUUGGAAGAACCGGAGCUUGAGUUGAAUAGUCAAAUAGAUGUUUUAGAUUAUUGGAGCAAAAGUUCAGUUCGAUACAAUGAGCUUUCAUUAUUGGCUCGUGAUAUUUUGGCAAUUCCAAUAUCGACUGUAGCUUCCGAAUCGGCUUUUAGCAUGGGUAAGAAAGUUAUCACACCUGUCAGGAGUUCACUUAAGCCAAAAACGGUUCAAGCCGUUGUUUGCUUGGAUGAUUGGAUGAGAGAUAAGGGAUUUUCAGCAGGUAAUUAUUAUUCUCGUUUUAUUGUUGUAAUUUUAUAUUAUUUUUUCAUCAAUUUGAUUAUCUAAUUAUUUAUUCUUAUUUCAUGUUAGAAAUUGGUUGCAAAAAGGACGAUGACGACGAGGUUUCUUCAGUUGCUUUUUAAGAUACUUUUUUUUUUCUAAAUGUUUAAAUUUUAAUUUAGCUAACAAUUUAUAUUUCGUUAUAAAAUUAAAUAUGUUGAUGGAUUAAUGUAUGAAUACUAUGGUUUGUUGUUUAUUGCUAUAAAAUUAAGUAUGUUUAAAUAUUUUGUUAUAAAAUUUAGGUGACAGGAUAGAAUUGGAAGUGAUAACAUUGGACUUAUAGCAAUGAACUGCCUAUGGGAGAUUUGAGAGUAUUGUUAUUAAUAUUACAAAGGUUUGUUCAAGACUCUCCUACCAAAUUUUGAUUUCUAUAGUUCUUUAUUUGUCCAACUAAUUUAUGUAUAAGAAAUAGAACAGAUUUGCUUAUUGGCCAGGAAAUAUCAAAUUAGAAAUAGAAAUGGAAUAAAUAAAUCCAUGUAUUGUAUGGCUUUAAUAAUACAUAACUCCAGUAAAAAGAAAGAGACCCACUCAGCUUACUAACAUUGUGGGCUCUUGUAAAGGGACUUGGAAGACAUUUUUGACUUGUCGGUCUCUAAAACCACACAUUAUUGGUAAUUGGUAAAUCCUGCACAUGUAAUAUUGGUUGGUUUUAAGAUAAAAAAAUGUAAACUUAUUUGUUUACAAAAAUACUUUUUAACAGCACUGACAAAUACGAACUGUAAAUAAAAAGGAAUAAAAAGAAAUCUGUUACAAAAUAAUAAUAAAACAACAUCAGGUUUGUUUUACUAAUCAAAUGUUAGAUUUUGUUACAACAAUUAAUACAAUUAAUAAUUUGAUAAUUUUACUAAUCAAAUGUUAGAUUUUGUUACAACAAUUAAUACAAUUAACAAUUAAUAAUUUGAUAAUUUUACUAACAAUUAGUUUUAAUUUUAUUAAAAAUAUAAUUUUAAUUUUAAUUAAAAACGGGCUAGGUCGGGCCGAGCUUGGGCUCCAUUUUUUUUCUCAGGCUGGGCCGGGCUCGGGCUUGGGAAGCGGGCUAAAAUUUUUUCUUGGGCCUGGCCCAAACCCAGCCCGGCCCGACCCAUGGACACCUUUAGGUAUUGUCGGUUGAACUGCUGGGCCGGGUGACUGUGUCGGUGUUGUUGUUGUUGUUGGGCCUGAUGAAGUUAUGGGCGCUGAUGAUGGGCCAGGUAAAUUUUUGAGCCUCGUUGAUGGGCCUACGUCGUCAUCCCUUCUUCUUGGAUUUAAAGAGCCACGUUGUUCCCUUUGGACACACAAUUGUCGCUGCCUCUCCUUUGGCGAGAGUAAAUACGGCUUGCCAUGGUUCCUAAACCAUGGCAUGUAUUCCGGCACGCACGCUAACUCUGGAACGAUGAUCAGUUCCCAAGUAGAUAUAUAGUCAUACCGAUCUUCUCACAUCUGGAUGUAGUGUGACCAGAAUCUCGGCCAAUUCGUAUGUAAUUGUCGUAGGUUAAUUUUGUGAUGAUAAUCCAACACCUCAGCUGACAUGGGAAUCGGUUAUCGGAAUCCAAAUUGCCGUAAUACUCUGUCUGAUUGGUGCAUCUCCACUGUCGCAAAGUUGACCAAUGGGACUUUCACAUGCCAACUAUUUGGAUUUUGCAAGUACUCAUCCGGAAUUACUGCCCGAAUUGCCGGAUCCUCGUAUGGUGUCCAUUCAAACUAUAUGACCAUGAUGGAAAUAUUAGUUAUGUACUAAAUACUAAAUACCAAUCGACUAUCUCAUUAUGGAAAUGUAUAUUUUAUUUAAUACUUACUUGUGCUUCUGACUGUUGGUCCAAUAGAAGCCGUAUAUCUUCAAGAGAGGUAGGUAAUCGAGCAUAACUUGCCGGAUGGUUCCACCUAAUUAAAUAAAUUUUUAGCAUUCGAUUAUAUUUUAAAUCUACGUAAUAAUUGUAAAAUCUAAUAUAAAAUUUACCCCGUUAUAAGUGGGAAUGUAUACGGGUGGUCCACUUGAGGACGUAAAAAUGGAAAACGAAACUGUGCUCAUGACUGCAGUAGUGACAAGUAACCUCCGAUUUUCGCUUUAUUCGGUCGCGUCGCCCCGCACAUCUCUCGGUACAAUUUUGCCAACACGGCAGACCCCCAGCUAAAUUCACCAACUGCUCGAAAAUCAACGAGUUUCAGCAGCCAUCUUAGAUGCACGAAGUUCCGUGACAAGUCCGGCAUCAGAUAUCCUCCAAUUAUCUGAAGAAUGUAUGUAUGAGCAUAUCUGAUUCUUUCUAUUUCAGUAGAAUCAUCAUCCGGAUCCGGGAAUGUGUCUCGUAACCAGCCCAUCUCGAUUCGACCUCUGCUAAUAUUCUCCGAAAUAGCGCCCAACAGCUCGUAGCAUACCGCUCCCCAAUCACCAGAUUGAAUAGACUCGGUGACUGCAUACCCGUUUAUUGGCAACCCCAAUUGCAAAUUGAUAUCUUCCAAAGUGAUAGUGCACUGUCUACAUAGAAGAUGGAAUAUGAGCGUCUCGGGUCUCCACCUCUCAAUCAAUGCACUGAUGAGUUUCGGGUCUAACUUGCAUCCCCGACCUACCGUCGCCACAUGCCAAAAACUCGCCUCCCGCAGGUAAUUCUCUACCAACGGUGAUGGAGGACCAUGCAUAUUGCGGAUAUAACAUUGCAAUAUCCAAUCUACAUACUUUUAUAAAAAUAAUAAAAUAAUAAUUAUUUAAAAUUACAUAAAUAAAAAAUCCUAAAUAAUAUUUAAAAAUUAAAUUUAACACUUACCAUUUUCAUUUGUUCCACGGAUAUAUGCUUGUCAUCAAGACGAAUCAAUUCCCCGGCCAUUGCUAAAUUGGUAAAAAAUUUUACGAUUUAAAAAAAGAAUUCAAAAAAAAUAAAUUUUAAAACUAUUUUAAAAAUAAUUAAAAAUUUGAAGCUAUUUUAAAUAGGAAUUUAAGAGGAAUUUGAGAGAAUACUAGAGAGAAAUUGAGAGAAAGGAUUUAGUUGUGAAAUUGGGGGGAUUUUUAUAGUUUUUUUUUUACUGUUGGGGUGUCACCAACGGUCAAACAAGUAGCUGUUGCUAUUGUUCACACGCAGGCAAAACGCGUCCCCAGGGGAGCGCUUACGUGGCAGCAAAACGCGCUAUUGAGGAAGCGAUUUAUGUCCACGUAAGCAAAGCGCGCCCUCAAGGACGCGUUUUUCUGUCACGUCUCCUGACAUCGCGCUGAUGUGGACGCGCUUUCGGGGAAAAUGGGCUAUUCCGAUAAAUAAUAAAAUACCGAGCCCAUUUCUUUAAAUUUAAAAAAAAGAAACUUUUUCUUGUAUUUUGCCCUAUUCUUUCAUUAGUUUUUUUAGUAAUAACUAUUGGUUACUUACAGUACCCCAACAAAAGCUAAGUAUGAUACAAAUAGAUGGAUUUCUUCUCCAGCGAGGUAAUAUCUCAUCUUGAAAUCAACUCUAAAACAUAAAUUAACAUUAAAAAGUUUUAACACUUAUAUCCACACUAAACAUUUGAACAUAAUACAAAAUAUGCUGCGUAUUUAUUCCCAAUAUUUUAGUUAAAUCAGAUGUGUAUAAGGUAAACACGGUAAAAUACUCAAUUAUCUAUUGUUAUUGUUAUUAUUAUUAUACCAAUUAUUAGACCUAAGGGAAUGAAGUUCUGGGGUAAGUAAUAAGAUGGAUUAAACCUGCAAAACUUCCAGCUGAAAAUUGAAGUUUCAAACUUUCAAUACAUCAACUUACGCUUGCCUACUGAAUCAGAUGUUAAACAGAAUCGUGAUAUGGCGAAAGAAACAAGAAGGAAAAAAAAAAAAAAACCUAAACGGGGUAUCCAUCAAAUCUUGCCAUUUUGAACGUUGAUAUUGUUCUUAGGUACAGGUUACAGUCUGGAGCAGGCUUUGACAAUUGGUAAGGCACUAAAAGGUUUCUUACAAACUCUGUUACAUAUGCAAGCGUCUAGGAGGGAUGGGAACGGUAGGGUGAUUGGGUAUUGUGUCGUUUGGUCCCAGAUCAUCUAUGGGGGGCCGCUGCUUAUGAUGAUUUGUUGCAGACUGGUAAGCCAUUGCUAAGGCUAAUGCCUGCAGUGAGAAAAUGGGAGGAAUAAAAUGAGACACAAAACAGUUGCAUUCUGAGAUUUCUGAUGAUUAUAGUUACUUUCUAUAUCCACUGUAUGUUACAAUCCACAUUAGAACUAAAAGUGGAUCAAGUCCAUGGCUCACGGAUCCGGAAACUUACGAUGUGAUCAUGGUUAGGAGGAGCGUAUAUGCCCGUGUUGACUGUGGUUCGUCUCCGAGUACCAGUUGGAGGUGGAUUAGGUAUGUUUUUGAAGCCAGUCGGAACAACAAUUACUGGCAAACCUACGAGAUUUCCCAUGCAUACUCGCUCCCAAUCCGUUGCAUUUCCAAUGAAUGCAUCAACAUUGAAGUUUUCUUUCACUUCUUGGAUUAACUUUCCACGAGCUCUUUGUGCCUGUGGAACAUUAUAAAAAUAGUGAAAAUAGAGGGAAAAAACAUCACGAGAAAAAAUUAAAAAUGAUUCUAUCUUUUCUCUCUAGAUUUCGGAUUAAGCGCUAUCCACUCCAGUGCUAAAUGACUAGACGGGCUACUUUUAGACCUAAAUCCCCGAUUUCCAUGCAUUCCUGCUGAUGUUCCACAUCCUAAAUCUCCAUAUCUUUGAAGACUGUUUCCGGUUUUCCUACUCAAAAAUUGGAAGUAAAAGAAGUAUGUGUCUUCUACUAGCUCAUUAGAAAAUGUUUUCAAAAGUUAUAUGAUUUCAUCCAAACUAUAAUAUCAACCAAUAAUUAGAGAGCAUAAAACAGACCUGCAAAUAAUCUACAGCUGAAACUACACGUGCACGACGUAACUCAACAGGCCAUUGAUCUUGAGCUUCAUAAUCAUCAUCCUUCCCAGAUCGUUGCCAUUCAUCAAAAUGUGCUAACAUGUCAACAUCCAUCGUGAAAUUUAGGAUGCCUUGAACAGAAUCGACAGUGUAAUUCAGUUUGAAAGGAACCACCUUAACACCUUUUGAUUCAAGCACAUGAACAACCUGGUUUUAGAAAAAAGUCAGACCUUAAGAGUUACUUCGAUAGUUACUUUAUAUCAAAGUUAUCUCUAAGAGAAAAAGAUAUAAUAUUUCAGUUCAAUCAAUUAAUUCAUAGCAAUUCUGACAUAUGUUGUUUUUAUUUAUUUAUUUAUUAUUGUGCAUCUGUUGCGGUUGCAUAACAAACUCAAGCUUUAGCCAGAUGUUUAUGAAAUCUAACCUCCAUGUCAGCAUCGUCAAGAUAACCAACUGUAAGCUUUGUGAUAUCAACAGAAAAUGGGUCACCAAAGGGAAUGUCUCUUGAAGAAAGAUCAUCUGGAUCUUUCCCUCGGAUGGCAUCUAGAAUAACUGCACAAUCAGCAGCAUUUCGACAGAAUGGACCAAGCUUGUCCUGUUAAAAGGAGAGCAUAGACAGUUAUUGGAACAUCACACCCAGAGGCUGGAGCAAAAAUGGGGGCUGGAUAAUUAAACACUUUCAGUCAAAGAAGAUUCCUCUCCCUAAUGGUAUUACCAAGCUUUCUGAUAGGCUCAUCACACCAGUUCGUCCAACUGAACCAAAAGUUGGCCGCAAUGCUGUCACACCACACCGAGAUGCAGGGUAAGUAAUGGAGCCGGCUGUUUCUGAACCAAUUGCAAAUGGAAUCAUACCUGUAAUGAAAAUUUAAUUUCUUAGACGAAGCAAUGUGCAUCUGGUUUAGGUUCAAUACUAGGUCAACAUGUUUGAUCAUGAAAAAGAUUGUUAGACCUAAAAAUACUAUGGCUUAUUUCAUGUUUAGGAUAAAUACUAGAGGACAUGUAUGAUAAAUUGAACUUAAAAUAAAAAAUACCAGCUGAGGUGCAGGCAGCAGGCCCAGCUGAUGAGCCUGUAGAGAAUUCCUCAAUGUUCCAAGGGUUCCUAGUCCUACCACCGAACCAGAUGUCAUCAUAUGCCAGUGAUCCAGUAACAAGCUUUGCAACAAGAACUGCCCCUGCAGAUUUUAACCUGCAUUGACAAUUCAUAAGAGUGAAUAAUGUCAUCUAACUAAAAAAAAUUUCCAUGAGAUCUCAAUGAUUUCAGUUUUCAGUGAUGCAUAAUACCUCUUAUACACCCAUGCUUCAAUAUUAAGCACUUGAUUUUUGAAAGUUGUUGAACCCCAAGUUGUCUUGUAGAGAGGUACUGAGAUUAUAUCCUUCAAUCCAUAAGGGAUGCCAUGUAGUGGUCCUAAAAUACCAAGUAAUAUAUAACUCUCAAACCAAUAAAAAAAUUGACAAUAAACUAAUACAAAAAGAGCUAUUUUUUUUAACUUCGUUAAGCAGGCAAGCAUUUGCCACCAUUCUAAAAAGUUGGAUAAAAUAAUGUAACCUGAACAAGAACAAAUUGUGAGCGAAAGAAGUAGAAAAUUGCAGCAAAUUUAUUCUGACAAAAAGUUUUUAACAUUAUGGCCGAAGGUGAUAAUCGUAUAGUGCAGCAAGUUGUUUAAAAGGUACCUAAAUGCACUCCUUGAGAGAGCAACUUGUCAGCUUCUUUCGCUUGCUGGUAAGCUAAAUCUUCAGUAUAAGUAACUACAGAUUCAAGUACAGGAUUGUAUCUGGUAUUUUAGCAAUAAAGAAUCAAUGUGUUUGAGGGACAAAAAGGGUAUUAGACAUUAUAAAUGCAUAAACAUAACCGGAUUUUUUAUUUCUACCUUCUCAAUCUCUUAAGAAAAAUUCCCGUAAGCUCCUCAGAAGUAAUCUGUUUUUUCUUUAUGAGUUCUCCUAGUUCGAGAACCUGAUAAUAAAGACCAGGAAAGUCGCAUACAAUAAUCAGGUCAAAGCCAUUUGUUUUAUUUUAUAAAGGCUAUAUCAAUUGACUCACACUCAUAAAGGCUAUAUCUUCUUCAUUAAUUGGCCUUUGAAUGCCGGAAGCUGAAGGAUGAUUAAACCUGCUGGCCUUGCCUUGUGAUUGCUCCUUGCUCCACUCGGGGUUAAAAACCAGAGGAGAAGGGUUAUGCAGCCCUCCAUUAAUAGAAGCAACUAACUUCCUGUUGGUUCUUAUUAUAGGAAUAUUGAACUCUUUUGCACCCUUUGCAAUCUCAAGAACCUGAAAGAAUUAAUCAAAUUAAAGAUGAUAAUAUUAGAUAAAGCAUACCCACUUCAAGCAGGAUUAUCUGAAAUGAAGUCAUAAUGCUAAAAUUCAUCACCUUUAUAUCGUUAAAGAAAUCAGCAUCCAAUAAAGUCAACCCAUGUCUAAUUUGUGAAGCUUCAGUAAUGUUUUUCGGACAUUCAUUGCCAUUUUUACUGUCCUGACAAAAGCACGAGUGAAAUGUCCAUAAAAAUAAGGUUAGGAAAUAAAGCAGACCCACAAUGCCUUGCAUUUGCUUGUGAUGUUUCAAUACCUGGGUGCAAGGCUACGAGAAUGAAUCAUAAGGUCCAUAACUUUCUGACAAAACAUAUCCCAGAUUUUUUUAUAGUUUUUCACCUGUUUUACAGAUGUUAGGUAAAAGGGGAAAAUAUCUCCUAUAAAAGAAUGUGACUGAAGAGGAAAAAAAGCAUAGCACAUAUGAUCAUGAUCUAUGUUUCUCGGACUAAGGUCCAAGUGUUCGACAUGAAUACGUUUCUAACAUUGGUAUGCUCAGUUUUUCAUGACUUCCCCUAUAUUUCUUUAGUUCAUUUUUUGGGUUAAAGUAUCUAGGAUGGACAUAUAUUCAAAAAGGCUUGAUUCUCGAAAUGCUUAAUAGAUCAUGGAACCCAGAUAAAAUAGUAAAUUCAGACGUGCCUAAAAGAAGAUUCUGACAGUAACUAUAGCUCCUUCAACUAUAAGGAUUAUGUUCAAAUAUCAAUCAUAUGCUUUAAAAUUGUAAGGCAGAAUUUAUGUUCAUAAUGGGAAUAAAUUUGAAGUAUCAAAUUCAAAGCACGCAUUCAUCAAGCGGCCUCUCCUCUACAAGUAGAUAGACAUUGACUAGCUUAUGACAACAGAUGUAGGAGGAGAUGGCGAGGGUUUGUACCAUUUCUAGGAGAGUGGCAGCUCGACGGCAAGGACAAGUUGGUAAAAUAGUUGACUUGUUGAUGUCGGUCAACUCUUGUUGGGCUUGAAACUGUGAAGGCAGAUCUGCAAAAGAAUCGGCCAAGGAAUAGAAGAGUAGUAAAAGGAGGGAGGCCAUGAAACGUGUCGAAGGCCGAGAUGACAUGUUCCGACACUUGUCGAGAAACCAAGUCGCUGUGUUCCCGGCGGGUGUAGGGCUUUGCCUCUUCAAUGACCGACUGACCGUCAUGCCACUGAAUUGGAAUCUACAUAACUCACUAUAAAAGGGACCUUCCAUUUUGUCCACACGUGGCAGAUAUUUAUUUAGUUUUUACAUUUUAGGUCUCUUAGGUCUAAAUUUAUAUUUAAUCUUUAUAUAUUAAUUUAUAAUAUAAUUUAGUCUUUAUAUUUUUAUGAUAUUAUUAAUUAAUCUAGAUAAUUAAUAUCGUUAAACUUUUUAUUAAAAUCUUAUAAAAUUAUUGAAAUCAGAGAUGCGGCACCAAAAAGUUCUUACAUUUGGCGCUAUUUUUGGGGAAAACGCAAACAGUUUUAACUUCAGGAGCUGAACUGUAAUUAGGAUCACCAAAAUCCUGAACAUCCUCCCCAACAAUACCGAGAUCACCUCCUUCAACAGCUUCUGCAACAUCUGCCUCUGCUUCUGAUUGACACCUAGCAACUAUCACAGAAAAGAAAACUCAUGUGAAGCCAUAAUUUUAAAACAAAAUGAAAAUUUAUUUAUUUAGUAAUUUACCAAAAAUAAAAUAAAAAAGUAAACAAAAUUUAAUACAACAAACAGAUCCGACAUCCGGAAAUAACUGCUUCAAUAAUGUAAUUGAAAAGGACACCAAACUCCAAAGUACUUGCCAAGGCCCUAGUACUAUUUCCUUUCAUUUUCCAAGAGCAAACCUAAACUGUAUUUCUAAAACAGCCACUAAAAUGCCAGUAAGAACAGAUAUCAAGAAGAUACCUAAGCUUCUUUCAAAAAAAUUCAAUCGAACUUUCAUAAUCACAGCCAUGCAACGCAACAAUGAAUUUAAAAACAAAGAAAUCACUUCAAAAUCUCACUACCAAAUCAUAAAUCUAGAAAAAAAAACAAACCAAUCUCACAUGGAUGUUAAAAAAAAGCGAAAGAAAUGAUACUAAAGGAAAACAAAUCGAAUUGCUUCUCAUUUAAACAGAUCAAAGCAAUCGCAGUAAGCAUAAAUACCUAAUUACAGAUCUUAAAUAUAACAAAGCAAGUAAAAACAAAGAAAAAAAAUUACAAACCUUGAAGGAAAGGAGAUGCGAGGAAGAGGAGAGCAAAGAAGAAAACGCUGAAAAUUUUCAUCCCCAUUUCAGAGAGUUUUUUUUUUCCGUCAAAUGAGAAAUAAGAAAAAUAAAUUAAUCGGUGUUAGAAAUGACAAAUAGAUGGAGGGACGGCGGGUUUUAAUCCAACGGCUAUAAAUGACAGAGAGCUCCGCCGGACGAACACUCUCCGUUGGAUCUUUGGUCAAUUGUGUGCUUUUAAAUAAUAUACAACUACUUCUCCACUACCCUUCUGUUCAGUUGCGCUUGCAGAAAAAUCAAAUAUAGCACGGCGCCGUUUUGGUCCUGACUUAUAUUUUCUUUUAUAAUUUAUUUUAUUUUUAUUAUCGAUAAAAUUGAAAUUUAAAUAUCUUGAUAUUUUAGGUUGAAAUCUCAUAAUUUAUGAAUUUAUUUUACGUUUCAAUUAUUUUUUUAUAAAUUUUAAAUAAAAUAUAAAAUGAGUUUUUAAAUCAUUUCUUAACUGAGUUGAUGUUAAGUUAAUUGCAUUUUAAAUUAGUAAAAAUUAUUAUUAUUAAAUUAUUGAGGGUAAAAGAAUUUGUUUAGCAAAUGUAUUUAUAAAAAUUUUAUAUUAAAUACAAAAGAAGGAUGGUAAUAGAUUUGAUCAUGGAUUGAAUUGGAUUCGGGUCAGAUCGAUGUAAAAUUCUAGACUCGGGUUCAGAUUGAUUCGAAAAAUGGGUCUAAAUUUUUUUCAAAUUCAGUCUAGAUAAAAAAUACUAAACUCGAGUUCGAUCCGGCCAACCCGUAUUAAAAAUUUUAUAUUAUUUUUAUAUAAAAAUAAAUUUAAAAAAUAUAAUACAUCAAAUACUUUAAAAUUAUUAAAAAUAAAUGUUUUCCAACAAAUGUAUUAUAGUUGUAACUUAGCAAACAAAUGUAUCUAAAUAGUAGCAAAAUUAAUACUAAAACAAGAGUUAUACAAUAUCCAAAUAAUAACAACAAAAUAGUACUAAUAUAAUAUCAAAAUGGCAGCAAAAAAGUAGUAGAAAAAAUUUAGCCAAAUUUAGACCGACUCGGGCAAAAAAAAAAUCAUACUCGAGGCUCGACCAAUUUAGAAAUGGGUCUUAUUUUUUGUCCAAGCCUAUUUUUCGAGCCUAUAUUUUUCUUAAACCCUCCCACUUUUUAAGUGGACCUUCAAGCCUAGGCGGGUGACCCGGCUCAUGAUUAGAUCUAAAUGGUAACAUUUGGGUGCAUAUGAUCAUCUUGACAAACUUUGUCUGGGAUUUAUCCAAAGAUCUACUUCUGACACGAGGAGAGUGAAACUUGUAAAUUGGGAUACUAUUUGCUUGUCGUUGGAUUGAAAGCAAUGCUUGACAAGAACUUGGUGUUGCUUGCGAAACUUGGAUGGAGGUUGGUUACAAAAGUUGAAAGUUUAGUGGUGCUAGUUUAUAAGAACUAGUUUAGGAACGCUUAUCAAAAAUACUUUUGAGACAAAAACAUUUCAAAUAAGGUAUUUUUUAGAGAAAAAUAGUUUCUCUCAAAUCAAAAAUUGGUCAAAAAAUAUUUUUUUCCGAAGUUAAAAAUUUUAACUUCUCCCCAAAAAGCACUUUUGAGGAGCAUUUCUAACUUAGGCCUAAAUCAAACUAGAAUUUGUUUAAGGUUGAAUCCUCUCCUCAAUCCUAUCACUUAUAGUUUAGUGUCUUAGCAUGUAGGACAUUUACACAACCUUUCUGAUUUCGUUAUGUCUUAAGGGACUAGUGCAUGGCCAAAUAUGUUUGGAGAAAUCUGUUAGGAACUGAUCUAUAUUCCUUACUCUUUUCUUUAACAACUGACGAAUGUUGGAAGUUCAACUUGGUUGAUUGCAGGUACAAACUGGUUGGACAUUGCAGCUAGCCAGUGUUCUUUGCAACUGUUUGCUGGGGAGUCUAGAGGUGGUGAAAUGAGUUAGUGACAUUAAACAAUCGAUUGCCGGUGGAUGUUAAAAUGAAGUUGACCUAUCACAACUUGAAUGAAAAUGUGGUUGUUGGUUUAUGCAAGUGGAAAGUUCAAAAGGAGGUGCUACUUUGGGAGAAACUAGCUGCGAGUUGGAUGAAAUUGAAUACCGAUGGCAAGAAUAAAGUUGCAGGUGCUGGUGUGGGGGAUAUUGCUCUCUUCUAACAAGCCUUGUAUACCCCAAUUCUUGAGGGAUAUUGAUCAUGAUUCCUAAUCUUUUUUUUUAUACAAUACUUAGAAUUUUUCAUAGCCUAUUCUCAAUGCGUUUCAGCAUACUCGAAGCCACAUACUCUUGCACUAGCAACAAUACCGAUACCAACUGAGCUAAAACUCAAUAACUUAUAAAACUCAUUUUUGUUGGCCUUAAUUUGCUAUUGUAUUAUUAAAAAGGAAAAAAAAACUAAGCUGCAUUUGAAUUUAAGCUUUAAUAGUUUUGAUACUAGAAUUAUCCUUAUUUAAAUUAUUUAGCAUAUUAGGAAUAAUAUUAAUUUUUUUUAAAAUUAGUUUAAUUGGUUGAAAUAUAAAUUUUGUUUCCGGAUGAUAUAAUAUUUGGUCACUGAAUUUGGUAAUUAGGUUCACCUUGGUAUUUAUAUAUAUAUUUUUGUUUAAUUUGGUAUUUAAACUUGACAACUAGGUUCAUCUGGGUACCUGAACUUGAAAAAUAUAAAAGUUCAAUUAUGUAACACAAUCUCAAAGUGUCACAUUCGGUGUUUUAAUAAUUGAACCAAUGGUUGAGCAGGUUAGACCAUCGGUUCCAUAUUCAACUAGUUUGAUUGAUUCAACUGCUUGACAAAUAAUAAUUAAAAAUUCAAAAAAUCUAGAAAUAUUCAAAAAAUAAAAAAUUUGUCAAAUUGGUUCAACCUAUUUAAUUGUCAAUUUUUGUCUCGAUUUUCAAUUUUUACUAAUUUCAAGUAGUUUUAGAGUUAAUCAAUUCAAGCUCUUUGUUCGAACUAUUUUAUCGAUCAAUUUUAAAUCCGUCCAAUUCUAUCAUGUUCUAGUAAAAUUGGUCAUAUCAUCAAAUCUUGAAAAAAAUCUCAAUUCAGGGACUAAAUUUGAUCUAGUUACUAAAUUCAAUAACCAAAGUAGACCCAAAAAAGUACAGAUACCAAAAUAGACUUACUUACUAUGUUCAGGUGUCAAGAAUUAUAUUAUCCUUUUGUUUAUUUGGUUGAAUGAAUAUAAGGUAAUAGUACUAUUUUACUAAUUAAUUAAUUUUUAAUUAUAAAUAAAAAUAAAAAAAAUUAUAAAAUUAUACUAAGAGUGAAAGCUAUGAAAAUAGCACAAUAAUAAUGUAUAAAAUGUUAAAAUUUAUUAACUAAUAAAUAAUUAAAUAAUAAAAACCUAUUUAUAUUAAUUAAUUAAUUAAAAAUAAAGGCAAUACAAUUGACGGAAUGAAAUAUAAUAGACACAAUAUUAAAUUUCUUCACUAAUAAUUCUAUCAUACACGUAUAUUCGUGGAAACCACACAGUACUAAACAAAAAUUUAUUGAUCUGGACGUAGUAAAUGAUAACGAAAUCAUACAUUACUAAUGAUAAUGUAAGAUAACUUGAUCCAAAUGUUAUAUAAGGCUAUAUUUGAUAAAUUGGAAAAUUAAGUGUUGCAUUUAAGUUAUAAAGUCCGUUUGAAUAUAAUUUGAUUAUUUAAUGGAGGACAAUAUAAUCUUAAAUGAAAUAGAAAUAAUAAAAAAUAAUUGAUUUUAUUAUCUAUAUCUACUUAUCAUUUUCUGUAUUUUUUAGUAGUGGUUAUCAAAUGUGUUUAAAAAAAAUUAAGUUGCUGAAAAUAUUAAUUAGGCAUAAUAUCUUAUUUGACCCUCUAGCUUUAUAAAGAAGUUAUUUUAGCCAUUCGUUUAAUUUUUUGCCUUUUUUUAACCAUUGAACUUGCGUUAUUUGUCUAAUCACCCUAAUAUAAAUGAAAAAGUUUGCUAAUGUGGCGUAUGCCACAUCAACAAUUAAAAUUUUAAAAUAAAAAAUAUAUAAAAAUUCAAAAAAAAGACAUAAAAGUUACUAAAAACAUAAAACUUAUUUAACCAUAAAAAUUAUAAUAAUAUUCUAUGAUUUUUAGAAUUUUAAAAAAUUAAUUAAUUACUUACGUGGCAUAUAUAUAGAUCUUGGUGUCUUUUGACAAAAAAGCAUUAGUUUAAGGGUUAAAAUGAUUUUUUCUAUAAAAUUAGAAAGUCAAAUAAAUCAUUAUACCUUAUAAUUAUUUAUCUAAUUAUAAUUAAUUCCCAUUAAAUUCCUAAAAAUAAAAGUAUAAAAAGUAAAUCUUAUAUUUUGACAAAGUAUAAGGACCAAGAGCAAAAUUAGACCUUAAUAUUAUCAAGUCUAAAUGUACGGUCCACAAUUUGUCACCACAGAUUCAGGGAAGAUUCAGAUCAGUUUCUUCAUCUCACAUUAUUCAUCACUUGUGUUAAACCACGUGGCAGGAUUCUACUAUGGUAGGUACAAAGAUAGCUAAAGAAAAUCUAGCCAGCACAACUGAAACAACAUCGUUUGUCCCUUAGCCGUUAUCGACUCCUUGUAGGGCAAAGUCAGGGACAUUUAUGGAAAACGGAACCACGACGUUCAGAUAAAUGUCAACCCCAGCGGUCCUCAUUCGCGUGACAACACGCUCCUUUUGUUUAAAAGGGUUAAUAUGUAAUUUACCUCCUAAAUUUAUCCAAAAGUACUUAGUUGGUACCUAUUUUUUUUUGUACCUAUUUGGUAACUGAAUUUGUAUUCCAUCACACACAUUGCCCAAUUUGUUAAACAAAGUUAAUUUUUUAAGUGUUAACAUAUAGUUUCCCCUUAAACUAGUCCAAACGUACCUAGUUGGUAUCUAAACUUUUCAAAGGAGUACCUAAUUGGUACUUGAACUUGUCCAAAAAGUUUUACUUUUUAAAUUGAUGAGUUAAUACAUAGUUUGUCCUCUGAACUUGUCCAAAAGUACUUAGUUGAUACCUGAACAUAUUGUCGAAACCAUUUUUUAAAAACAAAAAAUUUAGGUUGUCGACUUAAAAAAAAUGAAAAUUGGGAGUCGCAACCAAUCUUUUAUUAAGGUGUGAUUGGAUCACCUAAAAAAUAGCUUUGGUCUACGAGUUUUAGAAAAACGGAUCCGGGAGUCAGUUACGUACAAGGAAUGAUUAGCACCCUCGUAACCGCCAAAAUUGAUACCUAGUUAAUUAAUUAGUGUCUUAAUGUCGAAAAUUUGAAAAAUAUAAUCCUUAGCAAAAACUUUAAAACGUUACUUAUUAUGACCCUUAUCAUUUCGAAGAAAGAAAAUGUCACACCCAAUGCGUUAGGGCACAACAUUCUAAUUUCCUCAAAAAUGAAUUAGUCUAAAACUCGUGUAAUAAAAAUUUAAAAGAAUAUUCAUUGUUUAAGAUUUAAGAAAUCGCGGCCCAAUACGUCAGGGCACAAUUCCUCAAAAUCCCAAACUUGAAAUAUUUCAUUUAUUAUUAUUUUUUCAAAAAAUAUUUGUCUCGAGAAAUCAAUACGUCACAUCCAAUAUGUUAGGAUACAACAUAUUUAACUCCCCAACAACAAGCUUUUUAUUUUAUAUAUUUUUUAUUAAUGAGCAACCCUCGAUCGUUGGAUUUAACGAAGAAAAUCGGAACCCAAUACGUUAGGGCUCAAUUUCCUUGAAAAUCCUAAAUACGAGUAUUAUCUCAAUUUUGAAAAUUUAAAUAAAAUGAUGUGAUGCUACAUUAAAUAUAAAAUGUAAUAAUAAAUACAACAAUGGCAUAGAAAUAAACGAAAUUAAUGUACAUAAACAACGACAUGUAAAAUAUCAAAUGAAUAUAAAUGAAAACAUAAAUCAAUAAGCAAAUGAAGGAAAUAUACAAAAAAAUAUAAAGAGAAAAAGGUACAAAAUAUAUAUACAUUUGAAAUUAUGAAGAAUAAAAGAUAUAACAUAAAAUUUUGGGUUAUAAAACUUAUAUAUAUAUAAAAUACAUAAUGCAUUUAUGAAAACAAGAAAAAUAUAAAUAUAUACAUAUAAAAUAUAUUCGUGCAUUUACAAAAAAAUGAAAUAUAUAUGUAUAAUAUAAAACGUGGAAAAUAUUUAUAAUAAAUUUUGAAUGGAGUAUAAAUAUAUGUGUAUAUAUUACAAAAAUGCAUAAACAUAUAAAAAUCAUAGAAUAUGGGUAAACGUAUAAAUAUUAUGAAAUAUAAAUGUGUAUAUAUAUAUGUAUAAAAAACUAUGAAAAUAAAAUAAUAAUAAAGUAUGUAUAUAAUAUGUAUAUAUAUUAAAACGUUUAAAAUAUAUAUGUAUAUAUAUUAACAUGCAUAUGCGCACAUAUAUGUAGGUAUAAUAAUAAUAUAUAAUAUAAUAAUAAAAAUAAUAAUAACAAAAUUAAUAAAAUAGACUAAAAACCUAAAAUGAAAGAUUAAAGAUUAAAUUGAAAAUCAACAUAAUUUAAAAAAAAUGAAGGGCCCAAUUAAAAGGCGCGAAUAACUCAUAGGGCUUGAAUGGAAAAAUAUCUCUAUCCUUUGAAACGUGCCACUUUAUUAGGGCUAAAUAAAAUAAAUAAAUAAAAUUCGCAGUGGUAUCACCUUCUCCCUUUUUUAAAAUCGUAAAUAAGUAAAAAAUAAUCAAAAAUGAAAAAAAAGAAAACAGUAAGCCACCUUUAAAAAACUGUCAAUCGUUCUCCCUUUUUUAUUCAUUCUCUUUUCUUUUUCAAUGAAGGGAGAGGCCUCUAUUUAUAGCUGAGCCUCCCUAAAUCCCACGGUACAGAUCAAUUACAUCAACAGCGAAGAUUAAAGGGUAUCUACAAAUUAAAUCUCUAAGAUUACAAAAUCAUACCUUUUAAGAUUACAUAUCAUAUCUAAGAUUGCAUAUAUCAUAUCUAAGAUUGCAUAUCCUUGAAGAUUAUGUUUCCAUAUGUGAGUCUGGGCAAAAAUUGGGUAUUACACAUAUAUUCCAUCACCUAGGUUGGUACCUCCGCACUAAUAUCGUUAAUUUGUGCUAACGUGACACUGAUAACAAAUCUUAUAACAACACAUGGUAGCCUCUUAAGCUCGAACUUGAAUAUAUACAAGCUUAAUCAAGCUCAAGUACGAAAAUUGAUAAACGAGCUUAAUCAAGCUCAAUCUUAAAAAUAGAUGUUCAAUCAAGUUCAAACUGAGUUUUGAACUCAAAAUUUUGAGUCAAGAUUGAGCUUACCCAUUUUUUAACUUAGCUUGGCUCAACUACACCCCGAGUUUUAACCUUUUUCUUUUGAGUAAACUACACCCGAGAUCACUUAACUAUUAGUAAGUUUACGUUUUGCUCACUGAACUUCAAAAAGUUACAAACUGGUCACCGAACUAUUCAAAAGUUUUUAUUUAAGUCAUUGAGCUAUUAAAAUCACUGAUGUAUAGCAUUCUCUAUUCACUUUGCGUUGCCUACACCAAUCAAAAGCUCUUAUUCCCCUUCUAUUCUAUAGUUCAUUUUUUUUUCAAGAAACAACUUUGAAUGUCAUGAACCUACGAACCAAAAUCUAAACAACUUUCUUUUCUGGUCUCCGACACUAACUGUCAAAUUGACUUAGAUCUAAGGUAUGUUCGUCUAUUUGUUGAUGGGUACUGAUCACUAUACUUGGGGUUCACUAGCUCAAUGACUUAAAUAAAAACUUCCGAAUAGUUCAACAACUUAAAUGAAAACUUACGAAUAGUUUAGUGACCAUUUUGUAAUUUUUAAAGAUAAAUGACCAAAACAUAAAAUUAUUAAUAGUUUAAUGACAUAGGUAUAGUUUACUAUUGCAGAACGUGCAUUGACGUUUCCUAAAAACCGCGUGACUAAAACCGAUCUCAAUCCUCGACAAGCCUGCGAUUAAGGCCAGUUCUUUAUUGCUUUUGAAAAGUGCUCUGAAAAAGUGCUUUUGAGAAAUACUUUUGAAAAAUUUGGUUUAAAAUUUGAGUGUUUAGUAUUAUUAUCAAAAAGUGCUUUUGAGAAAUAAAAUGUCCAUUUUAGACAUGUUAUUAUCAAGUAACAAAUAUGCAUUUAAAUAAUAUUUAAAUUAGUUAAUAUUAUUAUAUUUUAGUAAGAAUAUAAAUAAAUUAUUAUAACUUGUUGUUAAUAUUUUAAUAUAUGAAAUAUAAAUUUUAAAUAUUUUUAAGCAAUAAAUAUUAAUUAUUUAUAAAAUUUAAUUAUAAUAUAUAAACUAUAUUUUAAAUAUUUAAAUAUAACCAAUAAAUAUUUGUAAUUAGUAUUUUAAAAUUUUUUUAUUUUUAAUUAAUGAUUUUAACACAUUUGUAAUUAAGCACAAAAAAAAUACUAUCUUAUUGGAGGAAUGAAAAAGUAAAUAAGUACAAAAAAAAAUACUUUUAAGAGAGAAAAAGCAAAAAUUUUUAGCUAAAAAGUAUUUUUGAAAAACUAAGAAUUUCAACUAAAAAUAACUAUAGGUAAUUUUUCUUCCAAAAGUAAUUUUGGAUUCAGAAGUUUUGUUUUUUUUUCAAGCAAUGAGUAACUCCAACAUAAAACAUAAAUCCUAAGCAAACGGUCGCAACCUCACCCUCACUUCACUUUACUAACCAAAAGCCACCACCACAUACCCUUCUGAAACCUCAUCCACACCAAACUCCAGAACCAGCCUCGGUUAUCAAUGGCGAUGAUAUCUACAUAUUGCCCACAUUUCAACGGACUUCGCCGAUCAUCUCCCAAGCUCGACAGUUCUCAAUCUCAAUCUUUCCUUCAACACAUCAACUCUCAGCUUCGCCUUGCUUCGUCUCGUAAACCUUGCAGAGCUGUUACUGCCAUGGCCGGUUCCGGAAAGGUAAAGAUCAACUGUUACUUGAUUUGAAGGCUCUAGAAUUAACCUACCAACCCCCUUUUUUAAUACAUUUUAAACCAUUUUUGUGACGUCGGUAGUUUUUCUAGUUUUGAUGUUUUUCAGUCAAUACUUAGCAAUUAAAAGGAAAAAAAGGGAAAGUUUUAGAUGCUGAAUCUAGAAAUGAAUUGCUGAUCUUUGGGAUCUUGUCUCUUUGUUUAAGUAGUGUAUUAAGCAUUAAGCUUUAAGCAAGAGGGUUUUCACAAUGAUAUUUGCCAAUUUCACUGUUUUUUUUGGGGGGGUGUCUUUUAUUAAUGCUUUUGGUAAGUACUGACCUUUCUAUUUUUUCUUGAACUUGCAGUUCUUUGUUGGGGGUAACUGGAAAUGUGUAAGUACCCUUUUCUCACAGAUAUGGUGUUAGUCUAUGUUCUCUAUAUUUGGUCUUGGUUUUCUUCUAUUGUUAGCUCUUUGUGCCAAAUAUGUUGCACUACACUCCAUGAUUCCGUUAGCAUCUCCGUUUACGAAAGUAAUGAAGUCCUUUUAGAGUUCUCUUUGUGGUUGUUUGAUGUGGAAUCUUUCUUGCUAAUCUUGUUUAAUUGUGUUGAGGAUCGGUUGGCUCCUUUGGGAGAAGUCUUUGAAGUGUCAUCCCUUGGGAGGGUUUUGUCCCCAGCCUCCAUGGAGAGCCAGCGUGCUGUGAGCAGCUGCCCUAAGGGUCUGGUUAAUGGAGGGGGGUACCUCGACCGUACGCCCACCAAGGUGACGUGAGCAUCUCACCCUUGGUGGGGUUUGAACCCCUGACGUAUGGCAUAUAGGUUGCCUUGGUGGGGGUCCAGUUGGUUGCCGGGCGGACGGCACUACGAAGACUUCUUCCGAAGGAGCCAACCAACCCUCAACAAAAUGAUACUUAUCACAUUGGUUUUUGUUAUGACAUUAGUGUGAAGUUGACUCUUGCAAGUAUUUUGUUCUCAUGGUGGUUCUGGUUACUACCCUCCCCCAUUUUUAUUUAUUUUAUCAUUGCAAUUAUUAUAAAUAGAAAUGAUCUCCUGCUGUUGUUAAUUUUGUGCCUUUUCUAGUGAUCUAUACCUUUCAAAAGUUUCUUUUCUGACUUCAGAUUCUUCAAGUUCGUCAUGCCCUGCUAACCCCUUUUCUGAAAGUACUAUUGCAGUUUUUUCCGUCAAUACGAUUUCACACUCUAUUAGUUGUUAUGCCGGGAUCUUUUUUAUUAUGGAACAACUCAUGUAUGCCUAUUUGUUUCAUUCCCUAGUUCUAUUUCCUUCACUGAUGAUGUUAUUUUUCUUCGUAUAGAAUGGAACAAAAGACUCCAUCACAAAGCUUGUUUCUGACUUGAACAGCGCAAAGUUGGAGACUGAUGUUGGUAAUUUAGUGCCUUAAAUCUUGCAAUUUGUGUAUGUUAAAUCUAUUAUGGAACUUGGCUUAGGGUUUAUAUAUGCAAAUGGCUAAAAGAUUUACAAAAUUUUAUCGGUUUCAUAUGUGAUCCUUGAUAAAUUAUGGGACUUGGCUCGGUUUUGUAUUUAUCAGUUUUCAUUGGUAUAUCAUGUUCAAUGUUAUGAACAUUGCUAAUAAUUCAUUACUCUUUGACAGAUGUUGUUGUGUCACCUCCCUUUGUUUAUCUCGAUCAAGUGACAGCUUCAUUAACCGGUCGAAUUGAGGUAUCUGGUCAGAACUCUUGGAUUGGGAAAGGUGGGGCUUUUACCGGAGAAAUCAGGUUAGCUAACUUUUGUUUGAUGAGCUAAACAUGUUAAUUCUUCAUUAUUCCGUACCUGAGGGUCUGAAAAUUUAUUGUAUUUUUCCGUAUUACUUCAUUGGUACUGACAUAUGGUCCUCGUUUCACUCUGCAUUUCUUGUAAAUAGGCCUUUAAGUUUUGGGGCAUCUGUUAUUUCAUUUGAUCUGUUUCCAAACAUAGUGGAAGCUAAUUUGCGUUUUGUUUUUUAGUUAUGGACAUCUUUGUUUGCAUAUGCCAUACUGUUUGAUUGAGUUACUUCAAAUCUAUCCGCGUCUUUAAUAUGAUUCAUCUGAUUAUUUCUGUAGUGUGGAGCAAUUGAAAGAUAUUGGCUGCAAGUGGGUCAUUCUCGGACAUUCUGAACGCAGACAUAUUAUUGGUGAAGAUGAUCAGGUAAGAGUUUACGUGCUUAAUGUUCUUCUGAGGUGUUAAAGGACUUAUCAGAGAUUUGUUGUUGUCUUCAGUUUAUAGGAAAGAAAGCUGCUUACGCUUUGAACGAGGGUCUCGGAGUAAUAGCUUGUAUUGGUGAAUUACUAGAAGAAAGAGAAGCAGGCAAAACUUUCGAUGUAUGUUUCCAGCAACUGAAGGCUUUUGCUGGUAAUCUUUUGUGUCCUCUAUUUGAUUUUUUUACUUUUUUCCUCAUGAAUUACUUAGGUUAUCUCGUAAAUGUAGAGGAAGGGAUCGUGACCUAACUCUAAUGGUUCCAUCAUUUGCAGAUGUUGUACCCAGUUGGGACAAUAUAGUUAUUGCUUAUGAACCUGUAUGGGCCAUCGGGACCGGCAAAGUUGCUACACCCCAACAAGCUCAGGAAGUGCAUGUAGCUAUCCGUGAUUGGCUUAAAAAGAAUUUGUCCGAGGAAGUUGCAUCUAAAACACGUAUCAUAUAUGGAGGUAACUCAGAUACUAUACCAUUCUUGUAUACAUGUAUUUGUGGUUUAUGAUAUGAGAGACAUUCUAGGAUCGUGUAGAUAUGACAUAUGUUCCCCUUGGGUGAAAGUACUAGAAGCUCUUAUAUUAGGAGUUAGAUUUCAUUUUGCCCUUUUUACUAAAAAAUGAGCAAAUUAGUCCUUGUAUAUUGAAUCAAAGAGCAAACUAGUCCUUCUGUUAAAAAUUCUAUCCAUUUCUACUGUUAAAAAUUGGUCCCUGUACGUCAACAUGAGGUAUACGUGACACAUUACAUGUAACUGUCUGAUUAAUUUGUCAGCUGCAUUAGUUUUUAAUAGGAGAAUGGAUAAAAUUUUAAUAGAAACGACCAGUUUGCUCUUUAAUUAAACAUACAGAGACUAAUUUGCCCAUUUUUGGAGUAAAGUGGGUAAAAUGUAAUCUAACUCUUAAUACAGGGAUCUCCAUGAUACUUUUACUGUUCCCUUGCUAUGAUCUUAGUACGGGGGACGGUCUAUAAGAAGAUAGUACUGGAACACAUGAAAAAACUUGUAAGAGCAUACUGUAUCUCUUUUUGGCAGGGUCUGUUAAUGGAAGCAACUGUGCUGAGCUUGCAAAGCAGGAAGAUAUCGACGGGUUUCUCGUAGGUGGCGCUUCCUUGAAGGUAUUAUUCACUCUGUUCCAUUAUUAAUAAAACGUACCGAAAUAUUAUUCGGUUAUGGCAUUGCUGAUGAUUGGAUUCAAAAUAUUUGUUGAUGCAGGGGCCGGAGUUUGCUACAAUUGUCAACUCCGUAACAUCCAAAAAGGUGGCUGCCUAAAUAUAUAUGAAGCUGAUUGAAAGUAAGAAAUAAAGGACCUAAAUGAAGAAGCUAUUUGAGGUUGAAGCUUCACGUGACAUAUUUAGUGUUAUAUACCCCAUGGAGUUUUUUGAUUACUUAUUGAGUUCCAUUUUCCCGGAAAAUGAUAGGAAAAAAAGAAUUGUGGUGUUGUGAAAUAAGUUGAAAUUCUCGUUGUAACACUUUCUAAAUGAUCCAUGGAAACAAAUCGAGGUUGUAACCUAUACACGACCAUAUACUUGAACUUCUUCUGCAGUAGGAAAGGUUUGCACAUUUUCAUCAUUUGUUUUGGGCAAUUUACUUAGUUAGUCAUCCAACUUUUAAGGCUCUGUCAUUUUGGGAUCAAAAUGAAAUUAUUUUAACUAAUUUCGUUGCUCAACUUUUAAGGUGCUUUCACUAAAUCUUUAACGAUUGCUAAUUGUAUACAUCACACUUUUGUUUUGGUAACUCAAAUUCUAGGUCAUUUUAUUUUAGUCACCCAAAAAAUAUUUUUUAAAAAUUAUUGAUUGGGUUAAAAAGUAAUAAGAAUUAAAAUGAGAAAAUGGUAGAAACUAAAAUAAUGUAUUAAAAAGUUUGUCAAAUUGUUCUUGUUGAAAGUUCUAUUUUUUUUCUUUUCAAUAUUGAAAUUAAUCAAAAUUAUAUAAUCAAAAGAAAUUUAAGUUUCAUAGAAAAUUAUUAAAUAUAAGUUAUUUUAGUUGAUUUUGUUAAGGAUAGUUUGAAAACAUAAAAUAAAAAUUUAAACUUUAGGAGGCGAUUAAGGUAUUUAAUUUCAAUAUUAUAAUAAUAAGUCAAUUGAUAUUAUCAAAGGAUAGAAUGUUUACUUCUACUCAUAACAUUACCCUAACUCUUAAAUCAGACUAAAAACACGUUUCAGCUCAGUAGCGGAGCCACAUGAUAGAAAAAUUUUAAGAAAAAGAGUACUUUAUAAAUAUAUAUAUAUAUAAAUAGUAAAUUGAGUUAUUGACCUCACCAAAUUAUUUGAAAAACACCCACUAAAAUUCAAAAAAAUAUAUAUUUUAUUUUCUUUCAACAUUCAUUAUUUUUUUUCUAAAUUUUCUUAUUCUUUCACACUUUUUUCCAUAAUUUUUACAAGAUAAAUUAUCAUGAUGCUAAAAACAAUUUUUUUUAAAAAUAUUGCAUUCUCAUUACAUCAAAAAGCACUUAACUAGCUUUUAUUGUUGUGAAGGGCGUUAUAUUUUAUCCCAUAACUAUCGACUGGAAUUAGGAAAUAAAAUUUUCUUGUGAUAAAAAAGUAAUUUUAUUUAUCCUUACUCAUUAGAAGACUUAAAGUUUGUAUGCAUUGGCAUUAGUCUAGUAUUAAUAAUAUAGUUUUAAUCAUAUUAUAUAUUAAUUUAUAUGAAUUUUUUAGAUGUUUUAAAUUUUUAAAACUCGACCCACAAUCAAAAUAUCCCGACUCCGCCCUGCUUUAACUCAGGUUCUCCCUAGUGUUGUAAUAACAAUGAUGUUAAUUCAGUUAAAACUCAAUUGAUUCAUAUUUACUAUUAUAAAUAAAGAUUUUUUUAAUAAAUCAAAUUGAACUAUUACACGAGAGAAUUCAAUUUAAUUCAACAAUAAUAAAAUACAUAUAUUAUUUCGUCAACAUAUCGUACUCCAACUGGAGUGAUAACUCGAUCUCAUUUUCUAAAUUUAUAAUGAUAAAAAUAUAUGCCUGCGUGAUUUUAUAUAAAUCAAUUUUGCUCAAAACUCGAUUCAACAUUAAUACAAGCUCUUCAUUUCCGUUUUCAUCGCAUAACAAUUAUUGUUAUAAUAAAUGUCGAUAAUGACGGUAGAACGAUCGCAAAGUAAUAAGAAAAAAAAAAGAACACACAGAUUUUACGUGGAGAAAAAAUUCAUUAACGUUAAAAAACGAAUGAUAUCAAUAUUAAAAUUUUUUGUUCUAAUCAAAGUCAAAUAGUAAAAGUAUAAUUCUAUACGAAUUCUACUUAUGCUCCUCUUAUCCUGUCACUAUAUUUAUUUCUUUAAUAAAUAAUAAAAUUCGAAUAACACAAACUCUAAUAGCUUAUCCAAAUCAAUUCAGUUGACAAAGUCAUCCAAUUCUAUUCGCAGGCGUGGGACAUAUUAGAGGCCCGACAACACCAAACAAUCACAUGGCUUUCGUCACUUCUAAUCGAAAGCACCAGCAGGGGUUAACCGAUAGUGUCAGACAAAACAGACGGCCGUACAUUGGAAAACCCUUCCUGACCUGAAAACUUCUGUUCUACUUUUGGGUUAUUUAUUUAUGUGUUUCUCUUCUGGUUUUCAGACACCUGCCAUGGCUGAUGUAUGUGGAUUAAAAUCAUUGUUUAGGGCAUGGCACGGCACCAACAACAUUGGACUACAAUGUGGAUUCUGGGAUUAAAUUUUAAAAAAUUAAGAUUAAAGAUUUAAUUGAAAUUUUGUGAGAUUAAUAAAAAUUUUCAAAAUUUAAGAGGAUUUAAUUAAAAUUUUUUAAAAUUUAAAGAGGCUUAAUUAAAUAUUUUUAAUAUUUUGAAGGAAAAUUUCUCAAAAUUUUGAGUGCCUUAGAAGUUAGAAUCCGCCCCUAACUACAGAGCUAAUGCUUCGUAAUUAGUACUAUAUAUUAAAGCCUCUAAUUAAGUUAAUCUAUGAUUUAAUUGGAGUCAAUUCGAUUAAAAAUAAUUUAAAUAUAUAAUUACAUUAUCAUAAUUGCAUUUUUGUCUUUUUAAUAUAUUUUUAUAUAAAAUCAAUAAAACUUACACAUUUAAACAUAGAACACAAUGAAAUCUAAAUAUUUAAUUUUACCAAUUUAGCCAAAGUUACAUUUAAUUUUUAAUGAAUAUAUUUAUUAUAUAUAUUUUUAGUGAAUUACAAGAACAAGACAAAGCCUAAAACAACAAACGCGACAAGUGUGACUCGAACUCAGACCACAUCUGGGACAAUAAACACUCUGACCAUUAUGUCAUGGGAUUCUAAGUAAUUUAGUAUUUGUAAUGCUAAUAACUUUGUAUAAGGAUUGAGAUAAAAUAAUAAAAUAUUAAAAUGAAAAAAAUCAUUAAAAGAUUGGAAGGCUUAAAUUGAAUUAUAAGCAGAUAAUUCUUCACUCGAACCCAUGACAUGAGUUGUAGGGUGAACACCUUUGAUUAAUGAGCCAACAACAAGGCUCAGGUUAUCAAUAUUUGGAUACAUGUAAAUUUGUCAAUUAGGUGAAUUGAGUUGAUUUGACACCGUAUCGAUUAGAAACGGGUUAGUUAAGGUUUUAAAUUUUUUGAAUUAUUUAUGUUCGAAUUAUUUCGGUUAUGGACUGAUCUGAGUUCUAAUUAUUCAAAUUUGAGACUCGAUUCUUUUUUAGUUCGGUUAUUAUGAGAUCAUUUUAAGUUUAAAUCAUUUCAGAUUAUUUAUUCGGGUUAAAUUUUAUAAUUGCAAAAUUCCUAUUAGAAAAUUGUUUAGUGAAUUAAAUUGAAUUUAACUUGGGAUAAAAAUUGAUAAAUCCACAUAUAGCUACUUCACAUCCGCCCAAAUCUGGAUGACCUAAUAUUAGACUGGCGUCGGACACCAAUUUGCAGUGGAUAGCAGCUGCCUGCCGUUGCCACGUUUAACUGGAUAAUAUAACAAUAUUCAUAACCACAUGCAUCCGUCGACCGAUUGGCUGGCUCAACCAUCCCCCAAUUAAGGUCUUCAAAAUUGAAUUGGUAAAUCAUAUAUUUGUUAUUAUUUUUACUAUUUACACCCAUUAUUUAUUUAUUUUUAAUUUCAUUAGUAUAAAGACAAUAAUAUUAUUAUAAGUAUAUAAUAAGUACAAAUUGUAAGUAUGAAUAUAUGUCCAAUUAAUUAUAAUGUAAUAUUCAACUAAUACACAGCACAUCAGAUAAAGAAUUCGACAAAAGUUGGACUAGUUAAAAAAAUCAGGCUAAAUCCAUGCAAGGCAUACCCGUGAGGUAAUUAGAGGGAGACCCAUUAUUUAUAAACAUUACCAAUAAGUGUGGGAUGCAAUAAUGAGGUAUAUUGCAAUAUAUAUUCAAAUUUUAGAGACAAUAUUAUUGAGAGAGACAAUUUUUAACCCAAACCCCAAAUAUGAAACAUAAAUAUAUAUAUGUAUAAACAUUUAAAAAACUCGAAAAGAGGAAGAAGAAAAAGCUGCUCAAACCCUUCAGCAUGCAUGUAAUGCGUAUGGGACGUAGUUUAAUGUGUAUAAUUUUAUAUACCGUUAAUAAAUUAUUCGAUGAUAAUUAAUAAUUACGAAAAGUAAGUGAAUUUUACUUUUAAAAAUUUUAAAUUAUAGUUAUUAUUUUAUUCAUUAAUAGAGAUAUGUUGAUGGCUUUGGAGGAACGAGUGGUCAAUCUCAAGGAAUCCAUGAGGGACAUGAGAGAGACACUUGAUGAAGUCGAGGGACGCACUAUGGAAUUGGACUUGAAGGAAGAGCAAUUCAAGGAAGCGUGUUGGAGUCUCUCGGUUCCAAUGUAGAAGACAUGCAAGGGAUGCUCAAUUUCAGUGCGGAUAAGCUAAUAGUGAGAGACGAUGCUCUCGAGGUCACGGUGU
rnacentral:lncRNA from 1 species